rnacentral:lncRNA from 1 species
GCAUGUUAUGUGUGAUGUCUAGCUUGUAUUGCUUCUAAUUUUGUUGAAUUCCAUCUGCUUACUUUACACAUUAUACUUGAAUAAGACACGUGUUCCUGUUUCUAGAACAUACAAUAUCUGUCUAUCACACCAUGUUCUUACAUCAAAUUACUACUGUUGUGUAACCUGCAACAAUCACUUAUCAUAAGACACGUUUGACUUCGAUGUGUGAUAUAGGUUACAUCUCACAUUCUUUUCUAACUUGUACUACUAAUUUAUUGAAAUGGCACUUAUGACGAGACAGUUUUAACUUGGUAGAGUGAUAUUCGUUGCAUCUUUCAUAUGGUGUCUAGCUUUCAUUGCUUCUAAUUUGUUGAAAUGCCUUCUCCUUAGUUUACACAUCAUAAGCUGUGAAUAUGCAAUGGCACUAAUGACGAGAGACCUCUAACAUGGUAGUGGGAUGUUGUUUGCAUCUUGCAUAUGAUUUAUUUCUUGUACUGCUUCACAUUUGUUUAAACGCCAUUUAUGAUGAAACACUGUUAACUUGGCAGAGUGAUAUUUGUAGCAUCUUUCAUAUGGUGUCUACCUUCCAUUGCAUGGUUCUAAUUUGGUGAAAUGUCUUCUUCUUAGUUUACACAUCAUAGUUCUGGUUAUCUCUUCCGUCCUGUUUUUCAUACAUAUUACAUCCUCCUAUCAUGUGGUUGUCUAACAUCAAAGUUCAGUUCGUCUGCAUCACACAUCAAUUUGUUCUGAAGAACUAAAUUGUUAUUCAUUUUUCUUGUCGGUUUGACUUAACAUGGCACAGAGAAAGAGGAAGAAACACAGAAUGGCAGGGAAUGAGAAGCGGAUGAAUCCUGCAGAUUCUGCUGGUACUGAUGGUGCAAUAGAAGGUCAAAGUCCAGUGGAAAAUAGCUGCCACCAAACAUAAACAAAAACACAGCAUCCCAUGCUACACGAGUUGCAAAAAAAGCCAAACAUAAACAAAUAGCUGCCACCAAACAAGUAGAGAGAGCCCUAGUUCUUGCAACACCUACCACAGUACUACCAGCUGCACGACUUACUCGUGUGUCAACUGAGCUACUAACACGUUCCCAAGCUCCCUUGCCACCUGACACUACUUCCCAAGGACUCUUGACACAAGAUGAGUUGGCAAUAUCAGAUGAACCUUGUGAGCUUCAACAACAAGAAGGUAGUUGCUGGAGUCAAGUUACAAUUGCAUGCUUCUUUAUAUGUAGUCUCACAGUUUGAUGUACACUAACACUUCCUAUGUUCGUUGUUGGACUAGCACCUAGGCGCAAGAGGAAACAAACAUCAGGGAUAAUGCUCGGUAGGUUAACUAAAUCUAGAGGAGGAAGAAUGGAGAUCCGUUUUGAGGAAGGUCUAAAAAGGCCACGUGAUGCUACAGAGUUAGCCAAGUUAGUAUCAGAGGCAGCGGUUGCCGUUAGGUGUCAUGUACGUAUCCUCCCAACAUGGAUUUAGUACAGGAAUGACAAAGACGAAACCUAGUUCAACACCUUCCUCGACCAUUUAUCUGUAAGUAUGGUUAUUUAUGGAAACUAGUAAUAUCGUAUUGCUCUGUCCCAUACUUUCUAGGUUGCUGAUAAUGAGACUCCCAUAAUUUUCAACAGAUGAGGUUCAAGUUGGAUAGCCAAGAUGAUGCAACCAGACAAGCUUGCACCCAUGUUUUCAAGUCUGCUCUGCGACAGUAUUGGUAUGACUUGAGGAAAACUCACUUUGAAGGCAAGGCUAAUAGUGAACUUUCCCAAACAUCUCCAGUGGAAAAUAUAUCGGAUGAAGACUGGAGGGGCCUUGUUAAACACUAGUCUGAUCCGAAGUAUCAGGUACAUUAUAUAUAUGUGAUCAGAUCACAUGUUGAAGUCCUAUUUACGCACGUGCAACACAAAUCUAUCUACUUGUAGGUGAACUAUUCAAAGAACAAGGCCAACCGUACGAAAGUGAAAUUCCAACAGACGACAGGAUCUCGUAGCUAUAUUGCAAACUGCGAGGCUCUUGUAAUUAGUUUUUGUUUCACUCUUUUCGCUGUACCAUAUAUCAGAUCUAUAUUGACUUGUUCGAAAUGCAGAGGAAAGCCCGCAAGGACCAAAAAGUACCUGAACCAAAUGCUGUGGAAAUCUUCAAGGACUGUCACACCAGCAAGAAGAAGGGCAUGACUACACCAGUCAAAGCCCCUGCUGUAAGUCCUUAAUCCUCAUGCCUUUUAACUACUACUUACUCUGACUUGUGCCUUGAACUGCAUGGUUUGCAGUCAAUGUCUAUUACUCUUUUCAAUUUUAUACACAAUUGUCUUAGCGUAUCAUUGCACCUUACAAGGUUUAAAAGAGAGGAGUGAUGUUCCUUUGAUCUUGACCCAUAAUAUAGUUCCAUGCUGGACUUGCCCACACAACGUUACAAUUGCCUGUUUGUCUGUUCUCAGUUGUUUUGUGAUAUGAAUGAUGUCAUACUAUGCUUACCGUAUUAUAAACUUUGUCUCUUUAUCCUUAGCCCUCAAUAUAAUGUGAAUAAAUAGAUAAUACAUUAGCGAUGGUACAUGGUCAUAUGUUUGGAACCUGGUUUUAUUAUGUACUUUGCAAUAAAAUACAACUAAUAUUUUACAUGGGUUCACUAGAAUAAGUUCUGUACAUAGACCAAAGCUAUUUUGUUCGAUUUUGCUGCCUCCUUAAUAUCUUCUGUUCUGGUACUACUAAUGUAAAACCUCAACGUUUUAGCGAGCUAUGGAAAAUGGUGGAACCGCCACCUUCUGAAGGUGGCGAGGCAACUAUAACCACAAUGUCAGCUCUUGCUGCAGUGGGUCAGUACCUGUCCACUAACAGUGCCAAAAGCACGUUCCUGCGUAAUACUAGGUUGGUUGUUAAGGCAAUAUCGUCCAAACUGCCUCAUGAUCAAGAUAUGCAAGCUCAAAGCAAUGUUGUAUCAACGCUCCAGACACAAGUCCAUUCCCUAAUAGAGACCCUUUGUGAAACAAGGAGAAACAUUGCUCAAUGUCGUCAAGAUAUGCAUGGUUUUGAAACCAGACUAUCAGACAUUUGCUAUGUUGUUCAGGAGCCUAGGGGAAAUGAAGGCGAGGGUUAUGGUGCUCCAUCGGACAAUACAACAUGAAAACAUAAUAGUCAGGUCAAAUUAACUGAGCUUCUGAACAUCUGGUGGUGCAUUUAUCUGCUAGACUAUUAAGUUUUAUGCCAACCUUCCUUUUGUUAUAUAGUUGUAAUUUGUUUUGGUGCGAUACAAAAUUUAUUCUUAAUGUGCAGCCACCGACUGAAGAAAACAGCAAGCCAUUUUUGUAUAGUGUAGGGUAUUCCCUAUAUUUGCACUAGUGGCGAUCUUUGAUGCCGAGUGGAUGUAAUCUGUGCAAUCGCCUUAAUAGCCUAGUGUUACUUUUGGCCUUACUUAUUUCCAAGUCUUCUUUUUCCCUGGUUUGCUAGUGGCCGCAACUACCAUGGGCCAUAUACGGGCCAUAGGAUCCAUGGGUCUCCUACGAGCCGUCGAUAAAUGAGCCUGUAAUCGGUGGGCCUCGGGCCGUCGGAUAAAUGGGUCUACAUGGGCCGUAAUCGGGCGUAAUUGGUAUCGGCCCAGCACGAUAACAGGCCGUUAACAGGCCAUAGGACAGCAAAGGCUUAAUUUUGUCAUAGGCAUAAUGGGUCGUUAAUGGGCCAGAAUAUAGGACGGGCUGGAAACGGCGGAACGGGUUAAAGGCCAGAAACGGGCCGACUCUUGCCAUGGGCCGAAUUUGGCCCAUUAGGGUAACAGGCCAGUAAUGGGACGACUCUUGCCAUGGGCCGAAUUUGGCCCAUUAGGGGAACAUGCCAGUAAUGGGCCGACUCUUGCCAUGGGCCGAAUUCGGCCCAUUAGGGGAAUAGGCCAGUAACGGGUCGGAAGUAAUCGAGGGCCGAAAAGGAUCCCAGGAACGUAUGGGCCGAAAUCUAACACGGGCUAGAAACGGCCCAUUUAAAUCACAGGCCAUUAACGGGUAUAAAGAGAAUUACUGUUCAUUAUGGGCUAGAGUCACCGUGGGCCUCUAAAGGGCCGAAAGAUACGAAGGCCUCAUAUGGGCCGAAAGACAUCAUGGGCCAUACAUGGGCCGAAAGUGAAAUGGGCUGGUGUUAUAUUCGACGUCCCACAUGACGUUGUUGGGCCGAUUUCCUUUAGGGCCUAACAGGCCGUAAAAUGGGCUAUUUGCGAAGAGAUCGUUAACAGGCUUUUCAUGGGCCAGCCCGUUAACUUUUGACCAAGUCAAACGGGCCAACUUUGUAAGCUAAAUGGGCCAGUGGUGGGCUGUGGCACGUGUCGACAUAUCAUAGGCGCCUAUCUGACCCACUGACGAGCUGACACGUGUUUCGUCCGGCCAAUAAGAAUUUUACACGUGGAAAUUUCCCAUUGGUCGGGGCUGUUAACGGGUUAUCGGAUCCAAAACCCGACCCGAUAGCUUAACGGCCUUCCGUUACGGUGGAUGCCAUGUGUCGGUCACCCUUGACGAAAGCACUUCUGUGAUGCGCGAUUUAUCAUCAUGGAAGUGGACACUUCCGUGAUGAUAAUUUUGGUAAUGUCAUGGAACACUUCUACGACAGCAUAGGUAUGACUAUCUUGAUUCUGUCAUAAAAUCGUCAUGGAUGUACAUGCAUGACAAAAAACGCGACCUACUAUGACAAACACGUAUCAUCACGGAAGUGUAUUUUUUUGUAGUGCUACCAAAAUAUUUUUAUCUCUAAGUUUUUCGCCUUGAGCUCUGGCACCUCUAUAAAUCCCUACUUCCCUUUGCGAAGGGCAUUUCCUUUACUUUAUGCAAUUUUUAUUUUGAGUCUCCAUCUUCUCUUAUAAAAGCACCAACUAGGAGGCAAUAUGAUCGUACUUAAGUAUUGGGUGUAGCUAAUAUUCGAGUGUGUUUCAUGAAUGGAUCAAUGUUUGAGCAUGAUGGGCUAGGGAUAACUUAUUUUAGCAUUGAUAUUUUGAAAGACAUGGUUGCUUGUUGAUAUGCUUGAGUAUCUAAAUUAUUAUGUCAACACUAGACUAUUGCUUUGAAUCACAUAAAAAGUCUAAUUUUCCAUGCUAUAAAGAAAAUAAUAUGAUAUGACAUGUUAAACAUCACUCCACAUCAAAAAUUCUGUUUUUAUCACUUACCUACUCGAGGACGAGUAGGAGUUAAGCUUGGGGAUGCUGAUAGUCUCCAACGUAUCUAUAUUUUUGAUUGUUCCAUGUUGUUAUAUUAUCAAUCUUGGAUGUUUUAUAAUCAUUUUAAAGUCAUUUUAUAUCAUUUUUGGUACUAACCUAUUGACAUAGUGCCAAGUGCCAGUUCCUGUUUUUUCCAUCUUUUUUCCAUCGCAGAAAAUCAAUAUCAGACGGAGUCCAAAUGCCACGAAACUUUACGAAGAUUUUUUAAGGACCAGAAGGAACAUGUUGGGCCCUGGUUGCACCUGGGGGGAGUACCAAGGAGGGGACAACCCACCAGGGCGCGCCAGGAGGCCCAGGCGCGCCCUGGUGGGUUGUGCCCACCUCGGGUGCCCCCCGGACCGCCUCUUUGCUCUAUAAAUACCCCCAAAAUACCAGAACCCUAGGGGAGUCGAUGAAAUAUUCAUCCAGCCGCCACAGAGUCCAGAACCACCAGAUCUAAUCUAGACACCAUCUCGUAUGGGGUUCACCACCUCCAUUGGUGCCUCUCCGAUGAUGCAUGAGUAGUUCUUUGUAGAUCUUCGGGUCCGUAGUUAGUAGCUAGAUGGAUUCAUCUAUCUCUCUGAGUUCUCAAUACAAUGGUCUCUUGGAGAUCCAUAUGAUGUAACUCUUUUUGUGGUGUGUUUGUUGGGAUCUGAUGAACAUUGAGUUUAUAACCAGUCAUAUCUUUUUAUAUCCAUGAAAGUUAUUUGAGUUUCUUUGAUCUCUUAUAUGCAUGAUCUCUUAUAGCAUCGUAUUUCUUCUCCGAUAUUUGGGAUUUGUUUGGCCAACUUGACCUAUUAAUCUUGCAAUGGGAAGAGGUGCCCGGUAGUUGGUUCGAUCUUACGGUGCUUGAUCCCAGUGACAGAAAGGGAACCGACACAUAUGUAUCGUUGCUACUAAGGAUAAAAAGAUGGGAUCUAUAUCUAUGCAAUAGAUAAAUGGAUCUUGUCUACAUCAUGUCAUCGUUCUUAUUACAUUACUCCAUUUUUCCAUGAACUUAAUACACUAGAUGCAUGUUGGAUAGCGGUCGAUGUGUGGAGUAAUAGUAGUAGAUGCAGGCAGGAGUCGGUCUACUAAUCUUGGAUGUGAUGCCUAUGUAAUGAUCAUUGCCUGGAUAUCGUCAUAAUUAUUUGAGGUUCUAUCAAUUUCCCAACAGUAAUUUGUUUACCCACUGUUUGCUAUCUUUCUCGAGAGAAGCCACUAGUGAAACCUACGGCCCCGGGGUCUUCUUUCUCAUAUAUUUUCUUGCGAUCUACUUUUCCUUUGCAUUUUUAUUCAAAUCUAUUAAACCAAAAAUACAAAAAUACUUUGCGGCACUUUAUUUUAUUUGUGAUCUAUUAUUUCAAUCUAUUACUAUAUCUGGCAUCGUUACUCGAAAGGGAUUGACAACCCCUUUAACUCGUCGGGUUGCGAGGUGUUGUUAUCUGUGUACAUGUGUUGUUUACAUUGUGUUGAUUGGUUCUCCUACUGGUUCGAUAACCUUGGUUUCUUCACUUAUGGAAAUACCUACCAUCGCUGUGCUGCAUCAUCCCUUUCUCUUUGGGGAAAUACCGACGUAGUCCUAGCAGAAAGGAGCUUUUCUGGCGCUAUAGUCAAAUAUCAAUCACUCUAAAGUUCCUCCAGCAUGAAUCUGGUUUGGAGACGAGAGGUAACUUCUUAAUCCUCCUCCAUGGCAUCCACUCUUUUCAAGUCAGCCUCCAUCUCUUCCUCCGUUUCUGGCCCAAAGUGGUUAUCAUCACUGUAUGCUCUUGGGCCUGGUGCCGGGUGAGAUACCCGACUCUCCCCGACCGACUCUUGUGAAGACAUCUUGCUCCAAAUCUGCUGCAGGAACAACUCAAAAUGAAAACAGAGGAUUUUGUUGUGGUACAGUGGUCAAAACCUUCGGCAGAUUACAUAAUGAAUUUUACCGACCAAAAGAAGUAUCAUGCGAGAAAACAGAGUCCAGAAGGCACACGAGGUGGCCACAAGGACAGGAGGCGCGCCAGGGGUUAGGGCGCGCCCUCCACCCUUGUGGUGGCCUCAUGUCUCUUUCAGACUAUUUUUAAUUUUCCUAAUUUUUUAAAUAUUCCAAAACAGAGAAAAUUAUCAUUGAAAAUGUUUUGGAGUCGGUUUACUUACCGUACCACAUACCUAUUUCUUUUUGGAGUCUGAAACGUUCUGGAAAGUAUCCCUUAUGUACUCCUCCGGUGUCACAGUAGUAAUUAUAUUGGUCUCAACAUUUAUGGGAGUACCCGAGAUAUAAUGUUCGAUUCUUUGACCGUUUACCAUAUUCGGAUUUGUGCCUUCGGUGUUGUUGAUCUUUAUGGAACAGAAACGAUAAACCUCCUCGAUAAUAUAAGGACCUUCCCAUAUAGAGAGAAGCUUUCCUGCAAAAAAUCUUAAACAAGAGUUGUAUACCAAAACAUGAUCACCUACAUUAUACUCACGCUUUUGUAUCCUUUUAUCAUGCCAUCUUUUAACUUUUACUUUAAACAACUUGGCAUUCUCAUAGGCUUGGGUUCUCCAUUCAUCAAGUGAGCUAAUGUCAAAUAACCUCUUCUCACUGGCAAGUUUGAAAUCAUAAUUGAGCUCUUUAAUAGCCCAAUAUGCCUUAUGUUCUAGUUCAAGAGGUAAGUGGCAUGCUUUUCCAUAAACCAUUUUAUACGGAGACAUACCCAUGGGAUUCUUAUAAGCAGUUCUAUAAGCCCAUAAUGCAUCAUCAAGUUUAUUAGGCCAAUUCUUUCUAGAUCUAUUAACAGUCUUUUGCAAAAUUAAUUUAAGCUCUCUAUUACUCAAUUCUACUUGACCACUAGACUGAGGAUGAUAAGGAUAUGCAAUUCUAUGGUUAACAUCAUAUUUAGCAAGCAUUUUACAGAAAGCACCAUGAAUAAAAUGUGAACCACCAUCAGUCAUUAAAUAUCUAGGGACCCCAAACCUCAGAAAAAUAACUUCUUUAAGCAUCUUAAUAGAAGUGUUAUGAUCAACACUACUACUUGGAAUAGCUUCUACCCACUUAGUAACAUAAUCAACAGCAACUAAAAUAUGUGUAUACCCAUUAGAGGAAGGAAAGGGUCAAACAUAAUCAAAGCCCCAAACAUCAAAUGGUUCAAUAACAAGUGAAUAGUUCAUAGGCAUUUCCUGACAUCUACUAAUAUUACCAAUUCUUUGGCAUUCAUCACAAGAUAAGACAAACUUAAGGGCAUCUUUAAAGAGAGUGGGCCAAUAGAAACCAGAUUGCAAUACCUUAUGUGAAGUUCUAUCUCCAGCAUGCUGCCCUCCGUAAGCCUCGGAGUGACACUUGCGUAGGAUCUGUUCCUAUUCAUGGUUAGGUACACAACGUCUAAUAACACCAUCUACUCCUUCUUUAUAAAGGUGUGGAUCAUCCCAAAAGUAAUGUCUUAAAUCAUAGAAAAACUUUUUCUUUUGCUGAUAUGCAAAACUAGGUGGUGUAAAUUUAGCAACAAUAUAAUUCGCAUAAUCAGCAUACAAUGGAGUAUUACAAGAAGCAUUUAUGACAUUUAAUUGCUCAUCGGGAAAGCUAUCAUCAAUAGGCAGUGGGUCAUCAAGAACAUUUUCUAACCUAGACAAGUUGUCUGCAAUGGGGUUCACAGCUCCCUUUCUAUCAAUAAUAUGUAAAUCAAAUUCUUGUAGCAAGAGAACCCAUCUAAUAAGUCUAGUUUUAGGAUCUUUCUUUUCCAUAAGAUAUUUAAUAGUAGCAUGAUCAGUGUGAACAGUUACCUUGGAAUCGACAAUAUAAGGUCUAAAUUUAUCACAUGCAAAUCCAACUGCUAAAAAUUCUUUUUCAGCAGUAGCAUAAUUUCUCUGGGCACUAUCUAGAGUUUUACUAGCAUACUGAAUAACAUUCAAUUUCUUAUCGACUCUUUGUCCUAGAACAACACCGACAUCAUAAUCACUAGCAUCCCACAUAAUUUCAGAAGGCGAGUUCCGAUCAGGUCGUUGAACAAUAGGAGCAGAAAUCAAGGAUUUCUUAAGUAUUUCAAAUGCGUCAACACAAUCAUUAUCAAAAACAAAGUGAACAUCUUUUUGUAAGAGAUUAGUGAGAGGCCUAGAAAUUUUAGAGAAGUCUAUAGAAUCUAGCAUGACCAAGGAAACUUCUUAUACCUUUGAUAUCUUUUGGACACGACAUCUCUUCAAUAGCAUCUACUUUAGCUUUAUCAACUUCAAUGCCUCUUUUAGAAAUUUUAUGCCCCAAGACAAUACCUUCAUUAACCAUAAAGUGACACUUUUCCCAAUUCAAGACGAGAUUAGUUUCUUCACAUCUCUGCAAAACUCGAUCAAGGUUGCUUAAGCAAUUAUCAAAAGAAGUUCCAUAAACGGAGAAAUCAUCCAUGAAAACCUCAACAAUCUUUUCACUAAAGUUAGAGAAUAUAGCAGUCAUAAAUCUUUGAAACGUAGCAGGUGCAUUGCAUAAAUCAAAAGGCAUACGUCUAUAAGCAAAGGUACCAAAAGGGCAAGUAAAAGUGGUUUUCUCUUGAUCCUCUUUUGACACGGGUAUUUGAGAGAACCAGAAUAACCAUCUAGAAAGCAAAAAUGUGUAUGCUUGGAUAACCUUUCUAGCAUUUGAUCAAUAAAAGGUAGAGGGCAAUGAUCUUCUCUAGUAGCUUUAUUUAAUUUGCGAAAAUCAAUUACGAUUCUAUAAACUGUAACGAUUCUUUGUGGAAUCAAUUCAUUCUUAUCAUUAGGAACAACAGUAAUACCUCCCUUCUUAGGGACACAAUGAACAGGGCUUACCCAUUGACUAUCAGCAAUAGGAUAAAUUAUACCUGCCUCUAGAAGCUUUAUUAUUUCAUUUCUUACCACUUCUUUCAUCGUAGGAUUUAACUGUCGUUGAUGAUCAACAACUGGUCUAGCAUCUUUCUCUAGUUUAAUUUUGUGCUGACAUAGAGUGGAACUAAUGCCCUUAAGAUCAUCUAGAGUAUAUCCAAUAGCGGCACGGUGAUUCUUCAGGGUUUUCAAUAAUCUCUUUUCUUCAUGCUCUGAAAGGUUAGCACUAAUAAUAACAUGAUAUAUCUUCUUUUCAUCAAGAUAAGCAUAUUUCAGAGUAUCAGGUAAUUGUUUAAGCUCAAACACGGGAUCACCCUUAGGUGGGGAGGAUCCCCAAGGAUUUCAACAGGUAAAUUGUGUUUCAAAAUCGGCCCUUUAUUAAAUAAUACUUCAUCUAUUUCCUUUCUUUCAUUCAUAAACAUACCGUUUUCAUGGUCUAACAAAUAUUGUUCUAAAGGAUCAUUAGGAGGCACAACAAUAGAAGCAAGACCAAUAAUUUCAUCCUUACUAGGCAAUUCUUUAUCAUGUGGUUGUCUACGACUUAGAGAAAUUAAAAUCAUGAGACAUAUCCCCCAAACCAAUAGUAACAAUCUCUUUCUCGCAAUCUAUCUUAGCAUUAACAGUAUUCAAGAAAGAUCUACCAAAUAUAAUGGGACAAAAAUUAUCUUGUGGGGAAGCAAGAACAACAAAAUCAGUAGGAUAUUUUAUCUUCCCACACAAGACUUCAACAUAUCUAACAAUCCCAAUUGGUGAUAUAGUAUCUCUAUUAGCAAGCUUAAUAGUAAAAUCAAUAUCUUCUAUCUCAGGAGGUGCAAUAUCAUUCAUAAUUUCUUUAUAUAAGGUAUAAAGAAUUGCACUCACACUAGCACCCACAUAACAUAAGCCAUGAUAACAAUCAUCUCCUAUUUUAACAGAAACAACAUGCAUGCCAACAAAAGGUCUAUGUUUAUCUUUCAUAUCGGGUUUAGCAAUUCUAGCAGCUUCAUCAUAGAAAUAAAUAACAUGCCCAUCAAUAUUAUCAACCAACAGAUCUUUAACCAUAGCAAUAAUAGGUUCAACUUUAAUUUGCUCAGCGGGUCUAGGUGUUCUAGUUUAACUAUUACGAACCACAGUUGAAGCUUUAGCAAUGAUCCUUUAUUCUAACAGGAAAUGGUGGUUUCUCAAUAUAAGAGGUAGGAAAAUAGGAUCAACAUUGUAAGUAAUAGUUUCUUCUUCAACUUUAAUAGGUUCUACUACUUUAAAUUCAAUGGGAGGAUUAUAUUUAAAACACUUCUCCUUAGGGAGUUCAACAUGAGUAGAAAACGAUUCGCAAAAAUAAGCUACUAUCUCAGAGUCAAGUCCAUACUUAGCGCUAAAAUCAUGAAAAGCAUCGAUAUCCAUAAAAGAUUUAACACAAUCAAACUUAAGGUUUAUACCUGACUCCUUACCUUCGUCGAGUUCCCAAUCUUUAGAUUUGCAUUUAAUUCUUUCCAAUAAAUCCCAUUUGAAUUCAAUAUCCUUCUUCAUAUAGGAACCAGUACAAGAAGUAUCGAGCAUGGAUCGAUCAUUAUGAGAAAGCCGAGCAUAAAUUUUUUGAAUAAUAAUUUCUCUUGAGAGCUCAUGAUUGGGGCAUGAAUAUAACAUUGACUUAAGCCUCCCCAAAGCUUGAGCGAUACUUUCUCCUUCAUGAGGCCAAAAAUUAUAUAUAUAAUUCCGAUCACGAUGAACCAAAUGCAUUGGAUAAAACUUUCGAUGAAAUUAUAAUUUCAACCGGUUCUAGUUCCAUGAUCCAAUAUCAUCCAAUAGCCUAUACCAUGUCAAUGGCUUUCCCUACAAAGAUAAAGGGAAGACCUCUUCUUGACAACAUCCUCGGGCAUACCUGCAAGCUUAAAUAAUCCACCAACGUCAUCCACAUAGAUUAGGGGCAUAUCGGGAUGUAAUGUUCCAUCUCCUGCAUAAGGAUUAGCUAGCAGUUUCUCUAUCAUACCCGAAGGAAUUUCAUAAUGAAUAUUUUCAGUAGGUGCAGUAGGUUGAGGAGCAACUCUUUGCUCUUCCGGUUGGGGUGAAGAUACCCCGUACAAGCCCCUCAAAGGAUUAUUUUCCAUACUAACAAGUGACAGUAAAUUUCAGCAUACUAUAUAAAUGUUUCCUUACCAAAGGCGCUUCACUCCCCGGCAACGGCGCCAGACAAGAGUCUUGAUUACCCACAAGUAUAGGGAUCUAUCGUAGUCCUUUCGAUAAGUAAGAGUGUCGAACCCAACGAGGAGCAUAAGGAAAUGACAAGUAGUUUUCUGUAAGGUAUUCUCUGCAAGCGCUGAAAUUAUCGGUAACAGAUAGUUUUGUGAUAAGAUAAAGCGUAACGGGUAACAAGUUAAUAAAGUGACUAACAUGCAGCAAGGUGGACCAAUCCUUUUUGUAGAAAAGGACAAGCCUGGACAAACUCUUAUAUAAAGCGAAGUACUCCCGAGGACACAUGGGAAUUGUUGUCAAGUUAGUUUUCAUCAUGCACAUAUGAUUCACGUUCGUUACUUUGAUAAUUUGAUAUGUGGGUGGACCGGUGCUUGGGUGAUUCCCUUCCUUGGACAAGCCUCCCACUUAUGAUUAACCCCUCUCACAAGCAUCCACAACUACGAAAGAAGUAUUAAGGUAAACCUAACCAUAGCAUGAAACAAAUAUAUCCAAAUCAGCCCCUUACGAAGCAACACAUAAACUAGGGUUUAAGAUUCUGUCACUCUAGCAACCCAUCAUCUACUUAUUACUUCCCAAUGCCUUCCCCUUGUCACAAAUAAUGGUGAAGUGUCAUGUAGUCGACGUUCACAUAACACCACUAGAGGAGAGACAACAUACAUCUCAUCAGAAUAUCGAACGAAUACCAAAUUCACAUGAUUACUUAUAACAAGACUUCUCCCAUGUCCUCAGGAACAAACAUAACUACUCACAAAACAUAUUUAUGAUCAAGAUCAGAGGAGUAUUAUCAUUAAGGAUCUGAAAAUAUAAUCUCCCACCGAAUAAACCAACUAGCAUCAACUACAAGGAUUAAUCAACACUACUCGCAACCCAUAGGUACCAAUAUGAGGUUUUGGGACCAAGAUCGAAUACAAGAGAUGAACUAGGGUUUGAGAGGAGAUGGUGCUGGUGAAUAUGUUGGUGGAGAUAGACCCCCUCUCGAUGACAUGAUCGUUGGUGAUGACGAUGGCGACGAUUUCCCCCUCCCCAAGGGAUGUUUCCCUAGCAGAACAGCUCCACCGGAGCCGUAGAUUGGUUCUUCCCAGGUUCUGCCUCAAGACGGCGGUGCUUUGUCACGAAAGCUUCCUUUUGAUUUUUUCCAGGUCAAAACACACCAUAUAGCCAAAGAUGGGCACCGGAGGCCUGCUAGGGGGCCCACAAGGAUGGGGAGCGCGCCCUCCACCCUUGUGGCUGGCUGGUGGCCGCCCUCUUGUACUUUCUUCGCCCAAUAUUUUUAUAUAUUCCAAAAACAUGCUCCGUGAAGUUUCAGGACUUUUGGAGUUGCGCAGAAUAGGUCUCCAAUAUUUGCUCCUUCUCAAGUCCAGAAUUCCAGCUGCCAGUAUUCUCCCUCUUCAUGUAAACCUUAUAAAAUAAGAGAGAAAAGGCAUAAGUAUUGUGAUAUAAUGUGUAAUAACUGCCCAUAAUGCAAUUAAUAUCAAUAUAAAAGCAUGAUGCAAAAUGGACGUAUUAGUGGUGAAGGAGUCGUCGUGGGAGGAGGAACCGCUGGAGAGGUCAUUGAAGAAGACUAUGGCGACCCCGGCGGUAGGAUGCGAGACGGUGAGAGCGAGGAAGCAAGCAAGGAAGCGGCUAUAGCUUAGGAAGGAAGGAAGGAAGGAAGGAAGGAAGGAAGGAGGAAACAUGGGAAAUGUGACUUGUGGUCGGGGAGAAAAGGGGGUAGGGAAGGGGGGAGGGGGCGGAGGUAGAUAUUUUGACGGUAGGCCAAAAAUUUGGAAAUGUGGAGGGAAACUUUGCGCGCAGUGUCGCGGGACACCAUUUACUUUCAUCUUGUGUGCAUCGCAAAUGAUUCUUCUGCUUCACACGCAUGGGAUGAGUUUGAUAAUUCAAAUUUUGGUGGAAAUUUCCCCGGGUAAGUCAUUGCAUAAUUUAACAUCGCUUGCUUAUUAGGGCACACAAAAGAGCGUACAAUGAUAACCCACAAGUAUAGGGGAUCGCAACAGUUUUCAAGGGUAGAGUAUUCAACCCAAAUUUAUUGAUUCGACACAAGGGGAGCCAAAGAAUAUUCUCAAGUAUUAACAGUUGAGUUGUCAAUUUAACUGCACCUGAAAGACUUAAUAUCUGUAGCAAAGUAUUUAGUAGCAAAGUAAUAUGGAAGUAACAGUAAUGGUAGCAAAAGUAACAGUAUUGGCUUUGUAGUGAUUGUAACAGCGGCAACGGAAAAGUAACUAAGCAAAGAACAAUAUGUGAAAAGCUCGUAGGCAAUGGAUCAGUGAUGGAUAAUUAUGUCGGAUGUGAUUCCUCAUGCAACAGUUAUAACAUAGGGUGACACAGAACUAGCUCCAGUUCAUCAAUGUAAUGUAGCCAAGUAUUCCGAAUAUAGUCAUACAUGCUUAUGGAAAAGAACUUGCAUGAAAUCUUUUGUCCUACCCUCCCGUGGCAGCGGGGUCCUAUUGGAAACUAAGGGAUAUUAAGGCCUCCUUUUAAUAGAGUACUGGACCAAAGCAUUAACACUUAGUGAAUACAUGAAGUCCUCAAACUAUAGUCAUCAUCGGGAGUGGUCCCGAUUAUUGUAACUUCGGGGUUACCGGAUCAUAACACAUAGUAGGUGACUAUUGACUUGCAAAAUAGGAUCAAGAACUCACAUAUAUUCAUGGAAACAUAAUAGGUUCAGAUCUGAAAUCAUGGCACUCAGGCCCUAGUGACAAGCAUUAAGCAUAGCAAAGUCAUAGCAACAUCAAUCUCAGAACAUAAUGGAUACUAGGGAUCAAACCCUAACAAAACUAACUCGAUUACAUGAUAAAUCUCAUCCAACCCAUGACCGUCUAGCAAGCCUACGAUGGAAUUACUCACACACGGCGGUGAGCAUCAUGAAAUUGGUGAUGGAGGAAGGUUGAUGAUGAUGAUGGCGAUGGAUUCCCCUCUCCGGAGCCCCGAACGGACUCCAGAUCAGCCCUCCCGAGAGAGAUUAGGGCUUGGCGGCAGCUCCGUAUCGUAAAACAUGAUGAAUCCUUCUUUCUGAUUUUUUUCUCCCCGAACGUGAAUAUAUAGAGUUGGAGUUGAGGUCGGUGGAGCAUCAGGGGGCCCACGAGGGAGGUGGGCGCGCCCCCACCCUCGUGGACAGGGUGUGGGCCCCUGACGUAGAUUCUUUCGCCAAUAUUUUUUAUAUAUUCCAAAAAUAUUCUCCGUGAAGUUUCAGGUCGUUCCGAGAACUUUUAUUUCUGCACAAAAAUAACACCAUGGCAAUUCUGCUGAAAACAGCGUUAGUUCGGGUUAGUUCCAUUCAAAUCAUGCAAGUUAGAGUCCAAAACAAGGUCAAAAGUGUUUGGAAAAGUAGAUAUGAUGGAGACGUAUCAACUCCCCCAAGCUUAAACAUUUGCGUGUCCUCAAGCAAUUCAGUUGACAAACUGAAAGUGAUAAAGAAAAACUUCUACAAACUCUGUUUGAUCUUGUUGUUGUAAAUAUGUAAAGCCAGCAUUCAAGUUUUCAGCAAAGAUUAUGAACUAACCAUAUUCACAAUAACAUUUAGGUCUCAUGUUUACUCAUAUCAAUGGCAUAAUCAACUAGCGAGCAAUAAUAGUAAAUCUCGGAUGACAACACUUUCUCAAAACAAUCAUAAUAUGAUAUAACAAGAUGGUAUCUCGUUAGCCCGUUCUGAGACCACAAAACAUAAAUGCAGAGCACCUUUGAAGCUCAAGGACUGAUUGAACAUUGUAAUUCAUGGUAAAAGAGAUCCAGUCACAGUCAUACUCAAUGUAAAUUAAUAAUAAUGCUUGCAAUGACAGCGGUGCUCUCCAACUGGUGCUUUUUCAUAAGAGGAUGAUGACUCAACAUAAAAGUAAAUAGAUAGGCCCUUCGUAGAGGGAAGCGGGGAUUUGUAGAGGUGCCAGAGCUCGAUUUUCAAAUAGAGAUAAGUAAUAUUUUGAGUGGUAUACUUUCAUUGUCAACAUAACAACCGAGAGAUCUCGAUAUCUUCCAUGCUACACACAUUAUAGGCGGUUCCCAAACAGAAUGGUAAAGUUUAUACCCCCCCUACCACCAAAAAACAUCAAUCCAUGGCUUGUCCGAAACAACGGGUGCCUCCAACUAACAACAAUCCUGGGGGAGUUUUUUUGCAAUUAUUUUAAUUUAAGCAUGGGACUGGGCAUCCCGGUUACCAGCCAUUUUCUCGUGAAUGAGGAGCGGAGUCCACUCCUCUUGAGAAUAACCCGCCUAGCAUGCAAGAUAUAGACAACCCUAGUUGAUACAUGAGCGAUUCGAGCAUACAAAAUAGAAUUUCAUUUGAAGGUUUAGAGUUUGGCACACACAAAUUUACUUGGAGCCGCAGGUAGAUACCGCAUAUAGGAAGGUAUGAUGGACUCAUAUGGAAUAACUUUUGGGGUUUAUGGAAGUGGAUGCACAAGCAGUAUGCCCGCUUAGUACAAGUGAAGGCUAGAAAGAGACCGGGAAGCGACCAGCUAGAGAACGACAAUAGUCAUGAACAUGCAUUACAAUUAAUCAACACUGAAUGCAAGCAUGAGUAGGAUAUAAUUCACCAUGAACAUAAAUAUCGUGGAGGCUAUAUUGAUUUUGUUUCAACUACAUGUGUGAACAUGUGCCAAGUCAAGCCACUCGAAUCGUUCAAAGGAGGAUACCACCCUAUCAUACCACAUCACAACCAUUUUAAUAGCACGUUGGCACGCAAGGUGAACCAUUAUAAACUCCUACCUAAUUAAGCAUGGCAUGAGCAACUAUAAUCUCUAAUUGUCAUUGCAAACAUGUUUCAUUCAUAAUAGGCUGAAUCAGGAACGAUGAAAUAAUCAUAUUUACAAAAACAAGAUAGGUCGAGUUCAUACCAGCUUCUCUCAUCUCAAUUAGUUCAUCAUAUAUCGCCAUUAUUCCCUUUCACUUGCACGACCGAACAGUGUGGAUAAUAAGAAUAGUGCACAUGCAUUGGACUAAGCUGGAAUCUGCAAGCAUUCAAUACAAGGGAGAAGACAAGGUAAUAUGGGCUCUUUGUUAGAUCAACAAUAAUGCAUACGAGAGCCACUCAACAUUUUGAUCAUGGUCUUUUCCUCUCGACCCCCAAAGAAAAGAAAAGAAACAAAACUAUUUACACGGGAAAGCUCCCAACAAGCAAAAGAAGAACAAGAAAUCUUGUUGGGUUUUCUUUUAAUUACUACUACUACAAGCAUGGAAAGUAAACUAGCUAAAAGCUACAACUAAAUUUUUUGGUUUUUAUUAAGGUUUUUCAAACACACAAGAAGAAUGCUCGAAAAGAAAAUAAACUAGCAUGGAUAUUACAAUGAAAAAGUAUGAGCACCGACAACUGGCACGAGUGUGGGAACAUGAAUGUAAUGUCGGUAAGAAAUACAUACUCCCCCAAGCUUAGGCUUUUGGCCUAAGUAGGUCUAUGGCCAUGACUGGCCUGGUGGAUAUACAAAGUUGUAGUUGGGGUCGUACUGAGAUACAGCGGCUAUUGCCUGAUGAGCUGCAGCUUGGAGGCGAGAUGCCUCCGUCCUCCUCUCAUACUCAUUCGCCUCCUCCCCGGUUAUAACAUAUCUCCCUUUUGCCUGAAAGUCAAAGAAAGCAGGAGCAGGGAGAGCAACAUGGAUAGUGCGACGUCUGUCAAAGAUUAGUUGGUAUUGGAGGAACUGUUCAUUCCUCUCAACAAACUGAUGACGAAGCAUAGCAUUAUAAACUAGAUAAGCAGGAGGUAACUCAAUAUCAUUCUCAUGUAUGGGUAUCUCAAGAAAAUUAGCUACAUGAGUUGCAUAAAUUCCACCAAACAAGUCUUGACUUAAACUAUUAACAUGCAACCUACGUGCAACAAUAGCCCCCAAGUUAUAUUGUUUAUCACCUAAUACCGCACUCUUGAGGACACUAAGAUCUAGAACUCACAAGUAUAGGGGAUCACAACAGGUUUUGAGGGUAGAGUAUUCAACCCAAAUUUAUUGAUUCAACACAAGGGGAGCCAACGAAUAUUCUCAAAUAUUAAUAGUUAAGUUGUAAAUUCAACCGCACCUGAAAGACUUAAUACUUGUAGGAAAGUAUUUAGUAGCAAAGUAAUAUGGAAGUAACGGUAAUGGUAGCAAAAGUAGCAGUAUUGGUUUUGUAGUGAUUGUAACAGUGGCAACGGAAAAGUAACUAAGCAAAGAACAAUAUGUGAAAAGCUCAUAGGUAAUGGAUCAGUGAUGGAUAAUUAUGUCGGACGCGAUUCCUCAUGUAAAACUUAUAACAUAGGGUGACACAGAACUAGCUCCAGUUCAUCAAUGUAAUGUAGGCAUGUAUUCCGAAUAUAGUCAUACGUGCUUAUGGAAAAGAACUUGCAUGACAUUUUUUGUCCUACCCUCCCGUGGCAGCGGGUUCCAAUUGGAAAAUAAGGGAUAUUAAGGCCUCCUUUUAAUAGAGUACCGGACCAAAGCAUUAACACUUAGUGAAUACAUGAACUCCUCAAACUAUGGUCAUCACCGGGAGUGGUCCCGAUUAUUGUCACUUCGGGGUUACUGGAUCAUAACACAUAGUAGGUGACUAUUGACUUGCAAAUUAGGAUCAAGAACUCACAUAUAUUCAUGGAAACAUAAUAGGUUCAGAUCUGAAAUCAUGGCCCUAGUGACAAGCAUUAAGCAUAGCAAAGUCAUAGCAACAUCAAUCUCAGAACAUAAUGGAUACAAGGGAUCAAACCCUAACAAAACUAACUCGAUUACAUGAUAAAUCUCAUCCAACCCAUGACCGUCCAGCAAGCAUACGAUGGAAUUACUCACACACAGCGGUGAGCAUCAUGAAAUUGGUGAUGUAGGAGGGUUGAUGAUGACGAUGGCGAUGGAUUCCCCUCUCCGGAGCCCCGAACGGACUCCAGAUCAGCCCUCCCGGGAGAGAUUAGGGCUUGGCGGCGGCUCCGUAUCGUAAAACACAAUGAAUCCUUCUCUCUUAUUUUUUUCCCCGAACGUGAAUAUAAAGAGUUGGAGUUGAGGUCGGUGGAGCAUUAGGGGGCCUACGAGGCAGGGGGCGUGCCCCCACCCUCGUAGACAGGGUGUGGGCCCCCCGAUGUAGAUUCUUUCGCCAGUAUUUUUUAUAUAUUCCAAAAAUAUUCUCCGUGAAGUUUCAGGUCAUUCCGAGGACUUUUAUUUCUGCACAAAAAUAACACCAUGGCAAUUUUACUGAAGACAACAUAGUCCGGGUUAGUUCCAUUCAAAUCAUGCAAGUUAGUGUCCAAAACAAGGUCAAAAGUGUUUGGAAAAGUAGAUACAAUGGAGACGUAUCAUACAACACUCAAACCACACUUACUGAAUUGAGGAAUUUUAGUAAUUAAACAGAGCCACUUGACCUAAACAUUGCUCUAAAAAAGACCAACAUUAAAAACAAAGCCUAAGUAUGCAUAAUUUUAACAAAUCCAUCGCCGCGCCGGCCUAUGCAUCACCGGUGUGAGAUGAGAUGUUGAUGACUUGUCCUGGCGAAAUGCCGCCAUUGGUGGACUCCGCGUCCCCCCUGCUGAAGUUGACCGCGUCCUCAUCCUCGUCCUCGGCGCCAUCCUCAAGGUUGUAGUACUCGUAGUAGUGGCUGCGCCAGAGCUCGUGUUGGUACUCCACCGCCCAUUCAUCAACGGACAUACUCUUCUCUACCUCUGCCUCAGCCAUGCGCAACUCCUCCUCCUGACGCUCCUCGAUCUUCGCCACCUCCUGCAUCUCGUGCUCCUGCUCGGCGAUCUCAUGAGGAAGCAGGUGCUCCAUGGCCACCGCUGCCUUUUCGUACGUGGGAUGCAUGCUGAAUUCCAAGGUGGCCUAGAGUAUCUUGGUGUGUGCAUCCUCGAUCUUCGCAUGGAUGGUCUUGACCCGGGCCAGGGCGACAUCGGCGGCAUGGACGGCAGCUCGAGCGCACUCGGCGUUUGCAGCCCCUGUUGCUGCAGCCGCUGGAGCCGUCUCGGCUGCUGCAGCUGCCCUGUCGGCUGCCGCAAACGCCCUCUCGGCAGAUGCGGCCAUGCUCAAUGCGGAUGCGGCGACACUUUCUGCAUAGGCAGACGCGCUCUCAGCGCAAGCGGCGGCGCUCGGGGAGGACGCGGCCAUCGUACGGGCCUUCAUGAAGCGUUUCCACGACAUCAUCUUUGCAAGAAGGGGGCACGAGAAUGGGGAUUGGGAUUCGUGGAUUCGGGGGUUGCCGGAACUGGAGCAGACGAGCCGACGAAGCUUAAAGAGGAAGACCUAAAUAGACCCAGAAAUUUUCAUCACAAACAGUUCCUACAAACAAAUUGUGUGUGAUGUUUCGGAUAUUUUUUAUUAGCUAUGAGAAAUGAAUUUGAUGUAAAGUGGCAACGAAUGGUGUUUUAAAUGUACGAAAUUUUUUGUAGUACUAAUACAACUGUCAUGUCAAAUUUUGGAAAAUUUCAGGGGUCAUUUGACCUUUUAAGACAUUUAAGUGGCUUUUAGCCAUUUAAUGACCGUAAUUCAAAUUUGAACUACAUGUACAUGCAACAGCUAACCAUAACGGUUUGAAAAGUCAUAUGUUGUGUACUUGUGUACGAUUUAAUUCCAUGUCAAGUAAAUUGGAAGGAAUUUUCAAACAUAUCGGUCUAACGGCUAUGACACAAUUAAGCAUGGAGUGCCAUGGCAUUUAAAUUUCAAAAAAUUAAAAGAAGGAUCAGAAACACAUGAAACCUUGCUUGAUGUAAUGUCAUGCCAACAAGAUGAUGUGGUAAAAUUUUUGGCAUGUUUGACGAAAGUUUGGACAAACACCCCUCACAAACCGAAGCAACUCACUAGAAGGCUCGUGUUUCCGAGAGGGAACAAUGCAUGUUUGAUGACGAACGGGAGAUAGCUUCCCCUUACGGCCUUCAAAUUAUUUAUACAUUUAACGUGCACUUAUACAAUUUUCAUGUGAAAUUGUGGAAAAUUUCAGGGGUCAUUUGACCUUUUAAAGACAUUUAAUUGAUUUUCUUGCCAUUUAGUGUCUGUAAUUCAAAUUUGAACUACAUGUAUGUGCAACAGCUAACCAUAAUGGUUUGAAAAAUCUUAUUUGUGUACUUGUGUGCGAGUUAAUUAAUUCAAUGUGCAAUAAAUUAGAAGGAAUUUUCAAACAUAUUGGUCUCACAGCAUGGACACAUGCAUUGAGUGCCAUGGCAUUUAAAUUCCAAAAAAAAAAUUGAUCAAAAGAACAUGAAACCUUGCUUGAUGUACUAUCAUGCUACCAAGAUGAUGUGGUAAAAAAAUUGGCCUGUUUGACAAAAGUUUGGACACACACCCCUCACAAACCGGAGCAACUCACUAGAAGGCUCGUGGUUCUGAGAGGAAACAAUGUAACUAUAUGACUCAUGUUCGACCUUUCGGUCUCUAGUGUUCCGAGACCAUGUCUGUACAUGCUAGGCUCGACAAGUUCAACCCAAGUAUUCUGCAUGUGCAAAACUGGCUUACACCCGUUGUAUGUGAACGUAGAGUCUAUCACACCCGAUCACCACGAGGUGCUUCAGAAUGAUGAACUUUAGCAAUGGUGCAUACUCGAGGAGAACACUUUAUCCUGAAAUUAAGUGAAUGGACCAUCUUAUAAUGCUACCGUCGUUCUAAGAAAAAUAAGACGCAUAAAGGAUAAACCCCAAUAGUGCGCGUCGGUCCUAAACAAAUGCUUUUUAACCCCUUUCCGUGACGACAUUUGGAACCGUCGCCAAGUGAGUGUGGGCGAUAGGGGGGUCCUUCCUGCACGACCCAGAAACAGUCGGGGAUAGGGAGCCUUGAUGCAUAUAGUUGUCCCUAUACAACUGUUUCCGAUAUCUCGAAUAUCCCAAAUGCUUCAUCCUUGCUACUCAUUUGUGCUCAUGUUGCUAUCGCAGUCGGAGUUUUGUGGUUCUUCCUAAAGCCAGGCAGAUUCCAGGCACAAGAGUUUUCCAGGUAGAUUCUAGGCACGGGAGUUUUACGAUGCCUGGCACAUCACAAAUAGUUCAUGAUUAUAAACCAUGUACGAUAGGUAGACAAUCACACACAUUUGGUUUUCCUACACCGUAUGUGAUAGUGUCUGACAUCACACACGCUUUGCAAACGGCAACUGUGUGCAUGCUUGCACACGUUUCCUCUCUGUCAACCGUCUCAGAUUAUGGUGUAUAUCGCAAACGUUUGUGUUUUACCAACCGUGUGUGCCGUAAUGACCCGCACAAUGUAAUUUCGCCCUAAUUUAAUUUCUGCUAUUUAAAAUUGUACCUAAUUUAAACUUUAAAGUAGGCUAUAGCUUUAUUCAUAUCAUCAUGUUCAAACAACCAAUGCAUUAUUCGAUUCACAGGUACAUAUGUUUAAGAAUCACUACAAAAAAAGACACAUCCGUGACAUUUUGGGCCGAACGAUUUUUUUUUCUGUCAUACAUAUGACACUUCUAUGACGAUAAUUUUGACAAAAUCCGGUAUCAUCAUAGAUGUGGUGGGCUCCUACUUCUAUGACAAAAAAUCAUGACAGAAAAUGGGCUUUUCGUCCUGGGCGGGCCGGAGACGCAGCUGCAUGACAUUCUUUGGGCCGUCCAUGACGGAAAAAACCAUGGUAGAAGCGAGGGGGAGGAAAAUUUUGGGGAGUUCCCGGUUACGGUGGGAGGUCGGGGCCAAGCGAUGCGUGUUUCUCUCAUACACGUACGCGCGUGUGUGUGAGGCGUUGGCUCUAACUGAACCCGAGCGAUUGCACUGCAGACUACGUGUUACUGAACCCGAGCGAUCAACCGAUGGCUGUUAACUGAACCCGAUCGAGCGAUUCCUUCGCUACUGCUGCUAACUAAAGCCGAUCGAUUCGAUGAACAGUGAGCGUUGCCGGAGGGGGGAGGUUGGAUGAACAGUGAGCAGUUGCGUUGCCUCUGGAUGAACAGGACCCCGUGUUGUGGAGGGCUGGAUGAACAGUAGACGGUGGAGGGGUGCCCAUGGAGGGGUGGUUGAACAGGAUCCCGUGUUGUGGAGGGCUGGAUGAACAGUAGACGGUGGAGGGGUUCCCGUGGAGGGGUGGUUGAACAGUAGCCGGUGGAGUAGCGUACGGUGGAGGCUGGAUGAACAUGAGCCCGUGGAGGCUGGAGGAGGUCGACGGUAGCCCGUGGAGGCUGGAGGAGGUCGACGGUGGAGAUGAACAUUAUCCCGUGGAGUCUUGUUUUGCAGUACGCCACACCCCUCUCGAUGAACAGGACCCCCGUUUCGACCGUAGGAGUUCCAUAUCGACCGUUUUGUGGUACGCCACACCCCUUCCCGAUCAAUAGGACCCCCGUUUUGACCGUAGGAGGCUUGUUUCGUCCGUUUUGCGGUACGCCACACCCCUCCUGAUCAACAGGACCCUCGUUUUGACCGUAGGAGGUCCGUUUCCUCCGUUUUGUGGUACGCCACACCCCUCCCGAUCAACAGGACCGCGUUCUGAACGUAGGAGUCUGUUUCCUCCGUUUUGCGGUACGCCAGGCCUCGUUUCCAUCGCCUGUUCCAUCCAAGCCCUCCUGAUGAACACGACCACGCAUUCCGUUCUGACCCAGCCGGUUGGCUCCCACGCGUUCCGUUGCCUCCCGAUGAACACGACGCAUUCCGUUGCCUCCCCAUGAACACGACGCAUUCUGUUGCCUCCCGAUGAACACGAUGCAUUCCGUUGCCUCCCCAUGAACACGACGACGACGAUGUUUCUCCGUUCCAACCCAGCCAUGUACACGAGCCAUGGCCGAACGUAUGCGCGAGUAGGCGUUCGAGACCUCGCCCGUAUGUACACAUACGUGGUCGUAUUUUAUUUCUUGCACCCUUGCUGUUGUACGUACGUGUACAUGCAAUGUGCGUGCCUCCACUAUGACACGUGCGUGCCUUUACAUCCACCAGUAUAUAUGUAUGUACACAUUCGCGACCAGAAUGGCAAUGCUACGUACGCUUCGACCAGGUGGGUCCCGACUGUCAGGCACUUCCUUGCGUGCGAAGAUGUAGCUGGUGGGUCCCAACAGUCAGCGGGGAAACAUUUUUUCAUGAAAUACGGUGGCCCAUCUGGUGGGUCCCCGCUGUCAGGUGGAGGAAUAAUUAUUUUGCACGUAAUAAGGAGGCACUUCCUUGCUGCGGCCAUGGACCCAGCUGUCAGCCUCUCCAUGUACAGUCCAUGUCCGAUGGAAGCCGUUCCUUGACCACGUUGACCACGCCGCGCCAAGAGCACCAGGGCGGUGGACGACGGCGAGGCCUAGGAAGGGGACGACAUGGAGCCGAGGAAGACACGACAGUGGAUGCCCAUGUGUAGAGGAGUACGAGGGUUCACUGGUUCGCUGCGGUGUGAGGCUGUCGUCGCUACAGAAUAACAGGGGGUGUGGGUGAGUAGAGGGAUGGACUAGCCAGCGGUGGGAGUAGUAGGGGGCGGUGAGGCCUCCACCGCAUCGCAGCCGGCCACGGGAGGCAGGAGCAUGAGGCACGACCGGCGCUGGUUUGGGCGGCUGGAGCAAGAAGACCAAAGGUUGAAGAAGCACUACGGACGUUGGAUGGACAUCGUACGGUCACUGGAGCUAGAAUCGUGCAUAUUGACUAAGUUGACAAAGCCCUCCAUCCCCGUCUACUUAGUAGGCCUACAAGUCAGCCUGCCACUAUACUGGGUCCCAGCUAACAGGGGGAGUAUUCAUUUUUUUGUGUGUAAUAAGGUAAUAAGGAGGCACUUCCUUGUGUGCGAAUAUAUAGCUAGUGGGUCCGAGCUGUCAACGGCGGUAACGUUUUUUUUUUUGCGAAAUACAGAGGCCCUUUCGGUGGUUCCCUGAUGUCAGGUGGAGGAAUCAUUGUUUUGAGCGUAAUAAGGAGGCAUUUCCUUCCGUGCGGCCGUGGACCCAGCUGUCGGCCUCUCCAUGUACAGUCCACUUCAGAUGCAUGUCGGUCGUUGACCACGUUGACCAGGCCGCACUGAGAGCACCAGGGCGGUGGACGACGGUGAGGCCUAGGAAGGGAACGACACGGAGGCAGGGAAGACUCGGCAGUUGUUUCCCACGCGGAGGGGAGUACGACUGUAUGAGGGUUUACUGGUUCAUCUGCCAUCACCGGAGAAUAACAACAGGUGUGGGUGAGUAGAGGGAUGGCUAGGCCAGCGAUGGGAGUAUGGUGGGGCGGCGAGGCCUGCGCGGCAGCAGAGCCGGCCGCGGGGAGGAGGGAGCAGGCAGUCCGCCGGUGCUUGUUUGAGCGGCUGGAGCAGGAAGAGCAGAGAUUGAAGAAGCAUGACGGCCGUUGGAUGACCAUCCAACAGUCACUGCUUGCGCAUCAACCUUUUUUUGGAAAGCCUCAAAUCUGUGGAAAAUAGCAUACAUCCCAUCUGCCAUUAUUUCUAAUAAUUUACAUCCCAUUUGCUAAUUAUUAAGGUUUUUUUUGGAGCCCAUAUUCUUUUUGUUAGCAUUACAACCCAUAUUGUGGCCACGGUUAAAAAAUUAUAUGAAAUUUUGCAUAUUUCGGUGCGGUCCGAACUGUUUUCAAUCCCGAAAUUUCGACUCACAUUCAAACUGAUUUUAAAAAUAAAUUUAUAUGAAUAUAAAACCCAACAAAUUCUCCACGCAUAAAAAUUAAUGUAAUUUAGAAUCUCGAAAUGAAAAAAAAGAUAUUUUAAACUAAUUGCCGGUUUGAUGUGUUUUAAAAAUGUACAACCCAUUUCUCAUUACUGAUGGGCCAUUUUCUCGGCCAGCCGAAUGAAAGCUCUCCACGUCUUGAAUGAUUUGCAGCCCAACAGGCCUGACAAAGCGACUUACUUGGCAAAUCACAAAAAACUGGGCUGUGGCCGUGGACCCAGCUGUCGGCCUCUCCACAUACAGUACUCUUCCGAUGGAAGGCCGUUGACCACGUUGACCACGCCGCGCCGAGAGCACCAAGGCGAUGGACGACGGCGAGGCCUAGGAAGGGGAUGACGUAGAGCCGGGGAAGAUGCGGCAGUGGAUGCCGACGCGGAGAGGAGUACGAGGGUUCACUGGUUAGGCUGUGGUGUGAGGCUGCCGUCGCCGCAGGGCCUGGCUAGCGGUGGGAGUAGUAGGGGCGAUGAGGCCUCAAUGGCAGCACAGCCGGCCACUGGAGGCAGGAGCAGGCGAUCUCCCUGGCGCUGGUUUGGGCGGCUGGUGCAAGAAGAGUAGCGAUUGAAGAAGCAGCAGGACCGUUCGAUUCAAAUCCAACGGUUACUGCUGCUAGAAUCGUUUCUUGACUAAGUUGACAAGCCGUGCGUACGCGUCAACUUAGUAGGCCCACAGGUCAGCCUCCCAACUGGUGCGCCCUAGAUGUCAGUGGGAGGAAUCAAUUUUUUGGCAUAAUAAGGAUGAAGUUGAUUGCGUGCGGCCAGGCCAGCGGAGGGAGUAGGGUGGGCCGGGGAAGCCUGCGCGACAUCACAGCGGGCCACAAGAGGAGGGAGGAGGCAGUCCCACCAGCGCUAGUUUAGGCGGCUGGAGCAGGAAGAUUAGAGAUUGAAUAAGCACAUCGGCCGUUGGAUGGACAUCCAACAGUCACUACUGCUAGAAUCAUGUGUUCACUGACAAAGCCUUGCGUAAACAAGUCAGCCUCGAAAUCUGUGGCGUGUCCAGCCCAUUUGCUAUUAUUUUUAUAACUUUUACUCAUUUUCUAAUUCGUAUGGAAUUUAUUGCAGUCUGUUUUCCAUUUUUAGAAUUGCUGGCCAUUUUCUGGUCAGUACUAGGGUCAAAAAAUUAACUAAAUAUGUGGGAAUUUUUGAAAAUUCACAAAUUUUUGCUGGGGAAUGAAAUAUUCUUAAUCCAAAAAUUAAUAGCCAUACUAAAACAAAUUUAAAAAUAAAUUAGUACUAUGUCAUGUUAAAUCCAAUGAAAUACGUAUAAGAUAUCAGUGAAGAACAAAAACAAAAAAAGAAACUUAUAUCCCAUUUGCUAUAAUUUUUUUGGAAUUUUCUACCCCUUUUGAUAUUACUUUUAACAGACAUUAACCAUACUCUUAAGCCAGGCCGGAAUGCAUCCCUCCUCGUCUUGAAAGAUUUGCAGCCUAGUAAUUCAGAGAAAAAAAUAGGCCUAGCUUGGGUAUUCUUCAAAAAGAAAUAUUGGGCUACCUAUUUUCCCAAAGAACUGGUGCAUGAGCAUUUAGCUUUAUUUAUUUAUUUACUUAUUUAUGUUUAGGGGACCAUGAGCAUGUACCUGGGCCGGCUUCAUGUGAGAGCCUCCCUUCCAGUUAAUUAUGGGCUUCUCUAUUGGGUCUUCAUCAGUGGGCUGCGUGUUAUCAACAAGUGGAAAAUGUGUUCCGUAUGAAAAAUACUAUGCGCUACGUACGGUACGGGGCACUAAAGGAUCGAACCGUGCAAUGACUUCCAAAACAUUGUGUUUGUCAUUCUAGCAACACAUUUAUUCAACCAAGAGACGAAAUAUACUACUGAUUGUACAUUGAAAACAGCAACAGCAGCAACCAGGGCUGGGGGUGCAACAGAAGUAGUAAGUAGGCCAGAAGAGGGAAGACGCACCUCUCUCUUCCAAACCAAACAUAAGCCAUCGUUACAAAAGGGCUACCAAAAAAGAACAAGUGUAUGCAUCAAACUAAAUAAAGAUCCUACUACACCAAGUGUACGCAUCUAACUAACUGGCUCAGUUAGACGUUACUAUUUAUUAAGCUGUGGAGAUUGGCUGAUGACUUGAACCAGAUGGGUGCCUGAUGGGCGAAACUCCAGCCAGCAGGUCGAAGUCUGAUACUUGCGACCCUCUCUCCUACUUUGGGCUGCAGAGCAUGGCGGCACAUAUCAGGGUAUGGUGCAUGCAGAGACGCAUGGUAUGCUGUGUACACACAGUUUUGCCUGAUGAACGAAACCGCGCUGCCAUCAUGAUCCAUGCAGUCGGUUAUCUCCUGGUUAAUCGGAUAAUUCAGUCUGACAAACAAAGAGUGUGUACCAAGGCUACUUACCAGCCUCCAGUCAAAAAUUCUUGAAGGCCCAGAGAAGCUGGGAUCCUGCUCAAAGACCGUGCAGUGACUAUGAUUGUAUUCCGCGAAACAACACGCCAGUACGUGCGAACGACAUCAAUCUUUCGCCAUCGUCUGAUCGAGCCAGGAACCACCUGCAACUGCCAUGCCACUUUUCUUUGAAAGGUUCUGGGAUUAGGAAGGGUAGGGACACCAGGCGGUCUACAACACCAUAUCAAGUUGGAGUCAAAUAAAAAAGGGCUCUUGAUUUAGUCAAUCUUAAGAACAACAUGUUAUGAGCAUGAAUAUUUUUUCGGCAAAUGUUGAGAGUAAUAUAAGCAAGCCAUCAUGAUAUCAUAGGAAAGUAACAUACUGCUGUAAUAGCCGUUUGUAGCGACGACUGGAGUAGGCCAGCAAUACGUCCAGCCGUAGAAGGAGUCGACAGCGUAAAUGAAGCCCUUGUGUUCAAUGGCAUCAGAAAACCAUGGAGGAUAUAUGAUCCUGCGAUGGACGUGCAGAUUUAUCCACUUACCGCAGUGACCUGUCAGAUAGGCGAGACCGCAGUUGAAGAAUGCAAUUAGCCUGAACUCUUUAUAAUUCACAGAUCUUGUGGGCACUUGGCAGAUUACAACCUUGAGCAAAUCAAACUUGGUAUCAUGUUGGCUACUGUAAGAUUCCGAGUAUUCUGGGCCAUGGUGCCAAAGCAGUGCAGUGUUAAUCGAAGGAAGGGGGAUCAAUCGCCGGGUGUAGACCUCCACGAGCAUCCAGCUAUCGCGAUCGUCGACGAGCACCAUCCAAGACGUGUUCAUGCCGACCCAGUACAUACAGUUAAAGUAGUUGAGGCCGACGGGGAUCGGAUCGCAGUCAAGGGGGUUGAUGCUCACCACCCUAUGAUUGUUAUGCUGCGUGACACGCCGUUUAUGAAGAUCAGGCGGCAUCAGCAAGCAAGGAGCUGGCUUAAAAAGCUCCGGCCUGAGGGCUUUGAGUAAACAAUACAGCCCCGAUGAGCACACAGCGAGCGGCAUGGUACUGAGAUUGUCCACACGCGAAACAAUGAGCUUGAUUACCUCUGUGGGGAGCGAAUUCCAGCCACUCUUUCGGCGGAUGCUACUCGAUUUUGCCAUUGUUAGUGCUUGGGUUUCGGACGAGGGGGGAGGCGCCUUAGCGGGGAUGGAAGAUUGGACGAGACUAUGUGAGGACAAAGAUGGAGAAGCGAAUAUGUGCUGCGGGAAGUGGACAGGUGAUGAUGACUACAACAUGCCGCUUGACAUAUGAGACACAUACCAGCAGCGUAGGGUCAUGUCGAUGCUAGACAACUUGCUUGAGUGAUCACAAUACUGGUACUCCCUACAGUGCUAUGCCCUAACUUGCUUGAGUAGAGUAGUAGAGUAGGACUCUGCUCUACUACUAGCACCAGAGGAGUAGUAUAUUCUAAACUAAAAUAGUUACAAACUUCAAUGCCCGAGCGAGGAACGACUACGAACCGUGCUCAAAGACCGUGUCUACGUGGUGUUUGGACAUGGGCGACAACCUCAACGCCAACGGUGCUGCUCCCGUUGCACCGUAUGUGUUUCUGUCCUUCCUGUUCGAAAUCGUGGUAGAAUUCAUGAUUUAUUUUGUGCUUAUUCGUAUUAAAUAUCGUAGUAACUUGCUCAUAUAUUCAACUGGCGCAACGUCCCCUACAGCCACUCCCAUUUCGUGGACGGCCUGGUCGAUGCCUCCAAGGAGCCCUUCGUCCACUGCUAUGAGUGCCCGAUGCCAUUUUGUGGCUUGCCGGCGAACAUGGUGCAUCACCUCACGGAUGCGUGAAACGGUCACUGCUGGCCCUUGGUGGAGAACAUCAAGUACGAGACGUGCUACCCGUUCACCAUGCCGGAGUCGCUGGAGGAUCACAACCGCCUGCUAGUCUCGGAGGAGGACGGCAGUGUCUUCCUCUUGAUCAUGGGCACCGGUGAGGCCCGCGCAGGCCGCCGCCCCGUCUCUGUAAUGUGCGUCAUGGGCGACGCCGCUGACGCUGACACUGACAUGAGGCCGAUGUACGGGUGCGUGGUCAGUGUUACUACCCCUCCGGGUCGCGUGGGCGGCGACACCAGCCUCAUCGAAUGGACUUGGACUCUGGGGAGCUGGGACUAUCCCACCAAUGUGGACUUGGAAAACCCAUGGCAUCCUUUACCCGCCGACGCGGUGCACGGGGACUCCAAGGAGGUUCACUUGGACAUACGCUUUAUCAAGUUAAAUGUUGAUCAUUAGUCCUCGCUCAAUGUAAUCCACUGUCUAAGCAUGUGGAGACUUCCAUGCAUGAUCUUUCUCUAUUGGAGUAUCGCGCACGAACAAAAGUGUAUCCGUUUAUGGUUUAGUCUAGAAUCUUCCAUGUAUGAAUUUUUACUACAGUACUGGUGAAAGACUUACGAUGAACCAUUUCUUACAUCUCCUCUGCCCGCUUGCAAGUCAUCCUGAUUUAAUCCCUCCGUCUAGGUGUAUAAGGGCAUGGUUAAUAUUACUUAAUAGUAUAGCCAACUGUUGACUAUAAGAAAGUGCCAUGUCGUCUGUAGCCAACAUGUAUAACAAUCGAUACUCAAAAACUAAUUCUUAAAGAUCAUUUCUUGCAAAGCACAAUAAGUGUUAUUUCUUCACAAGUUUUGGAUGCAGGUUGAACAGUUGAACGUUUUUGUUUGCAAAAGAUACCUUUUUAUCUAUCUCACCCGGAUGUUUGUGAUCUCUAGAGAUGAAAUAAUAUCCGAAGAAACCUAUCGAUACACGUUACACAUGAGAUGACCCCCACAUCCUUUGUCAAAAUAAACAACUCCUCGAUCAAUGCAUUUCACUCUUUGGUGCAACGCACGGGCACCUUACUACUAUAGAUUAGUACGACCAAAAAUUGAACUAACAUUAUAUAUAGUACGACAAAUGCUGAUGCAUGUCACCUAAAAUUAUAUCAUUCAAAACUAUGUUCAAAUACGAAUCCAAUGAUAUAGUUUUUGUUGACAUGCAGUAACAUUUUGUCAGUUAAAUUAUUUAGUCAAAUUCAAUGGGGGACUAAUAAACCAUGACCGAUGUAGUACAAGUGUAGAGGGCGGCGCUGUACGGGAGUCUCACCUGUCACCCUGCUCGUGGCACGGCAGUAAAGCCAUCAUAUCACAAAACCCAACCACUCCCAAUAAUAAGUGGCCUGGUAAAAUAAACGGACAAGCAACCAUCACAUCCCUUCAUCUUUUUUGCAUUUCAUCUCUCUGCAUUUACUUUCUCCGGUUCAUCUCGCACACUCGAUCCCUAGCUACUACUCCUAGGGCCAGUUCUUUUGGAGGCUUCCCCAGCUUUUCCCACAAGACUAGUCACAGUGGAGAGUAACAAUAAGGCGCCUCACUCAUUUAUUUGGGCUUCUAAACUACUACUCCGUCCUGGUUUAUUCCUCACCAUUGUAAUUUGUGCUAAAUUUUGACCAAAGAUUUAACUGGUUUAUUCCUCACCAUUGUAAUCCCUCCGUCUAGGUGUGUAAGUCGUCUUACGAAAGACAAAUAAUCCCAAAACACUUAGGCACGGUGCAUUAACUUCUACCUCGUUUCUUGUUUCUUGACAUAUCAACCAAUAAGAGAUAAAGAGUGUGCAUGCUUUUAAUGACUUGAGAUAUCAAACACGACAUGCAGUGGUUAGUUCAUUGCAGCCAAUACUAUUAAUUAGCAAAUAAACAUUAACGUUUCUCAUUUUCUCCUCCUCCUUGGUUACGGUGCACAGCCUAAGAUGAUUUACUCACGUAGACGGAUGGAGUAGUGCAUGUGACAUGCACUAACAUUUCAUUAGUUAAAUUUAUGAUCAAAAUUUGACACAGAUUACAAUGGGGACCAAUAAACUAGGACGGAGGUAGUAGUUAUGGGAUUACUAAUCUAGAAGCCUAAAAGAACUGGCACCUGGUACUCCUACUAGUAGUAGUACUCAAGUUGGAAUUCCAAUUGCACGACACAACUUGUUAGGCAAAAAAUUCGAUACAGGGUGUAGGAAGCGGUUUGGGAAUUUGCAUGCCUUUCCAACCAGUGAGAUACUCCGUACAAAGUUCGACAGAGAAAUAACCACAGAGAAGGAAGAUAAAAGUAAAUAAUCAAACGAGCAUUUUUGCAUUUGUUUUGGAUUGAUCGUUUCACAAGCUUGACUAGUGCUGUUUUUUUACUUUUACAAAAACUGCAUCGUAAUGUUAAAACGUGCAUUUGCACAUACUUACAUAAGUAAUAGUAGUACUCCCUCCGUCUAGGUGUAUAAGUCUUUCCUCCUUCUUAGUCACGGUGCACAACCAAAGAUGACUUAUUGACCUGGACGGAGGGAGUAGCACAGUCUGCAAGCAUAUAUCGAGAGAGACGUGUAGUGCGAUAGUAUAUAGUAAAGUUUGUGCUAUAUGCAUGCACUUGCAAAAUGCGUAUGAAUACACAAGGUUUACAAACUUUCCCUUUUACAUACUUAAUUAAGGACGCUAAAAAUUCCUGAACGUCCGGGAUUUAUCAUUUGCGUCCCAAAACUAAUGAGAUCGCCUUACGAAACAAAAAUUAUACUCCUCCUAAAAGCCACGGCGCUCGCCGGAGCGAUUGCGAUGCACCACGAGUGCCCUGGUGCGCGGCCAUUUCCCAGCGUGCCGACACAAUGCCUCUUCCUCAUCCUCGCAACUCGCGAGGUGCUGAUUGGCGGCUUGCCGGCGGGCGAGCGCGAUCUCACCAGUGUGGUGAUCCGGCGCCAACAGGUACUCCUCCUUGCUGGAAGCGUGCACCCGGUCCACGUACCGCCAAGUGUAGAUGAGGCGCUUGGGCCCGACUGCACUCAGGGCGUCGGCACGGGCGUCCUCCGCCACCCUCACGGCCCUCGCACGAGCCUUCUGCCAAAGAGCCAAUUGCCUGACUCUCCCGGACGCGACAUAGGCCUCCCAGGCAGCUUGUUCCGUGGUGCACUUCUCUUCCUCGGCCUUCUUCUCCGCCUCUAUUUUGGCACGCUCUGCUGGAGGCAAAGCCUCCCACAAGGCGACAUCCAUUUGUUUCCAAAGCUCCUCAAGGCUGGGGGGGGGGGGCUCAGCGGGCAGCGCGGCAUUCUCCUCGUAGCGGGGAGCCGACACAUCCUCCGGCGCGCGUGCUGGCGAGAUUGGGAACGCCGACGCGUGCACCUCGACGCGUCGCAGCGAGGAGCGGAACGCCGACGCGUCCUCCUCGACUAGUGGCGGCGGGGAAUGAAAUGGAGACGCGUCGUGGCGAGGAGCGGAACACCGACGCGUCCUCGUCGACUAGUGGCGGCGAGUAACGGGACGGCGACGCGUCGCGUAGCGGCGAGGAGCGGAACACCGACGCGUCCUCCUCGACUAGUGGCGGCGAGGAACGGAACGGUGACGCGUGACCAUCCACACGGUGUAGCGAGGGGCUCCUAAGGCUUGGGAGGGGCGAUGCCAUGGUGGUCGACGUGAGAGGGAGGGGGAGGAGAUAGCGAUGAACGUGAACGUGAGGGGGAGGAGAUAGCGAUGUCGUGGGAGGCACAGAAUUUAUAGCGAGCAAUGGCACACCUACGUAAGAUAUGGACUGAGCUGCACUGACUUAACUGCAUGUCCAGUUGCGUCACUGACAUGUGGGCCAGACCCCUAUUGGGCCCAUAUGUCAGUGACCCAAUGCACCUGCAGUUAAGUAACAGCUGCAUGGGCAUAUUUGUUGGAGUAAAUUACGGGGGAGCGAAGGGGUGGAAAUAUUGCUUGUCACAACAGAUUGGACGAGCGUGAGGGGAGGAGAGUCAUGCAUGCAGAUUUUUUCACACGGGGUGGAGUGGUGGGGUCGCCGAAGGGAGAAGGAGAGUUUGGCAGGCAUAUUGUUUCCACACAUGGAGAGGAAAAGAUUUGGAGACGAACGGGCUUCCUGCAGGUAUGGGGAACAGUGCAUAAUAAGUCAUCUUGCAUACCGGGCUAGGUAUAGUCUCAAGUCAUGAAAAACAUACACGCCCCACACAUGUUCAUAUUUCAAGGUGCACUAAAUUAUUGCAUGAGAUGAUUAAGGCUGGCCAUAAUGGUGGUAUCUUAGCUGGUAUCAUGCACACGGGAAUAGCAAACAUGCUGAUGUGGCAAAGAAUUAAAGAAGAGAGGGGGGUUUAGAGUAACUAGUGUUCAUGCAUGCAUAGGUAAACACAUUUUUUUGUGAAGAACGACAACACUAGUUGAGUACUUUUGCAGACUUAAAAAACUAUUCCACUGCCUCUACUAUCUUGCUAAGAGUAGGUGAAAAUUUUCAAUCGAGCCCUUUAAAUUAGAAGGGAUGUAGUGGUACUCUAAUAGCUAACCUUGUUGUGAUGACAAGAUAGGACAUGGCACGCACCUGGACGGAGGAACUAGUCUGCAUUGUGCAUUUAAGUUUUGUCUGAAGUCAAUGUACCUCUACUUUCACCAGACUUAUAGAAAAAUGUGUCAACAUUGACAAUGUCAAAUCAAUAUUUUUACACUCAUUAUAAAACGUAGUUCUUAUACUCAUUAUAAUCAGUAUUGUAGAUAUUGAUAUUUUUAGUAUAAAUUUGGUCGUGGGAUUUCAUUGAUGCCUGUCAAAGCAUGGAGGAAGCGGAGCUUAGGGCUUGCAUUGCUGGUCUCUACAUAGUUAUUUCUCUUCAUAAUCCUGUAAUUUUAGAGACUGAUUACGCUUUUGUGGCAGCGUCUCUUGCAUCGGGGUACUAUGACAGGUCUGCUAUGCGUGACCUGAAGAUGAAAGUGUUGAGCAUCUCGAAGUUGAUCAACAAUCUUCAAUUGUCAAAGAUUAACCAUCCGGCCAAUAAGGUGGCACAUUUAAUCGCUAAGUAUAUCUUUGACAAUAGAUUAGAUGGUAUUCUUGUAAAUAACGUACUGCCCUGUGUGGUGAAUAUUGUAUCGAAUGAGUGUACUGGUGUGGCUGGUUAAUUAAUAUAAGGUGGUGUUCAAAAAAAAGUAUAAAUUUGGUCAAACACUUUGCAAACGGUUGACGGGAGUAAAAAGGACUAGAGGGAGUAUCAUGCAUGCGGAGUAGACAAAAAAUGCUUGUCUAAAAAAAGGCAAAAAAAAUUGCUCAUUUAUAGCCGGUCAAAGUCUCAAAGAGCUCGACCGCGCAAGGGAGGCGAAGGUCGUGGGAGGCGCGACAUUUGACGGAAUUAAGUGAAGUUACAUCCACGCGCCGGCAUGGCAUGCAAACAGGCAGAAGCUAGACCGUCAGGCCUACGAUAUGGGUCUAGUAGACAUGACAUCUAGUGGGUCCCGCAUAGUUCUCGAGAACUCUUUGGGGGCUUGCAGCCGUUUAUCCACCGGGCAAGCCAGCAACACCACACUAUUCGCACGCCCUACUCGUUGCCAUCUUCUACCUUACAACAGUUCGCUCCCAGUCGUCCCGUCCUUUCACAUUAGUUCGCUCCUAGUUUUUUUGCGGGGUACAACAGUUCAACUUCUCCUAACCCUCCUCCAAAAUCCCUGGCCUCCCAAAUCUCCAUGGUUGCCCCUGAGUACCAGGUUAGAGCCUUCACCGGCGAUCAGUUCAUCGUCAUCUACACACGUGGAUCCGAGACGGUGAAAGCAUGGCUUGCUCGCUUCCUACGCAUGUUCAACAGUUCAACGGAUGAGUGGGUCGCUGGGCUAGAUGUUGAGUACACCACAGUCCUAGGACGAGAGAAGGAUCUAAAGGAUGAAGAGAGGAAGAAGCCCGCCGUGAUACAGGUUUGCAUACAUAAUGUUUGCUUGGUCUACCACAUAUGCCAUGCCGACGUUGAGUGCCAGGAUUUUAAGAACUUCCUCAAGGACCAAAGAGUGAAAUGCGUUACUGUAGGCUUUAAGAACGACAGGGAUGUCAUGCGUCGGAUAGGUCUCGUUGUAGGCCAGCCCUUCGAUCUCCAGAAGGCAAGCUGGUGUCCUCCUCUCAACCUUCAAUGCUGACCCUGGCAGCAGCCAUGAUUGAUCCUUCAUACGCUAAACUGAAGAAACCUCAUCACGAGUUUCAUCAUGCAUGGGAGUCGAAGACAUUAGAUGAAGAUCACAUCCUGUACGUAGCAAUGGAUGAUAUCUUUGUUUAAAUAUCUACAAGGGUUGGAUGAAGAAGCAGAGCCCAGUGUCCGGUUCAAGCAAAGAAGCGUCGGCGAAGAGGAAGAGGAAGAGGGACAAGGACGAAGUCGAGGACGUGGACUCGGACUCCGAGUAGGUGGCAGUGCCGUCGCUCAUGCUGGUUCUACUGCAGUGUCAAGCGGACUAGUUGCUUAGUUUAUUUUCAAGGGUGUGUUGUGUUGAGGCCCCAGCAGAACUAUGUUUAUGUUCUUUCUCGUUAUUUGAACUCUUUAGUACGUACAGUAGUACUAGUACUAUGUCUCACUACUGUUCUUCUUGCAGUUGGUACUAGUGCUCGUAUCUUCAUGUUCCUACUGUACUUAAUACGUUCGUACUAGUAGUAUAAUUUGGGUUAGUCGAUUUGUGAAAGAAGUUCGACAGAGCGAAGGAAGAAGACGGCAGAAGAGGUGGAAGAAGCCCUUCUAGCCAUCCAUGUUGCAUCAAACGGCUCACAUGAGUCGACUGACCCAAAUUGCUCCUUCAGAUUGCAGGAUCCACGUGGCAUUCAAGGUCUCGAAGGCAGAUUCCACGUCCGCACCCAGUUUGCGGGCUCGACGCGCGCGCGACCGGCUUCCACCGCGUCAGCCACCAUGCGCGCCUCCUCCGCGCGGGCGGAGACGACAAUGACAUGCUAGUUCCUCCUCGCCGGCGUGCUAGAGCACGUGCUCGUCCUCCUCUUCGUACACUGCGUGCAUAGACGCGGCUCCACCAGCUGCUCGCGUGCUUGGCAGCGCGGCGACAUCGCGAGGAGGGACUGCAGACGACGUGAGCGGGCGAGCCUUCGGCUUCAUGGCACAGGAAUGGCGGUGACACGGCGGUGAUGGGCGAGAAAUUGUUGGCCGGAGCAGGCGGGCGCCGGCAUGCGUAACAUCGGCGGCGGCAUAUUGAUGAGUGCGUGUGUGGGAGCUUACUUUAGUUUUAUAUAUAAGGUUCGUGAAACUUAAAAGAAAACCGUACUAGUACACGUAAACAUUAGACUUAGGCAGCGCUUUUAUUAGUUAGUACCACAGCCACGAUACGGAAUCUUGUGCAAGUGCGUGAACCGCGUCCGCGCGGUUGAUCGAACGGUGUGUCACCAUGUCGCGCUCGAAGGACAUCCACCGAACCUUUUUGUGUGUGUGAAAACAAUCCUCGAGUAUUACUCAACUUUUUUUUCCUGUGAAAGUUCUUGACGCUGCAAUAUUUCCUUAUAUUUGAAUUUAGCUCCAGUUCAUGUUUAUUUGGAUUUGGAUGUUUUAGGUGCGCCCUAGUUUUUUAAUACUAAUUUUGUGUGUGUGACUGAGAGAGAACGUGUGUAUGUGUCCAUAUGUGUGUUGUGGCGGAAGGGCAAUGUGGAGACGGUGAGCGUGUGAUACAGACAUAGAGAGGUGUGAAUGUCCAAAUGAUCAUGCAUGAGUGAGACAUAGACAGAUGCCGAUACGUUGUGUAUACAUGAGAGAACGGUCUUCUAGUUUACUUGUGUGUGUGUGUGAGAGAGAGAGAGAGACUGAGAGAGAGGGAGAGAGAGAGACAGAGAGAGGAGCAUCUGUAACACAACAACCAUCUCUCUCGAUUCGUCCGUCCCUCGCACGGUCACAUGCAACACAUGCAUCAACGCGCACAUUUUGACACCCUCACCCGGCCCUUGCCCACCUCAAGGCCCGCACAAUAUCUUCGUGAAUACCCAUUUCUAUCCUUAGGUUUGUUUUCUCUCAAUAUCUGACACACACACACACACACACACGCAGCACAACACACACACACACACACACUCCCCCGAAAACACAAUUCAUCCCCAUCCAAGGUUAUACGGUGACCACUCUCGCUUGUGUUUCUUUGCACCCCAACAUGCACAACACCUCAAUCUUCAAAGAGGGCAUCAAGCAGAUCAAAGACGGCGACCACACCACGCUAGAGAAUGUGGGUCAUUUGGAAGCAGGGUGAUGUGAUGACGGCUGACUGACUCCUCCCCCCACCCUCUCUCUGUCUCUUGCACAAAAUUACCAAUCCCUCUCCCCCCACACAAAAUUGUCAAUCCCUCAACCCACGAGAUCCUUCCCCUCUCGUCCAUGUUUUUCCAUCUCUCUCAUCAAACAUGUUGUCUCUUCUCCUUCCACGUAUACAGAAUCCAAAUGCACAUGCAUCUCAUGUAUAUUACAUGUAUCCAUCUUUCUCAUAGACCUAACUUCUUCCUCUCUCUUUCUGUUUGGUUAGGUUUGUCUCCUACUCUCUCGUCCACAUACAUACAAUCUUUCCCUCCCUAUCUGCUCCAUCUUCAAAAGCUCUCUCUGCACGUUUCAUUCACACAUUGGGAUAUGUCAAAAUGUUGCUUCUAUAAUGGCUGAUGUAGAGUUAUGGUUGUUUUUGUUGCAUCCUACAAAGUAAUAACUAUGAAAUGCAUUUAGAUUCUCAUUUGACUAGGAUUAUGUGAGUUUGAGCAUGUUGUGAAGUACUAUAGACCUUGUAUACAUCUUGGGAUUCGAUAAUGAUUGUAACUAUUGAAUUGUAUAGACCAUUACAUUCGAAGUCAAUAGCCUAAUAUAUUUAUUUCACAAUUUCAACAAAUGAUUAGUUCACUACAAACUAAGAAAACAAAUGUGUACUCCCUCCAUUUUUAUUUCAGCCCGCGUAUUAGCAUUGGUCAAAGUCAAGUUUUGUAAACUCUCAGAAAUCUUAUAACAAAAAAUAUUAACAUAUACAAUAACAAAAUACCAUUAGAUUCAUUAUUGAAUGUACCUUCACAUCAUACAUAUUUGUUAUGGUAAGUGUUUAUAUUUUUCCAUAAACUUGGUCAAACUUUAGGAAGUUUGACUUCGGUCAAACCUAAUAUGCAGAGUUUACUACUACUACUCGCUAGUUGCUUAGCCGAAUCACUCAACACGCCACACGGGGAGUCCAGUGUCACAAAAUUUUGAGGUCGGCGGGAAAAUCUCCCGCGACCCUGAUUCGAGCAGUGGGAAGUUACCAUCAUAGCCUUCGGACCUACGGAUGACGCUUGGUAGGGGGCUAUUUUCGUAACUUCAGGUUCACCCUACCCAGCCGACCCCACCCCGGCACCCAGAGUAGUACACCUGAAUACUUCCCAUUUUCUAUCCCCACUACAAAAUAGACUUCUCCACGGCACCGCAGCCUUCAUGCUCCUGCCCUUUACAUCGGCGCACUCGUCCACCGCAGUGCAUCUGCCUCAUUGACGACCUCGUAAGCCGAAUUGGAGCCGGUCCACCGUUGUCGUCGUACAUGGAGCCUCUUCCCCGGCAUCGUCUUCCACGGUCUCGGAUCUGCUUCUCGGAAGCCGACGCCAAGCGCAGAAGUACCACCGCCGUGGACAAUGAACUGACUCCCAUUGCUGACCAUGACUCACAGAGGCCGCCACGACCAUCGUUCUCCUCCUCGAUUGGUAAUGUGUGUAUUGAAUCACUUAGCAAUACAUGUGCAGUUCCAAUUUUGUUCAUACCUACCCUUCAAAUUUCCUAGGUGCUAUUGUUCUCGUAAAAGUAAUUGGUUAUAGCCUCCAUUGUCCAACAGAAUAUCAGCUUGUAAUUGUGUGUCGCUCCUGUAUCACGUUGUGCUUGGGUAGGUUUUUCAUCUGCAACCAGUAGUGCGGCAAAUGAUGGAAAGGUUUUUAGAACUAGCAAGAUGCCCAUGCGUUGCACGCAUCAAGAUGCAUUUGUAUGAGUAGUUUAUCUUGUGGGAGAAAAGGAUGAAUGAGGGAAGGCCUUAUUUGCAAAUCUGGAGAGGGGUAUGGGUAUCUUUUUGCAAAAUUCCCAUUUGUUUCCAUCCUAUCUGUCAGAUAUAAAUCGGACGGCCUAUAUUGCAAGAAAAAAGUAUAGAGAAAAAAAGUAUACAGUAAAGGAAGUAGAGAUAAAUAUUAAAUAUUAAAUAUUAAAUAAAUAUAACAGUAGAGAAGAGAGUAGAGAUAGCAUGUUGAUAUUUUUAAAGCGCCGCACGUUGCGAUUCUGUUGGAGAUGCUCUAACAUGGCAGACGAGUGCUUUAAUGUUGCCCACAAGAUGCGCGAGUAUUACUAGUAGUAUAUUUUUCUUGCCAUGUUGAGAUUUUAAAAGCAUGAGUGCGAACAUGCAGAGGAGCAAUGAAGGACAAACACGGGAUAUUCGGGACAUCUUCAAGGAGCGUGGCAAGUUAAAGAGGAGUUGCACCGAACCUGUAAAAUGAGCUUUGGUAAGUAACACCCUUUCAAUUACUUUCGUGUAGCCUCGUGUUCUUCGAUGUGUAUAUGUUGUAGUUUCUGUUUCUCUGAAGCGUGGUGUUCUUCGAUGUGUAAUAAGAAGAGUCUUAAUCGUCCUAAUGCUUUCGUUUUUAGCUUGAUGUAGGAAGUGGGUGUUCUCACCAUGUAGUCUGUUUUUAUUUUUUUCCUUUUGAAUUCACUUCUUCGAGUUCUGUUUAUCUGGCUUCUACUAAAUGGAUCUAGGUUGCUCUGAGUAUUGAUCUAAAAAAGAAGUAACUUCAUGUCAGGAUGCAGUUCCUGCGAUGAGGGAAGUACGGUCAACCUCGAGAUCAUGUUUCCAAAAUGAGGCUGGAUUACACAAAAGGUGCCAGUUCCCUAAUGAUGCUGGAUUAGACACAAGGUGCAAAUUCCCAGAUGAUGCUGGAUUACACACAAGCCAGGUGGAGUCGUCAGCUGUUCAUGUCCUCAUGGCAUUAGUAAAGGCUGAAAGAAAGCGUGUAGCAGCCCUUGAGAAUGUAGCUGAGUUCCUGAAGAAGCGAAAAGAGCAAUCAGAUGCUCUCUUCACCCAAGCCAAAGAAGAGAUGGAAGAAGCCACAAAUAAGCUAGCAGAGGCAGAGCAGGCUAGGCAUCUCCUACUAUCUAAAACUGUUGUCAAUACAAAAUUUCCUUCAUAAUAGCUAGGUUCAAAUGUUUAUCCAGUCAGCAUGCCUGUUGUGAUGUCCGUGCAUCUAAUGAUGUGGCACAAAAUGUUUUUUGGGUCAUGUAAUAACAGCAAUUACUUUCCAAACAAUAACAGACGAAGCAUUGGACAUGGUAUAGUUCAAUCGCAAGCCCGACAUUCCAAGUUCAACUUCCACAUCAAACUCGUGUUCACAGAUAUCUGCACAUUCAUACAUAAUGUCCAAAACCAUGAUUCACUUCAAAGCCGAAAAAUGUGAGGAGAGUUAUAAAUAAAUAAAAUCCUCUACUAGUUCCUACUACAAGUGCGAGCACAGCAAGUCAAGACCACGCGUAAAUUAAUUAUAUUUUAGUCAUUUUUGUGUUCUAAAAUGCCUGCCGGCUCGCGGAAGGACAUGUUGCCGGCACACGCACGGAUUCAAUGAAGGCAGGCGGGGCAGUCUUAAGCUGGUUGCACGCGGCGAGGAGGCGUGCUUAGUCGGGCCUGCAGCGAGUGCGGCCCUCUUGGCCGGCGCGCCGGUUCAAUGCCUGCGCUAUGAGAGGCCGCGUCCGUGUCAGAGCAAUCACUCCCUCCAGUCCUUUUUUGUUUGGGUAUAACAAAAUCUCGUUUUCCAUUCACAUUUUACAAGUAAAAUUCGUGGACAAACUUUGACCCAAAGUACGAUGGGGACUAGUAAACCAGAAUGGAGGCAGUAGUUUUUUAAUCAAAGAAGGGUUUCCCCUUCUGAUUUUCAUUACUGAAAACCAGCACCUAAAUCUAAACCAUAGUAUUUGCCCUAGAACUACUAGGUUCAACAACUCGCAACAUAAACCCAUACAACCUCCAUCGCAAAAAAACCAUACAACCAUACGCCAAGGAGGUACAUAGUACUAUGAAUUCCAUUUUCGCUCCAUACCAAUCGUUCUAAAAACUACUUACUACUUAUAACGCGCCAUUGAAAAUCGGAACUCUUAACCCCGCUAAAAACGAUAUUUUAAACGUGGCUACUCGAUCUGUGGCAACUGGCGAGCCACCGCGCUACAAGUUGUUCACCUGUGGUCCCGACCAUCAACUCCUACGGAUCAAAUCAUCACGCGAGCUGACUAUUCCUACAAAGGUGCUCCACCACGUACCCGGUACCCGCGAAUGCAGCAAUCGUGCACCUAGGGUUUUAGGGUUUAUUUGUUAACGUUGCCUUUACAUAACACUCAUGUGUGCGAGACAGCGAGAGGCCGACUGCGUGUGUGCGCCUCUUCUCUUCGUAUAUGUACUCCACCGUUUGUCUGGUGUCUAAAAAUUAUAAUAACUACUAGCAAUGUGCCAAUGCGUUGCCACACGAUAAAAGUAGAUUAAUACAUAUUCACCGAUUUGAUAGAAAAAAAGUCUAGUUUUGAAAUACGUAUAUCACUAAAAAUAUGUUAUGUUUCACUCAAAUAUAUUCCUUUGGCGGUUUUGAUGAGAUAAGGGAGGAAUGUUAUUGGUUUCAAGAUUCGAGAAGUGGUAUAUGUCUAAUUUCUACUCUUACUAGCAAGAUGCCCGUGCGUUGCACGGAACAUCAAGAUCUUGUGGGAGAAAAGUAUGAAUGAGGGAAGGCCUUAUCUGCAAAUGUGGUGAAGAGUGCGGGUAAAUUCCCAUAUUUUCCUUCCUAUCCGUCAGAUAUAAAUCGGACGACUUACAUUGCAGGAUGGCAGGCCCACCAUCAUCACCAACUCUAUUUUUUAUCCCUGUCGGCGUUCUGGGAACGGGGGUCCCCAGACUUGCCUGCCUGCGGCCUGCGGCGUGGCUCAAAGGGGGCCCCAGCGCGGCCCAUCUUCACCAACACAAACCCAAGACCCUCGCGAGGGGCUAAGCCUCGCGGGGCGGACGACGUGGAGCUUCCGCAGGCGCGGCCUCAUCAGGCUGGCUCCCGAGGAGGCGGAGAGAUCAAGGCGGGGUACCUCACGAGGUGCCCGUGAUGCAAGCCAUGACGACCGGGGGCGCCAGGCGGGUGCCAGCCCGUGCAUUGUCCUCCCUUCCUCUUUGGUGCAAAGGGGGCAAGCGCAGCCGCGGAGUACCGAGGCAUCAGGCAAAGGAUGCCAUUUCGGUGCAACGAGACCAAGACCAGGAGGACUACGAGACGGAGGUCACCAUGGAGCCCAAGACGGCGUCAUCACCAGAGCUUUGCGCAGGCGAAGACUACUUUUGUUAGGAUAGUUGAUACUAGCUGUCCCCCUUCAAAUUAGCCCGCCAUUGUUGGCUCCCUUCCCGCUCGAUAUUUGGGAAGAGGACCAGGGCCUCUAUAAAUAGGACCAGCCACCCACAGAGCAAAGGGGGCUGAGAGGUUAGAAGGAAAGAGAGGGGGUUCGAUCAGAAAGAGAGAGAGAGAAAGGCGACUGAACUCCUCCUAGCAAUUCACUGCCCCAGCCAAGAACAGACCCUCGCGAGGCUGUUCUUCCUUGUAUUGUUCAUCAUCAUCAGCCCAAGAGGCAAUCCACCACACCACGCACUGGAGUAGGGUAUUACACCACAACGGUGGCCCGAACCAGUAUAAACCCUGCGUCUCUUGUGUUGUUCUUUCCUUAGUUUAGAUCCUAGCAAGGCAGAGGAGUGCAGGUAGGCAGGAGGCGAAAUCUCCGCGCGCACCCUAGUGUUCGAACCUCAAGGGUCUGCCAGAACCCGAAAUCCGACAUUUGGCGCGCCAGGUAGGGGUGCGGCGGGAUUCGUCUUCCACCACCCCGUUCUCCUCCGACCAUCACGCCCAUGUCUGACGCUCGUCGGGCCCGCGCUGAGCGCCGGGCCGCGCUCGCUUCCCGUGUCGCCCAGACGGCCCCUGUCGGCGGGCAUCCUCGCCGAUCCCCGUCACCUGCCGUCAACGCCGCCACCGGCCCGGCGGGGGACGAGCAGCAAGCAUCGUCCCAGCAUCCGUCCGUGUGGCAAGACGGUCGCACCGCAACUCCCUCGCUCACCCCAGCUGGUUCUUCGUCCCGCGCGCUCCAUGCGCCCAUGGAGGCUCGGGCUGCACUCAUCGCGGCGAACGAGCUCCUGCGCUACCGUCUCGUCGACGACAUCUAUGAAGAAUGGCUCGACCGCGUCGCCGAGCUCGUCCGCACCGCAGGGGGCUCUCCUGCGCCGUCCGUUCCGCUGCACCGCACCCCAUCCCACGCGGGCAAUGAAGCUCCGGCGGCGCCCCAGCCGCCUCCUCCUCAGGAAGGCGCCAUGGCUCCAAGCCGCGUGGCCCCUGGGCGGAACCUGCUCCGUCAGGCGCCAGCGCAGCAAGAGCAGAGCUGUCAAGAAGUCCCUCGCCUGCAGGAAGCUGCCCGGCCGCUCCCUGCUCCAGCACGUCGCGACCAUGCUCCUGCUCCCGCGCGUCAAGACCCCGCGCUGCUCACAGCUGCAGCGCGUGGGGACAUGCAAGACCAAGUUCCCCAUCGUCCAAGGCCUCUCGUGGCCACAGCGGGCUGCCGCGCCUUCGCCGCCGAGCUACGCAAUGUCAUGUGGCCCGGCAAGUUCAAGCCAGACUUGCCUCCUCGCUACGAUGGCAUGGCUGACCCUGUGGAGUUCCUCCAGCUCUACGAGCUGGGCAUCGAUGCUGCCAACAGAGACGAGAAGGUCAUGGAGAACUGGUUCCCCAUGGCACUCAAGGACGGGGCCCGCACCUGGCUCCUGAACCUGGCUCCAGGCACAAUCUCCUCCUGGGAUGAGAUGUGCACCCGCUUCAUCGCCAACUUCCAAGGAACUCGCGACCGGCCACCCGCCGUGAGCGACAUGCGCCGCAUCAAGCAACAGCCCGGGGAGACCCUGCAGAAGUACAUCCAGCGCUUCAACAACGCGCGCCUCAAGGUUCCCAAGGUGACUGAGGAGGCCAUCAUCUCGGCCUUCUCCGACGGCGUGCGCGACGUCAAGAUGAAGGAGGAGCUGGUGAUGCAUGAAGACCUGUGUACUUCCUUGGAACUGUUCAACCUGGAAACCAAGUGCGCCAGGGCCGAGGAAGGGCGUCUCUCCGUCCUCGAGCUGCCUGCCGCGGACCCAGAAGAGAAGAAGCCCAAGGCCAAGGAUGUGAAGUGCAAGGGGGCUGCCGUGCUCGCGGCAGAACCAGACACCAAGCGGGGCAGAGAUCAGCCCGAACCUUCCAAGGGCAGCCGGUACUAUGUGUACCACGACCUCCACACCCACAACACCAACGAAUGUCAAGAGCUCAGAGCCGUGCGAGAAGGAAGGAUCGGCCGUCGCCCUGACCGCAGUGACCGGGGCUACGGCCGAGGAGGAGGAAGGAACGCAGGACACUGGGAAGACCGUGUCCCGCGCCAAGGGUGGCGCGAUCAACCUCGCGAGGAUCGCUGGCAAGACCCGCCUCGCGAGGGAGGCUAGAGGGAUCAGCCUCACGAGGGAGACUGGAGGGAUCAGCCUCACGAGGAUCGCCCGCAAGGCAACGCAGGCCUCCCACCGCUGCCGCCGCGGCCAAGGAGAAACGAGGACCGCCACCAGGACGGGGGGGCUGGGGGCUUCCAGGAGCCGCGCGCGAUCGCCUGCAUCCUGGGCGGGGCACAAGCCCCGGCCUCUGAGCGCAUCUUCAAGCAGUUCGCCCGUGAAGUGAACGCGGUCCUCCCCAGGCUCGAAGCCGCGUGCCCUCUCAGGUGGUCGGCGUGCGCCAUCACGUUCAGCUCAGCAGAUCAGCUCAAGUGUGCGGCUACAGCCGGAGUUCUCCUGAUGCUUUGUUCCCCAAUCAUCAGCAAUGUGGUGGUCACCAAGACCCUCAUCGAUGGUGGGGCAGGGCUCAACGUCCUGUCCGUGGAAACAUUCAACAACCUCCAAGUGCCCUACAGCCAGCUUCAGCCAACCAAGCCUUUCUCCGGUAUCACCGACGGCUCCACGGUCUCGAUUGGGCAGGUCCGCCUCCCUGUCACCUUCGAGGCAUGCGACAACUACCGCAUCGAGCUUAUCGACUUCGACGUCGCUCACAUUCGCCUGCCGUACAACGCCAUCCUUGGGUACCCAGCGCUGGCCAACUUCAUGGCCGUAACUCACCACGGCUACAAUGUCCUCAUGAUGCCAGGAAGCGGCGGAGUCAUCACGGUGCCAUGUGAAGAGAAGGACACGGUGUGUUCCCUACAACGAGCCUUUCAGGCCGCGUCACUGGAAGACCCGGAUCGUGGAAGUAGGAGGCCUCCCGAGACCGCCCCUAAGAAGAAGAAGACAUCGUCCGGCCCGACCACUCAGGAGGCAAGCCCCUCUGGGCCCGCGCCUGCCCAGGGGGAACCUCCUUCCAUCGCAUAGGAAAUCACGCCUGGCGCCCUCCUCAGGCAGGGCUCGGGGGCUCUCCCCUGGAGGGCCACCGACCUAGCCAGGGUCACGAGGGAGGCGCUUGGGCACCACAUGGAGGCGUGUUUUGAAGCACGUUUCCCUCAAGAAGGAGCAAGGCAAGGAGACCCAGACCCUCAGGAGUUCGUCAGCAAGGCCAUUCAGGAGCUACAGGAGUCAAGAGUCAUGAAAGGCGGCCGCCGCCUACCAGCAGUGGCUCCCCAUCUAGGCGAGGAUGGUGGGCUGCGCGUCUGCAUCGACAUACCAGGGCUCAACCAAGUCGCCUCUCUGGAGCGCCUCUGGCCCUCGCGAGUGGGGCGCUGCGGAGGCCUACCCCACAGCUACAUUCGCAUGCCUUACGGCUUGCCGAACGUGGCUGACACGUACCAGCGCCUCAUGAGGGGCAUCACGGGGGCACGAGAGGCCAGGCGUUCUGCAGCCCUGACAGGGAUGGAGAUGGCCCGUGAGGAGCCGCCAGCGCCUCCGGAGCCUCCCGAGGCCCCUGGGCCUGGGGCACGUGAGGAUCGGCUCCCGCAGCCCACCGAGCCUGCUACACCAAUGCUCCUUCGUCCUCAACAUCAUCAGGUGACAUCUUUCGGGUUUUAUUUCCAGCUGGGAGCACCCCCCAGGGCUGCAUUAUUCCUAGGCCGCGUGGGUCCGUCCCUGCGGCGUGUAUCCAUUUUUAUUCCAUGUUGUUAGCUUACCCUGUUGGGGGCGCCCCUCGGGCUGCAUGAUCCCCAAGCCGCUCGGGCCAGGCCCAGCGGCAUGUAUCCCAUUUGCGUUUAUUUCCGAUCAUGCGUUAGACCCACCAUGCUUGAUUAUUUGAUGGCGGUCCACGACACCUAUUCUUCUCCAUGCCGACCACUUGCACGUUAAAGGGGGGGGUACCUGAGCAUCGCGACUCAGGGCUCUUACUGGCUCUCCAGCCCUCACCCUCUGGCCUUGUCCAUGGCAUCACGACCUGGCAUACCAGUGACGGCUGAGACCAGCUCGAGGGCCGGGACCCGGGGACGUAGAGUGCCGACAUCUAACCAAAUUUGCAGGGACACAUCACAAGAUAAGGCCCAGUGCCAGGCGCAACCCGCCUAGAGGUAGGGCCCCGUGAGUCCCGCGCUGGCUCACGGGUGCCCAGAUACACCUCGCCAGGCCCUACCGUGCCAGCCACGUGUCAGGGCGGGGCUGUACACGCCCCGGGGGCUCCUCCCGGAUGGGGCCCCCUCCCACAUACCAGUGGAAGCACCAUGCUUCGCGCUGGCUGACGACACUACCGAGGAGCGGCUAUGCCCGUACACAUACGGUAGCGCUAUGCUCCGCGCUGGUGAUAAACAACUGAGGGUGGCCCCCGGGCCGCACCAACCUCAGGAAGCCCAGAGCUCAGUGUCUAGCCUCAUCGUAACGCCUCCCCUCGGGAGUGCCGCGCGAGGGGGCUGGGCACGGGGGCUGCGCCUGGGUCACACCCAGACGCACGCCGCCCAGCCAGGUCCCCCCGGGCCUGGUUCGUCACGCAUCUCUUCCCGAGCGGAGCAAAGGUACGAAGGCUGUUUGAGCGUCAAGGGGGACUCCUGAGCAUCGCGACUCAGGAGCCUAACUGGUCACGUAGCCCCUCACUCCGUGGCCCCGUCCUGGUUUCCGGUCGGGACCAACGCUGGGUGAGGUACGCGCGCGGCUGGGCUCUGUAGACGUAGAACGGUAGAUCCACCCGCAUCACACCUCCCUACUUGCUGUUCGUGCGCCAAGGGGGACUCCUGAGCAUCGCGACUCAGGAGCCUAACUUGUCACGUGGCCCCUCACUCCUUGGCCCCGUCCUGGUUUCCGGUCGGGACCAAUGCUGGGUGAGGCAUGCGCGGGGCCGGGCUCUGCCGGCGUAGAACAUAAGCAAGUAGGAAGGAAAGGCACAAAUUUUAAGAAGUUCAAAAGCAAAUAUUAUAGUCCACACUGUUAUCUCGAUGCCGAACGCAAGUUUAAACGCCUCCCCGAGGCAUGAUACAUGUGCAGGAAUUAAAGGCAGGACAGGAGCCGCGACGGAGUCACUUGUCGGCGAUGGAGCAGCAUGGAUAGAGUACGCCUCAUGGAGCGGUGGGGUCGGCAGCGCCUUGCUUCGGCUUGGUGCUGAAGGCUCGGAACUUCCCCAACAGGGCCUCUGCGCGACCCUUCACGGCCUCGGCAGCGGCAGCGGCACGCUCACCGCUCACUGGCUCCAGUAGGCUGUCGAGGUCGACAUCGGGAUCGCGAAGGUAGAUGUGGGUGAGGACCCGCAUCAUUGCUGCAGAAGACAGGACACGCGCCUCGGCCUCGGCCGCGGGGCCAAGGCCAAGGGCGACAUCUUCAAGAGCGUGAACCAGGAAGGGAAGCAGCUUGGCGGGGCCAUCCUCGGUGCCAGCCAGUGGGCUCUCCAGGCCGCUGUCGUAAAGCGUCCUCAGUGAGGAGCGAGCCCUCGCCUCCAUCUCCGCGAAGGUCACGCGGUCCUCGGCAAGAACCAGUGCCUCGUCGUCCAGCAUGGCCUUCCUCGCCCCCAACUCCUGCUCCAGCGCGCCUAGGCGGGCGCGACGUUUCUUGAGCUUGACUUCCUUCUCCUUGAGACCCGCCUCGCGAGCCUUCACGCCUUCUUCCUGCUCUUGGCGAAGGCGAACCUCGUUCGCGAGCUGGUCCCGCAAAUCUUGCAGUUCGCCCUCCAGUGCCUUGCAACGUCCACGGAUGUCGACCACCUCCCCCAGGGCUGCGUCCCGAGCAGCCUUUGCCUCAAGGACAGCCUGCUUCUCCUUGUCACAUGCCGCCGAGGCCUGGACCAGCGCCGCCUGAAUCAAAGCGUCGGAGCGAACCCAUCUUGAAGCCAGCUCCAAGCGCCCGGCCACCAAGCGGGGGUCGGGGCCAAGAAGAUCCUGACGCAGUCGGUCCAGCUCAGCAACAGCACGAUCCAGAACGGCAGAAGGAGUCGGAGAGAUAACAGUUGGUGGAGUAGGAGGAGAAGACGGCAGCGCGGCCACAGCAUCCUGAGGCGGAGUCUGCCGCGCCCCGACAGCUGAAGUGGCGGCGGCAGGCAAGAGCACCUCGGGAGCCACUUGGGCCGUGGGGGCUGAGCUCGCCCCAGCCGGCUCAGCCAGGCCUCGCGAGGACGACCGGGCAGGAGAAGCCUGUGUGUCGCGGUCACCCUCCUUCGCAGGCAGAGGCGCUGCCACGGGUGGAACCUCGGGAGCCCCCUUCGGCUUCUUUGUUGCGGGCGCCAGCCUAUCCAAGAAAUGCGGACGUCAAGCCUCAGAAGCAGAGCAAGAAAUAAAGACAAGAAUUGAAUACUUACGGGUCGUCGCGAGUGAGCUCAAGCGGCCUCCGGCCAAAUUUGAAGCCUAAAAGCCAGCUGGAAGGGUCAACCUCGGGAAGCUUGGAGGCGGAAGGUGCGUCUGCGGUCCGCCCCGGGGCCGGGGCAGACCCGCGGGAGAUCAGCCCGGUCCUGUCCUUCUUCGGGAUCAGGGGCGAGCUCCCGCCGUCCUGCUUGUCGUUGUCCUCGUCGUCGUCUUCGUCGUCAUCCUCGUUGUCAUCGCUCGGAGAGAUGCGGAGAACGCGGGACCUGCGCCGGGGGAGGGGAGCCCUCGACUCUCCGUCAGUCGCCUCGGAGUCAGGCCCUUUUCCCCGCUCCCCUCCUUCCUCCUCUUCGCUGGAGUCGUCGGAGGGCACGUCCACCGGUUCCUCGGGAGUUUCCAUGGGCACGGGCCCAUCCCCGUUGAAGACGGGCAUGGACUCCACUACCUGUUCCCAGUCGUCGCGGAGGAACAAGGGCGUGGGAGCGCCCGCCAACCUCGCCACAUCGCCUCCGACCAGAGAUUGGAGGACAGCAGCCAGAUCUCCGUCGGCUAAGGCCGUGGGGCUCGGGCGGGGCCUCCACAUCGGAUGUGAGUACUGCCGAAGCGGAGCCAGCUGGUGCUCCAGGAAUUCCCUCAGCAGCGACGCGCCGGUCAGCUUCGCCGCCGCCAUGUUGGCCGGCCUCAGAUCCGCGUCCAUCUUCUCCAACAUCAUCUUCGCGCGGGGUCCGUGAGCUUCGCCCGACCCCAAUCGCUGGAGCUCGUGGGCUGCUCCGUGGGCAAGAUCAGCCGAGGGUGGAUGCGCCCAGCAUCCACCAAGACCCACUUGCUCCUGAAGCCCUCAAUCCUUUUCCCAGGGUUCGAAAUGGCAAUGGCACCACCGUACGCGACGAAGCUCGCGCACGUGGAAGCAGUACCACGAGAGGUCCGGAGGUAGAAGUAGUGGCGCAGCAAGGCCACUGAGGGCUGCACCCCUACAUGAGCCUCACAGUAAUAGGCGAAGAUUGCCAGGAGAAGGGCGGAGUUGGGGUGGAGAUGCAGGGCUUGUAGCUUAUAGUGGCGGAGGACAGAGAAGAAGAACUCGGAGAAGGGAGGCACCAGGCCAGCAGCAAUGGCACUUACGAAGAGCGAAUAGAAGGUGCUCCCUUGACCCUUAGGGGUGGCGGAGCUGGCUUUAAACACCUUCACCCCGUUGAUGCCCCGCACCGUCGCCAUCCGGCGCAACCGGGCGAGGCUCACCUCCAACACGUUCGGCGGGUCCAGGGCAGACGAGUACCAAGCCACGGCCGGGGGCUGACGAGGCACCAUGGCUUCCUAGGUCACAAGGUCGGAGUGGAUCUAGAAAUUUUGGAGGAAGGAAGGAGAGGCACAAGAAAGGGCAUCUGAGCAGCAACCGGGGAAAGCAAGAAGCAAAGCCUACGUGGAUGCCGCUCCUUUAUUAACUCGCGCGAUUAGUAGGGCGCCCACGUCCAAUCAACCGCCACACGGUGCCCAAGGCCGCAGGCUGUUAGGGCCCGCGGAGCUUCGCUCUUGCCCUUCCGCCUCCCUGCACGGCCAAGUCCGGGCGCGCCUUGGGCCCGGGGGCUACUGUCGGCGUUCUGGGAACGGGGGUCCCCAGACUUGCCUGCCUGCAGCCUGCGGGGUGGCUCAAAGGGGGGCCCAGCGCGGCCCAUCUGCACCAACACAAACCCAAGACCCUCGCGAGGGGCCAAGCCUCACGGGGCGGAUGACGCGGAGCUUCCUCAGGCGCGGCCUCGUCAGCUUGGCUCACUAGGAGGCGGAGAGAUCAAGGUGGGGUACCUCACGAGGUGCCCGUGACGCAAGCCAUGACGACCGGGGGCACCAGGAGGGUGCCAGCCCGCGCAGUGUCCUCCCUUCCUCUUUGGUGCAAAGGGGGCAAGCGCAGCCGUGGAGUACCGAGGCAUCAGGCAAAGGUUUCCAUUUCGGUGCAACGAGACCAAGACCAGGAGGACUACGAGACGAAGGUCACCGUGGAGCCCAAGACGACGUCAUCACUAGAGCUUUGCGCAGGCGAAGACUACUUUUGUCAGGAUAGUUGAUACUAGCUGUCCCCCUUUAAAUUAGCCCGCCAUUGUUGGCUCCCUUCCCGCUCAAUAUUUGGGAAGAGGACCAGCACCUCUAUAAAUAGGACCAGCCACCCAUAGAGCAAAGGGGGCUGAGAGGUUAGAAGGGAAGAGAGGGGGUUCGAUCAGAAUGAGAGAGAGAGAGAGAGAAAGGCGACUGAACUCCUCCCAGCAGUUCACCGCCCCAGCCAAGAACAGACCCUCGCGAGGCUGUUCUUCCUUGUAUUGUUCAUCAUCAUCAGCCCAAGAGGCAAUCCACCACACCAUGCACUGGAGUAGGGUAUUACACCACAACGGUGGCCCAAACCAGUAUAAACCAUGCGUCUCUUGUGUUGUUCUUUCCUUAGUUUAGAUCCUAGCAAGACGGAGGAGUGCAGGUAGGCAGGAGGCGAAAUCUCCGCGCGCACCCCAGUGUUCGAACCUCAAGGGUCUGCCGGAACCCGAAAUCCAACAAUCCCUACUCUUAUAAAAAGCAUUGUCGGUGAUGAUCGUGUGCCCGCCAUCCUGCAAUAUAGGUCGUCCGAUCUAUAUCUGACGAAUAGGAAGGGAACUAUGGCAAUUUUGCAAAAAGAUACCCACACCCCUCUCCACAUUUGCAAAAAGGCCUUCCCUCAUUCAUCCUUUUCCCCCACAAGAUAAACUACUCAUACAAAUGCAUCUUGAUGUUCCGUGCAACGCAUGGGCAUCUUGCUAGUUGUUGCAAAAAGCCCAUGUGUGUGUGAGAGACAGGGAGAGUGGAGGAGAACGGAGUGCAUGUGUGACAAAGACACAAGGAGUGUGUGUGUGAUAGGUGUCAGCUUAAAAUGAGGUGAUAGUGUGUGUGUGCACAAUCGAGAGGGCGUGUCUCAAGAAGGGAAGAAAAAACUACAUAGAUACAAGGAGCGGGAGAGACACAUGUAUGCGAUGGUGGAGGCACGAGUGUGCGGGUGUAUAAACCUAUCUAGAGGAUAGCUAGUCGAUAAAUGUUUGUGAGAGAAAUAUGAGUCGGGUUGCGAAAGCGAGAGUUUUGUGAGAGAGAGAGAGAGAUGGUAGUCGGGAAGGAGAGUGGAAGCAGGAGUUGUGUGUGUGUGUGAGAGAGAGAGAGGAGACGGUAGUCGGGAUUGUAUGAUCGGUAAACAAAUGAAUAAUGUCAGUCUGGGACGGAGACGAAAAGGAGACCACAACAAAUGUUGUGUCUAUAGGAGAGAGAGAGAGUAAUUUAAGUGGUAUGAGUCAUAUGUAGAGAAAUAUAGGGUGUGUGAGAGAAUCCCAUAGAGAGAAAGACAAAGUGAAAGACGAGUGGAGACUGUGCGUGUGGCGGUGAAAAAGAAAGCUUAGGUACCGAGUGAUACCAGAGAACAGUAGAGAUGUGAGAGAUAUUGAAAACCGUGUAAUGUAUAAUGAUAGGGAGUGUGUGACACUUCUCAAGGGAGACGUCGAGAGACCAUGUUUGCGAGGAUAGGAGAAACAUGAAGUGAGCGUGCGGGUGAGCUGAAGAAAAGAGAGUGAUAGCUACCUGAAGGAGCAUGCAUGCGAGAUAGAUGGGCGUGAAAGGAGUGAACAAAAAAGGGAUUCAAAUAUUUGAAUUCGAGAUGAUGAUACAUGUAAUCCAUACUCGAACCAAAAUUGAUCUAUCAAACAUGCAUAGUCAUAUGAAUUCAUGCACAUCUAUGUUAUUUAAUAUGUAGAUAUUACUGAUCCAUACAUUUUAGUAGAACAUAAUUUGGUUAAAUUUUUUCGAAUUCAACCUUAAGAUUUCGAGAUCGUUGUAUUUGUAAAUCAUAUUAUACAUAUAAAGGAGCAAAAUUCUUUGUUGUGCUUUUGAAAGUAUAUAUAAAAAAUGAUGUAUAUAGAAUGUAAUUCCAAUUGAAAAUGGACCCCGCCCGAAAAAAAUAGAAUACAAACGGGAUUCGAAUUGAGUUGGCAUGGUAAACGUGCAUUCUGCAAAAUUUGAACGAAGCGGGGAAAGUCGCAGUAACCGCCUGAAACCAAAAUCUGUGAGAUGGAAAUCACUACUGCCUAUCCCUGCCACGCAAAGCCUAUCUGCUGGAUUUCUAUAGGUUUCUAUAGGGGUAGGUUUGUAAUUUCACCCAAACGUGACGUAACCGCCUCUCACCCAGAUUCAUACACGGCGGGCGCCAAAACACAGUGUGUCCUCGGCCGAAAUCGACUCCCUCCCCAAUUCAUAUUCAUACACGGUGGGUGCCAAAAACAAACUCUCAUCGGCAAAUAUUCGGUGUAUGUAAGAUUAUCGUCCUAUCCCCAACCGACUAAUGUUGCUGUGAUGUCGUAGAAAUUUGAAACGGGGGCUAAGUUUGUAAAUUUCCUUGCAUUUGAGACAAGCGCGCCCUGAGUACAUGGUUCCCCUUCCUCUCUACCUCCCUUUUCCCCAUUCGUACUCCGUGGGCGCCAAAACACCCUCUCCACCCCACCCUCCUCCGUCUACCGCCAUCCGCCACCCCAUCCACCACUGUCCUCCUCCACCAUGUCGGAGCUGAUACCCUGACGCUGCCGUCCAUUACAAGAGAUCGACCUCUCUCAUCCUCCGCUUCGGACCGGGAUCCUUGCAUCCAGUCCUCUUGCUUUAUCCCCGCCGUCGUCCACCUUGCCGGCGCUGCUCCUACGACCGUCUCGUCCACCGCACCCCGCCGCCACUGUCUACCCUCCUAGAUCUGCUUCCACGCCACCGACAGCCAUCGGUACCGCAACACCGUCAAAUUCUCAGCAGAUGCGUACACGGCGCCGCACCAGAGGCGGUACUCUUUCGUAUCUGCUCAACUUAUUUAUCGGAGCAAGAAAAUAGAUCGCCACUGCUUUACUCUGAUUUCUUGUCUUGGUUGUGAAGUUGCCUUUGUCCGGUUUGCACCUUCAGAUCCUCCAUGGCAUGCUCAACACUAUACUUCCAAUGCUUAUGGUUUUCCCCUUUUAUAUUCCACACUAGUUAAAUCACAGUAGACUAAAUUUCAAAAUUGGGUCAGUCGAUUUUUCAGAGCUCGGCGGAGUUUGCUGGUGUGGUCGAAGGGGCUCGGGUGGUUGUGGGGCCUCGCCGAACAAAGAAAACUUGACGCGAGUGGGGGUUGGGGCGGGGGUGGGGGUGGCGGAGGAACACAGGCGGUGGGGUCCGGUGGUCCGGCCGGCGGCCCGUGCGGUGUUCUGUAUGGGAAGAAUCAGAGACGAGGAAGAAGAAGGGUUAGGAGACGUAGGAUCUUCAUCCAACCGCCUGAAAUGGUCGAGAGACAGCUGGGAGUUGCAUUCUUAAUGCGCUCUGGUUCAUCAUGUGUGGGCACUAUGCAACCAACAUUUUAUUAUCCAAAAUCCACUUGCUCUUCUUUACCAUGUUCCUCUUCCGUUCUUCUUUAAUAUGUACUCUCUCCAUUCCUAAAUACAAGUCUUUGUAUAGAUUCCACCAUGGACUACAUAUGGAGCAAAAUGAGUGAAUCUACACUCUAAAAUGUAUCUGGAUACAUCUGUAUGUGAUCCAUAGUGGAAAUCUCUCCCAAGACUUAUAUUUUGGAACGGAGGGAGUAUGAUAGUAGUACAGUAUGUUCCUUGUACUGAAGAUGAGCAGGGACAUUUGAAGUGUAGAGGUCUAUACGGUCGGUUGUGAUGGACACUUUGAGCCUCUUUUAUUCGUAGGAUCUUGUAAACAUAGGAAUAGGAUUUGUAGUGGCCUGCCCACUCAAAUCCUAUAAGAAUAGCAAGGAAAUGCGGGGAGCUGUGUCGCCUUUGAGAGUUACACUGAUAUUAACAGUACCGCACCUUCACUUAAGGAGAGCUGGUAUUCGAAGUCUUUUUAGCCGUACCGGCAAUACUAGCACAUAUAUUCCAGCAAGUUCCACUUUGCUGAUUUUACUCUAAUGCUUAAGGUUUUCCCGUUAUAUCUACACUAUGAUCUGUGUAGCUGCUUUGUGUCGCACUAGCAGCAGUCCACUCUUGAAGCUAAACACUACAAUGACUUACAAAAUUGGCACCAAGGCAUUGAGUGCUAUUCUUGAUGCAAUGAAACUCAUACGCUCCCCACCUGUUGAUUCUUGUUCAGAAUAUGAUCCUAAUGACUAUUCUAACCUCGAGGAGUCAAAGGCAGAUGGCCUGUCCUGUUCACCCAUCAAGGUGCCUAUUCUAAUUUGGCAAUUUUUUAUUGAUUGCGGGUAUCUUGCAUAUGUUGUCUUGCAUUUCUUCUACUUUGUUGCACCGCCAUCUGCUUAGUUUACUCAUCAUAUAUGUCGAGAUGCCAUGCCCAUCCAUUAUCAAUACAUAUUCCAUCUGUCAUCAUACCAUGUUUUUCCACUCAAAUGCUGGUCUUGUGCAUCAGACAUCAAAAAGGAAGACGGUGAUUGCCGAACCUGAAGGAGCACCAGCAAAGUCCUUGAAAAACGUGGUGGUGCCGGAGAAAUCAGACAGCACCCCACUUAUAUUGGUUGUACAACCAGUGACACAAAACGUAGGACCAACUCCAGCAGAUUGUACCCAUACUUCACUGGCCACACCACUAGCCCCACCACACAGGACCUGCACUCCAGCAAAAGGUAUACCGAUUUCAUUUGCCAUAGCACCAGCUGUACCAUAGAAAAAUCCCACUCUAGCAAAAAGUAUAUCAAGUCCACCGGCUGAAGACCUAUCCCAAUUGCAGAGACGGCCAAUUCCUACAGAUUGGAACCCCAUUUCAUUUAUUCGCAGUUUAAAAGACAAUGCUUUCAAUGUUGUUAGGGACUACGUGCAUAUAUUCCCAUCAUGGGAACAUUAUUGUGAAGACAAACACCAUUUUCACAUCUUCCUGUCCAACUUACGUGUAAGUGCUAUUAUUCAUGGUUAUUAUUUUCCUAUUUUCUGCUGAUUGAACACAUUACUGAUUUACAUUACAUUGUUGUAACUAGGCGAGGGUCAAUCUGGAUAGUUAUGACGAGCAAAGCUUGCUUGUGCUUUUCAAGGAAGCAUUGCAGCAGUAUCGGUGUUACCUGAGGAAAUCACACUUUGAUGGCAAGUCUAUAAACGAAUUUCCGGUGAAGUCUCCUGUGCUAAAUUUAGAAGACAUUGAAUGGAAAAACCUUGUUAUGCACUGGUCUUGUUCCCAGGAUGAGGUACUGUCUAUGAAAUCACAUGACAAUUUGAACUUCUACUUUUCCGCAUGUGCCUUGUGGAUCUUUUUUGCAGGAAAUCAGCUCGAAGAAGAAUUCUGGUUUGGCAAGAACGACAAGAUAUCGCACAUAUGCUGCCCGCUGCUUUGCUCUUGUUAGUACAUGUUGUCCUGUAUCACUGUACUUGCAUACAUACCUGGUUCAUUAUGUGACGGCAGUAUGCAUGAUAGCUUGCUUAUCAAUUGUUCGCUCCAAAUUAUCUGAUCUGUAUGAAUGGUUACAUUAGUGUAGAAUAUAUCCAAUGCCAAUGUUUUUUUAGGUCUGCAUUGUUCUUGUAAGUACAUGUUGUCCUUUAUCAAUGUACUUAUAAUGACAUGUAGUUGUUCAUGUACCAUCACUCUACAACUUAUUUUCCUUUGCCCUCCAUUUUCUACACAUCAUAUCUAUAUUUACUCUUACCAUAAGGUUGGUACUGAAGAAGUUUAGCUGUGCAUUGCUCUUGGCUGUACCUUUUGCCUGUACCGCCGCACUUACAUUUAUAGCUACUUGGUUAUGUAGCAUCACUCUUCAUCUUAUCUUAAAUAUUCUCCAUUUUUUCGUAUAUUAUCACAUCUAUAUUUACUCUUAACAAAAUGUAGAAUAAAGGCAAUGCUUUUGAAGAAGAUUCUGUGGUAAACUUCUUGAAUUGCCCCCCCCCCACCAUCAGCAUGGACAAGGCCUUUAUAGAGCCUGUCUUCACAAAUAAUGUAAGUUUGUCCAUCUCAAACCUUCAAACUUUGUUGUAUAUAUUUGGUUAGGCAUGACUGCAACAACUGUUUAUUUUUGUUGUUUGCAUCAAAUUUCUUGUUUAAAGUUUAUUAUGUAGUUCAUAAACAAAAGUUUGUCCUUUCUCAAUUUAAGUUUUCAGUUGUACAACCAGGUUCCUUCUUCAUACCAUGUAAAUUAAACUAUACAGAGCAAGUGAUCUUCUUUUGCACUGCAUGUAUGCUUCUGUUCUUCAUCCAUAAUCCAGUGGUGUGGUGAACCUACCCACUACAGCACAAUGUCAUAUUCUGCAAUGUCUUAACUAUGAAUAAUGUCAUAUCAUUCUACUAUUAUUCAAACCGUCUCUUUAUUUUCUAAUCUGAAAUGGUACAAAUUGACAGCACACUAACCAUUGAUACUUAUGAGUUCUUGAUCUGUAAUCCAGUGGUGUCGUGAAGCUGCAAACUCCUUCACAAUGUCAUUUCCUGCCAUGUCUUAACCUGAACAAUACUAUAUUGUGUUAAUGCAAUUUUAAACUGUGUCACUUUAUUCGUCAGUAAGAAAUGUGAUGAAUUAUCAGCACUGAUACUUUUAUGUGCAAAACCUGUCAUCUGUCUGCUUGUUUAUCUUUCAGAGUGAUGAAGAUAUAAGUGUUGAACAAGCGCGGUCUCAACAUCUUGCUCAGCUGCUUGUGCUGCAGCUCCCCAGCAGGUCUAACCUUUCUUAAACUCUAUUGAAGUGCUAUCAAUUUUAUAUAUUAUUUUGUCGGCAUGUUCAUUUGCACUGGUGGCGAUCUUUGAUGCCCAGUGUAUGUAAUCUGAUGUCUGCUUGUGUUUAUUAUCAUAGUGGUGAACUUUGAUGCCCAGUGGAUGUAAUAUGCCGUAAUUUCUUUAUUUUAUAGUCUAGGUUUUUUCUUAUUCACAAUGCUGCAGUUAUUUUACUGUAUAUAUAUCAUGUCUUCGCAGUAAACCGGCCAAACCGUAAAUUUAUAGUACAUAAUCGGGUCGUCAUGCAAUCAUGAUGUAGGUUGGGCCUGAAACGUGCCGAACAGCUCAUGGGCCGGCAGCAGCCCGAAAUGAACCCCAGUCCAUGAUUAUGUGAAUCAAAUCAUGGGCUUUUAAUAGGCCAAAAUUGUCUCGGUCCUUGUUUGGCCCAAUCAGAUAUCGCCUGCGAGCAGGCUGGAUGCAAACCGGGUCAUAGUUAGGCCCAACUAUAUGACGGGCUUUUAACAGGCCGAAAUUAAUAUACGGUCGAAAUGUUAAAUGGGCCCUUAACAGGCCAAAACUAAUACCAGGCCGAAUUACUAAGUGGGCCUUUAGCAAGUGGGCCCAAAAGCAUAAUGUCCAGUUGGCGGGCCGAAUCUGAUAUGGGCCAUAAUUGAGCCCAAAGCCUCUUAAAGGGCUGGACCUGAUCUGGGCCAUAAUUUGGCCCAGAACAUGGUAGGAUUUUAAUGGGCCGGAUCUCAUAUGGGCCACUAUUAGGCCCGGAGCGUGGCAGGCCAUUAAUGGACCAGAUCAAAUAUGGGCCGGCAUUUGGCCCAAAACAUGGCAGCCAGUUAAUGGGCCAGCCUACUAGGGUCCUCAAAAUCUUGUGGUACUACAGCUGGGCUGGCCCAUUAAUAUCGGCGAAAUCUCGUGGGCCUUUAGCUGGGACACCCAUUAUGAUCCGCAAGAAUCUUGUGGGCCUUUACCUAGGCUGGCCCAUUAUGGCACACAAAAAUCUUGUGGGCCUUUACCUGGGCUGGCCCAUUAUGGCCCGCAAAAUCUUGUGGGCCUUUAGCUAGGCCAGCCCAUUAUGGUCCGCAAAAUCUCGUGGGCCUUUAGCUGGGCCGGCCCAUUAUGGUCCGCAAAAUAUUGUGGGCCUUCAGUUGGGCCGGCCCAUUUAAACUUGAUGGACCGGUCCACGUGUCAACAUAUCAUAGGCGCGUCUCGCCCAUUGGAUGAGUGACACCUAUGCCAACGCAGACCUGACACGUGUCUCCUCCAGCCAAUGAUGAUUUUACACGUGGAAAAUCCCCAUUGGUCAGGGCUGUUAACGGGUUAUCGGAUCCAAAACCCGACCUGAUAGCUUAACGACGUUCCGUUACAGUGGAUGCCACGUGUUGGUCACCCUUGACGAAAGCACUUCUGUGACGCACGAUUUAUCGUCAUCGAAGUGGACACUUCCGUGAUGAUAAUUUUGGUAAUGUCAUGGAACACUUCUACGACAACACAGGUAUGACUAUCUUGAUUCUGUCAUAAAAUCGUCAUGGAUGUACAUGCAUGAUAGAAAACGCGACCUACUGUGACAAACACGUAUCAUCACGGAAGUGUAUUUUUUUGUAGUGAAUUACAUAAGCACCAAAUAAAGAAUGAUGUACCAUGGUUCUAUACUUGUACUAUUACAGAUGGUAAAGAAAGAGGCGACAUACAUUCCAGUUGCUGAACAAGGUGAAGCGGAAUGGCCCUAUUGUGCUCUCCUGGAUGCAGACGGCAUGCAGAACUCUAGUCCAACCCCUUGUGAUGGUCGGCCGCCAAUCAUGUAGUUUGAGAGGUAAUCUUGAGUAAACUGCUUCAGGAUCCACUGCAAAAUAAAAAAGCUUCAGAUAUUGUCAUCUAACACAACUCAUUACGGGCGGUAAAAAGAAGGCUACAGGGUUCUUACUUACCACCCCGCAGUUCACUGUUGUCUUGCAUAAAGUGUAAACACAUAGUUCAAUCGACAUAUUUUGACCCAUUUUAAUAACAAUCUUUAUCAGUUUCCUCACUUGAUGCUGGUUCAUGAAUAUCUCAUCCCCCAUACAUAGAAAGGGUCGAAGUGUGGAUCUUUGGUAAUGAUAUAUGUACCUAAAAGCACCAAGUUAAUAUUAGAAGCUAAACAACAAUUGAAAAAUGAUGUAGUACAACACUCCAUCCAUCCCAUUAUAUAAGAUUUUAUUACAUGUAUAUCUAGACAUUAUCAGAACAUUAAGGUAACACUCUUCCUUGUUUCUAUGUAGCCUGGGAUUGCAUAUUUAGUCAUUCAGUACAAUGCAUGUUGCUAAACAACAAUUGAAAAACGAAAAGGCAUGUUAACUGUAAUAUCCUUAACGACAACCAAAUAUCGUAAUUGAUAGUGGUAUUGUUGAAACUGUUAUUGAUGGAAUUGAACUGCACGGCAAAUAGUUGCACAUAUAGAGCAUCACAUUGUGAAGAAUUGAAAUAAACAAGUCAUAAGGACAUCUCUAGGUGAUCCUUAAAAAGUUAAAGGACUAAAACCCUUAGUGGAUCUAUAUACACUCCAACAAUUUUUGGCCUUUUCUAGUCGAUCCCCUAAACUUAAGGUUGUAAACUUCAAUUUGAUCAAGUUCAAAGCAGGUUCAACCGAAAGAAGCAUGCAUUCAAACAUAAACAUAGAUAGUUUUGCAUAACCGAACGUAAAACAUAAAUUUAAACUAAGCUAAACUCGUCAUGUACGGUGUGCCGCGAGCCGGGUCCGGGCCAGUACCAUCAUCGGGGUCAUUGGGGAAGGCACUCCUCCACUCGUUGAUGUCGAUCUCCUUGUCCUCGGGGCCCACCUCGACGCCCUCCACGCCACCGUUGCUGCCGCCGCCUUUGACCUCGUCAUCGGAGGAGAGCGCGAUAACCUCGCUGCCCUCCGCGAUGCUGUCCUCGCCGCCUUUGACCUCGUCAUCGGAGGAGAGCGCGAUAACCUCGCCGCCCUCCGUGCCGACAAAGAUCGCCUACUCCUCCUCAACAAGCUCCGGGUGCUGCCAACAAAGCUCUUGCUUGUAGGCCUCGUCGGUGGCCUCGGCCUCGAGGCGCUCCCACGCCUCGCGGUCUUCCCACGCCAUAGCCGAGCUCACCACCCCUGGCUCCGGUUGAACGAGGUCGACCGGACGUGUGCUGAAGGGAAAAUUGAUCCUAGCAGCCGCGCCGUGGUAGUGGACCUGCCAGUGGUCGUACUACAUGGCCGCGAGCUCGGCCGUGUGGAAGCUAUCGAGCCACCGGCGGGUGUGCGUCUCUUGAUCUAUAAUCUCAGUGACCCACGUCCCCCACCGCCGCUGCCGGACCCCGAGGUAGGACUUUGUCGGCUGCCGGGUUCGGGGGAGGGCGGGGAAGUCCUCGAACUGGCGUAGGGGCGUGGUGGUGGGCAGAUCGGGGGACAGACGAUGGCGGAUCGGGCAGGCGGAGGACGAUGGGGACACCUCGGCGGCCACCUCGCUGGCGUCGGGUGAAAAGGCCGUGAUAAACCUCUUUUUGGUCAUUGGUUCCUCGAGCUCCCCGGCACACAGGCAGAUGUUGAGGAUGGAGGCGCCGGCGAUGGCGGCGACCUACCAAUGGUUUCGAGGGUUGUGUGUGUUUGUCUGAGCGGAGGUUGUGUUUGAGGAAAUAAUGCAGCAACUGAAAAUUUUACUAGGUGGGAGUAACAAGGCAGGUGUGGGAGUCCUGGAUUAGGGGGUGUUCGGAUAGCCGAACUAUACCUUCAGCCGGACUCCUGGACUAUGAAGAUACAAGAUAGAAGACUCCGUCCUGUGUCCAGAAGGGACUUUCCUUGGCAUGGAAGGCAAGCUUGGCGAUAUGGAUGUUCAGAUCUCCUACCAUUGUAACCGACUCUAUGUAACCCUAACCCUCUCCGGUGUCUAUAUAAACCGGAGGGUUUUAGUCCGUAGGACAACAUACACAUCAACAAUCAUACCAUAGGCUAGCUUCUAGGGUUUAGCCUCUCUGAUCUCGUGGUAGAUCUACUCUUGUACUAUCCAUAUCAUCAAUAUUAAUCAAGCAGGACGUAGGGUUUUAUCUCCAUCGAGAGGGCCCGAACCUGGGUAAAACUUCGUGUCCCUUGCCACCUGUUACCAUCCGGCCUAGACGCACAGUUCGGGACCCCCUACCCGAGAUUCGCCGAUUUUGACAACGACAUUGGCGCUUUCAUUGAGAGUUCCUCUGUGCCGUCGCCGUCAGGCCCGAUGGCUCCUACGAUCAUCAAUGGCGAUGUAGUCUAGGGUGAGACCUUCCUCCCCGGACAGAUCUUCGUCUUUGGCGGCUUUGCACUGCGGGCCAAUUCACUUGGCCAUCUAGAGCAGAUCGAAAGCUACACCCCUGGCCGUCAGGUCAGAUUCGGAAGUUUAAACUACAUGACUGACAUCCGCGGGGACUUGAUCUUCAACGGAUUCGAACCACUGCCGAGCGCGCCGCACUGUCAUGACAAGCAUGAUCUAACUCUGCCGCCGAACGGUGCCCUGGAGGCCGCACCCGCACCGGCUCCGACCCUUAGUUCAGAGUCAACUGCGCCGAUCGAGGAUGGGCGGUUGGACGCCACCUCGGGGGCUGCGAUCCAAACGGUGAUUGAGCCGAACACCAGCCCCGUACUCUGCAAGGCUCGUGACUCCAAGGAGCUGGACUCCUCUCCGGACUCCGAACCCUCCGCGCCCCUGCCAUUCGAAUCCGAUUGGGCGCCGAUCAUGGAGUUCACUGGUGCAGACAUCUUUCAUCACUCGCCUUUCGGCGAUAUCCUGAAGUCACUGAAGUCUCUCUCUUUAUCAGGAGAGCCCUGGCCGGACUACGGUCAGCAAGGUUGGGGUACGGACAAUGAAGAAAUUCAAAACCCACCCACCACCCACUUUGUAGCCACUGUCGACGACUUAACCGACAAGCUCGACUUCGACUCUGAAGACAUCGACGGUAUGGACGCCAAUGAAGGAGAUGAUGAAGAACCAGCGCCUACUAGGCCCUGGAAAGCCACCUCGUCAUAUGACAUAUACAUGGUGGACACCCCAAAAGAGGGAGAGGGCGAUGGAACAGCGGAGGAUGACCCCUCCAAGAAACAGCCCAAGCGCCGGCGUCAGCGGCGCCGCUCAAAAUCCCGCCAACACAAAAACAGUGAUUCCAGCACGGGAGAUAAUAAUACUCCGGAGAGUGCCGAAGAAAACCCCCGCCAGCAAGGUUUAGCACAGGAGGAUGGAGAAACCAGCCCUCAUUAGAGAGCGGUAGACAGAGAGGUCGAGGACGAUAAUUAUAUGCCUCCCUCCAAAGACAAGGCAAGCCUCGACGAUGACGAAUUCGUCGUGCCAGAGGAUCCCGUUGAGCAAAAGCGUUUCCAACGCAGGCUUAUGGCCACGGCAAGAAGCCUCAAGAAGAAAUAGCAACAGCUCAGAGCUGAUCAAGAUUUGCUGGUUGACAGAUGGACUGAAGUCCUUGCGGCCAAAGAGCAUAAACUUGAACGCCCCUCCAAGAGUUACCCAAAGCGCAAGUUGCUACCCCGAUUAGAGGAGGAAGCACUUGAUGCAGCCGAACGGCCACCUCGUGGCCGCAACAGAGAGGCCUCCCGGCCCUCCACUCAAGCCGCACCCCAUACCAAGGCACAGGAAUAUGUGCCGGACUUAUGAGACAUGUUGGAGGACAAGGCAAGGCAAACACGAUCAAUCUACGGAUCGCGUGGGCACCCCACGGCUCGAGACGGUAACCGUCACGCCAGCCACAAAUUCGGCAGGGCCGAACACAGUAGACAAAGCUCAUUGGAGCUACGUCAUGACAUCGCCCAGUACAGAGGCGCCGCACACCCACUGUGCUUUACAGACGAAAUAAUGGAUCAUCAAAUCCCCGAGGGUUUCAAACCCGUAAACAUCGAAUCAUAUGAUGGCACAACAGACCCUGCGGUAUGGAUCGAGGAUUAUCUCCUUCAUAUCCACAUGGCCCACGGCGACGAUUUUCAUGCCAUCAAAUACCUCCCACUCAAGCUUAAAGGACCAGCUCGGCAUUGGCUCAACAGCUUGCCAACAUGAUCAAUCAGUUGUUGGGAGGACCGGGAAGCCGCAUUCCUCGACAAUUUCCAGGGCACUUAUGUGCGACCCCCAGACGCUGAUGACCUAAGUCACGUAAUCCAGCAGCCAGAGGAAUCGGCCAGACAAUUCUGGACACGGUUCCUAACAAAGAAAAAUCAAAUAGCCUUCAAGCACAAUAUCCGUGACGAGUGGCUGGCCCGGCACCUUGGACAGGAAAAGCCGGAAUCUAUGGCAGCAAUCAUGACACUCAUGACCCGCUUUUGCGCGGGAGAAGACAGCUGGCUCGCUCAUAGCAACAAUAUGACCAAGAACCCUAGUAGUUCAGACACCAGGGACAUUAGUGGCAGGUCGCAUCGCAACAAGCAGAUGCGCCGCAUUAACAGCGACAAUGCUGAGGAUAUGGCAGUUAAUGCCGGAUUCAGAGGCUCUAAAUCCGGUCAGCGGAAGGAGCCAUUCAAAAGGAAUCCUAGGGGCCCGUCCAGCUUGGACCGAAUACUCGACCGCUUGUGCCAAAUACAUGGCACCCCCGAAAAGCCGGCCAAUCACACCAACAGGGAUUGUUGGGUGUUCAAGCAGGCAGGCAAGCUAAGCGCCAACAAUGAAGACAAGGGGCUGCAUAGCGAUGACGACGAGGAGCCCCGGCCGCCGAACAAUAAUGGACAGAAGGGUUUUCCCCCACAAGUGCGGACGGUGAACAUGAUAUACGCCACCCACGUCCCGAAAAGGGAGUGGAAGCACGCGUUAAGGGACGUAUACGUGGUAGAGCCAGUCGCCCCAAAGUUCAACCCAUGGUCCUCCUGCCUGAUCACCUUUGAUCGAAUAGACCAUCCCACUAGCAUCCAUCAUGGAGGAUUUGCCGCAUUGGUUCUAGACCCAAUUAUUGACGGAUUUCAUCUCACUAGAGUCCUCAUCGACGGCGGUAGCAGCCUGAACCUGCUUUACCAGGAUACAGUGCGAAAAGUGGGCAUCGAUACGACCUUUAAAGGCGUAAUACCAGGUGUAGAGGCCAACUGUACAGGCUGAGUCACACUUGAAGUGGUCUUCGGAUCCCCGGAUAAUUUCCGAAGCGAGGAAUUGAUCUUCGACAUAGUCCCAUUCCGCAGUGGCUAUCAUGCACUGCUCGGACGAACCACAUUCACCAAAUUCAAUGCGGUACCGCACUAUGCAUACCUUAAGCUCAAGAUGCCAGGCCCUCGUUGAGUAAUUAUGGUCAAUGGAAACACCGAACGCUCCCUCCGAACGGAGGAGCACACGGCGGCCCUUGCAGCGGAACUACAAAGCAGCCUCUCCAGGCAGUUCUCUAGUCCGGACAUUAAACGUCUGGACACCGUCAAGCGCGCCCUGAGUAACCUACAACAAGACCGCCUGGCACGUUCCGAGCAGGCGUAGCAAUGCGGCCCCAACCCCAACCCUCGCAAAAAGGCGACGCCAGUACUUCGCGUCCAUAACUACGCUCUGGAAAUACCAUGGGCAUAGGGGCAGGGGCACCAUCACGGCACGCCCAAAACACGGCUUAAACCGCACCAGGGGCUGCCGAUUUUUUACUUUUCUCUUACUUCCAGGACUCUACUCUUCGGAAGGCCUGUUCGGCAGUUCAAUUACCGCACAAACGAUGCAAGGACCAGGGAAGCAGACAAGCCAUGCUGCUUUACGGAAAUCCCAGGUGGUCUCUAUCACGAGCAGUAUACCUGUUUCGCAUACUAUUUCGCAGCUUGCCCCUGGAGCAGACAUGUUAAUUAGUCCAACUUUUUCGUUUAUCGCAUUACUUGUAUCGUUCUGCUUUGAUCGCAGCUAUUUUUAAUAAACAAUGCAUAGCUUUUGUCUAUUUUUUUGCAUUAUCUUUUUAUAAAUAAAUGUUCCUUAACGACAUGUUGCACCCGUACAACUUGGUACGGCCAAAAUACGCCAGGGGCUUUUAGCACCCCUCAAUAUGGUGUGAGAAGUCCGAACACUUUCACAAGUGCGGCACCCCAAACUUAUAGCACUAUAUGCAUCGGCUCUGAAUCAUGUCUUGGGUCAAUAGUUGGGUUUGCCCAGCUCCUAUGUUUUGGUGCCUUACGUUCCGCUAUAUCGGCUAAGGUAGCACUAGGAGAACCACUGCGAUUGUGCCCCAGUUGAGCUGGGCCGAGCACCUCAGUGGAGAAAGCUAAAACUGACUGUCAUGAUGAAGCGAGAGCUGGUCGCUGUUCGAGAGGUUUUUCCGAGUCCCUAAAGACUUAUGCCGCUUAGGGCGAGGAGUCGGCUCUGUACGGCCAAGGCGUGGAUAGCACCCCGAACUCGGUCUUCCGAAUACUAGGGGCUUCGCCGAAAUUUAAAAUUAUAGAAUUCUAUGGCUAAGUGAGAGUGUUCACGCAUUAUAGUCUGAUUGCCUCGUUCGUUGGGCUGAGCGCCUCCCUCGAAGGACCCAAAUAUGGGAAAAAGAGCGCCCAGGUUUAUCCCUGAACACCCCAACACUAGCAGCAAGGGGGCAGAAGCCGACGACUCGCCAUCUCUCAGUAUUGAUAAACAGCCGCACAAAAGGUAAUAUUUUAAAUUCAAGCAACAUUUCUCAAUGCAUAUGAACAAGUUUUCAGCGCAUAGGACAAAACGAGCGAGUUUUACUCGAAAAUUACAUCCAUAGUACAUUCAUCCGCCACAAGGCGGGCACCCUUCAGAACAUCCUUAUAAUAAUUCUCGGGCUUGCGAUGCUCUUUCCCCGGCGGUGGCCCGUCCUUCACAAGCUUCUCAGCAUCCAGCUUGCCCUAGUGCACCUUAGCACGGGCAAGGGCCCUACGGGCACCGUCAAUGCAGAAGGAGCGCUUGAUGACUUCGAGCCCUGGACAGGCCUCCACCAGCCGCCGCACCAGCCCGAAAUAGCUCCCAGGCUGAGCCUCUCCAGGCCACAGUUGAACUAUGAGGCCCUUCAUGGCCUGUUCGGCCGCCUUGUGGAGCUCGAUCAGUUGCUUCAGCUAGUCGCUCAGGGGCACGGGGUGUCCGGCCUCAGCGUACUGAGACUAGAACACCUUCUCUGUCGAGCUCCCCUCCUUGGCUCAAUAGGAUGCGGCAGCAUCAGACACACUCCGGGGAAGAUCUGCGAACGCGCCUGGAGAACUCCGGAUUUGGGUAAGUAACAAGUAACUCACGCUUAUGUGUUUGCUUUGCAUAAAGAAUGCCUUACCCGCCGCUAUCUUCUUCACCUCAUCCAACUCCUGGAGGGUCUUCUGGGAUUCAGCCUUGGCAGACUUGGCACUUUCAAUAGCCGCCGCGAGCUCGGACGCUCGCGUCCUUGAGUCACGCUCCAAACUCCCAUGUUUUUCCAUGAGAGCCUGGAGCUCUUGCUGCACCUUGCCAACCUCGGCCUCAUACUUCUCCCGCUCGGUGCGCUCCGUGGCUGCCGUCUUCUCGGGCUCGAGUAGCGCUUGCUUAAGGGUCGCCACCUCAGACGUGGCCCCUACAAUAGCCAUGAUGAUCCUGUCAUUUUUUGCAAUAUUGCACCUUUAUAUAUAUAUAUAUAUAUAUAUAUAUAUAUAAUUCCAACAAGGUAUUUCUUACCUUCAUUAUCCUCGAGCUGCUUCUUGGCACGCCCGAGCUCUUGCUCGGACUGCUUGAGGUUCUGCUUUAGCACGUCCACUUCCGCAGUCAGUGCAGCGGACGCCCGCAGGGAAGCCUGUACACGCAUAUUGGCUCCUUUUUGUUAGACUCCUGCGAAUUUUCAUUGAUCCUCUAUUCGGCCUUUCUUCCUGAAUGCAAAACAGAGCAUCAGGGGCUACUGUCUAUGCGGUAAUAUUAUUUACGCAUUCUUUACUUACCUCAAAGCCUGUUAAAAGGCUUCUACAAGCUUCAGUCAGUCCGCUCUUGGCAGACUGAACCUUCUGGAUCACCGCACUCAUAAUAGUGUGGUGCCCCUCGUCGGUGGAGGCGCCUUGGAGCGCCUCCAACAUAUUGUCCGGUGCCUCUGGUUGGACGGAGGUCACCGGCACGGCGGGCUUGCUCCUCUUGGAAGGAGGUCCCCCAGCGGACUCUGGAACCUUUGAAGGUUCCGAAGCGGUGUCCGGCCUAGGGCCGGACUUGGAGCCCUGGGGGGUUUCAUCCCCCUUACUCCUGGAGUCCGGGGGGUCGCCUCGCGACGCCUCCAGGACCACCUCCUCCCGGAUUGGAACCUGUUGGGACAACACUUCGGUGUCGUCCGUAGGGCGGGGAGAGGAAGCCAUCGGAAGUGAGUUCACGUCCGACGAGUCCAGUGAGCCGCUCGACGAUGCGUCGAGCCGGUCUUUGGGUGGGCUACAUAAACACAUUCGACAUAAGGGAAAGCUAUGCAAUAAACGAAUACUAUGAAUUACUUUGGUAUCCGGAUACUUACGAUUUCGCCAGGGGCUUGGCCCUGGGCGCCCACUCCUCUCCACCGUCGUCGGUGUCGGUGGAGUAAUCCGGAGAAAGGGUUUUCCCCUUCUUGGACCCUUCGGCCUCCCCAGUUGGGGCGGCCUUCCUUUUCUCCCCUCCCCCCGCUGGAGGGGGAGGGGUAUCUUCUUCCUCCUCCUCGUCUUCUUGGGAGGAGUGCGUCUUGGAUUCGUCGGAUGGUGAAUCCGACACCUCCAGGCGUCGGGCACUCUUUCGAGUCCCCGCAGCCUUUUUUGCGGCCUUCUUCUCCGGCACCACAUAGGGUGUCGGAGCCAACAGCUUCGCCAAUUGAGCAUCCGCUGGGCCUUCGGGCAAAGGCGCCGGACAGUCGAUCCGUCCGGACUUCGCCUGCCAAUCCUGUCGAAGGUAAGGGAGUUUAGAUCCCGCACAGAGUUAAACUAUGAAAAACUACUGCCCUGUAAAAGGUACAAAAAACUUACCGCGCUAGUAUGACGCUGCGUGCUGAAUCUGCGAUCCUCAGUAGCGGAUGAGGGAGCCUCGGCGCCUUUGAAAAGCACCUUCCAGGCAUCUUCGUACGUCGUGUCAAAGAGCCUGCUUAGAGUUCGGUGCUGUGCCGGGUUGAACUCCCAUAGAUUGAAGGCCUGUUGUUGACAUGGGAGGCUCAGGCGGAUGAGCAUAACCUGGACUACGUUGACAAGCCUAAGCUGCUUGUUCGCCAGGGAUUGGAUGCAUGUUUGCAGUCCGGUCACCUCCUUUUGGUUGCCCCAUGACAGGCCCGUCUCUUUCCAGGACGUGAGCCGCGUUGGGGGUCCGGACCGGAACUCGGGGGCUGCGACCCACUUAGGGUCGUGCAGCUCGGUGAUAUAAAACCACCAUGAUUGCCACCCCUUUAGGGUCUCCACAAAGGAGCCCUCGAGCCACAGGACAUUGGCCAUCUUGCCAACCAUGGCACCGCCGCAAUCUGCCUGGCCGCCACGCACCACCUUUGGCUUGAAGUUGAAAGUCUUGAGCCAUAGGCCAAAGUGGGGGCGGAUGCGGAGGAACGCCUCGCACACGACGAUAAACGCUGAGAUGGUUAGGAUGAAGUUCGGGGCCAGAUCGUGGAAAUCCAGGCCGUAGUAGAACAUGAGCCCCCGGACAAAUGGAUGCAGAGGGAUGCCUAGUCCGCGGAGGAAAUGGAGGAGGAAUACCAACCUCUCAUGGGGCCUAGGGGUGGGGAUGAGCUGCCCCUUUUCGGGAAGCCGGUGCGCGAUGUUGCUAGCCAGAUAUCCGGCCUUCCUCGGCUUUUUGAUGUGUCCCUCCGUGACGGAGGAGACCAUCCACUUGCCUCCUGCCCCGGACAUGACUGGAGAAGGUUGAGGUGGUAGUGCGGACUUGGGCGCUGGAGCUCGAGCGUGCAAGAAUGGAUAGGCAAAGGAGGAAGAAGGCGUGGGUGAAAAGGUGGAUCCUUAUCCCCUUAUAUGGGUGGACGCAACUACGUGUCCCCACCAGCCUGGUAAAACUUGCUUAUAUCCAAGCGCCGUAAUCAAUGGCGCGGCUGGGUUACCCACACCCGUAUUGAUGAGAAUCCCGGAAUAAGGGGACACGAUCUCUGCUUUAACAAGACGUGCCAAGGAAACUGCCUCGCAUAACAUGCUAAGAUGGGAUAGUAAAACGGUUCGAAUAAAAGCUUGGCCAUGGUGUGAUGUCACACUACGGAGUACAUCAGCAGAUUAGAUUUGUGUAAAUAUUAUUCUCUCUAUGGCAAUAUGUGGAAACUUAUUUUGCAGAGCCGGAAACUAUCUUUGUGUUCAAAAUGUUCUAUGAAGUACUUGGAGGAGGAACCCGCCUUGCAAUGUCGAAGACAAUCUGCGCGCCGAACUCGUCGUCAUUGAAGCUUGGUUCAGGGGCUACUGAGGGAGUCCUGGAUUAGGGGGUGUUCGGAUAGCCGAACUAUACCUUCAGCCGGACUCCUGGACUAUGAAGAUACAAGAUUGAAGACUUUGUCCCGUGUCCGGAAGGGACUUUCCUUGGCAUGGAAGGCAAGCUUGGCGAUACGGAUGUUCAGAUCUCCUACCAUUGUAACCGACUCUAUGUAACCCUAACCCUCUCCGGUGUCUAUAUAAACCGGAGGGUUUUAGUCCAUAGGACAACAUACACAUCAACAAUCGUACCAUAGGAUAGCUUCUAGGGUUUAGCCUCUCUGAUCUCGUGGUAGAUCUACUCUUGUACUACCCAUAUCAUCAAUAUUAAUCAAGCAGGACGUAGGGUUUUACCUCCAUCGAGAGGGCCUGAACCUGGGUAAAACUUCGUGUCCCUUGCCUCCUGUUACCAUCCGGCCUAGACACACAGUUCGGGACCCCCUACCCGAGAUCCGCAGGUUUUGACACCGACAGCAUGGCUACUAAAAAUUUGGAUCAAUGGCGAGCAGAUAUUUUUGAGAUUGCGAGGGAUGCAGAGGCGGGAGUAAAAUGCCGGGACUCCUAAAAAUUUGAAUCAAGGGACUGAAGCAGAGCGGGAGUAACAGACAUCACACACAGUCCGCACAUACUAAUCGUGUGCUAUCAAAUAUUAAAACCUUCUAGGUGGUAGAUAUUUUCGAGAUUGCGAGGGAUGCAGAGGCGGGAGUUUUUGGGGUGCCAGCUAGUGUGCUUCACACGCUGGUUGUGGACUGUAGCCUAUGCACCUUCUCGCGUAAGCCAUAGGCGUACUAUACACCGACAGUGCUCCAAGAUAUUUUGUACUACAUCUCACAUGGUUGGUGAUAAUAAACUGUGUGUGGUCUACUUGAUUUGAAUUACAAAAUGGGGUCACAGCGGCAAUGGACGUUGUUUGAAUUGCUAGACAUUUUAUCUGCAGUGAACAUGCAACUAUAUGUGUGUCAUAAGAGAAUUGGAAUUAUUCAGGGUUCGUUUGGACAUUUUAUACAUUAAACUGGUUUUCUAGCCAUUUCAGGUGCACAAUUCAAAAUUAUACUACAUGCACAUGCUCCGGUUCAUACAAAUUGGUUGAAAAAUCCAAUAUAUGUCCUUCAGUGCAUGCUUAGGUCCCGUGCAAGAAAUGGGAAUGAAUUUUUUGGGGUUCAUUUGGCCUUUUUUAUACAUUAACUAGGUUUUCUCGGCAUUUUAUUUGCAUAAUUCAAAUUUGAAAUACAAGCACAUGUUCCAAUGCAAUAAAGUUGGUUGAAAAAUCACAUGUGUGUCCUUUUUUAUACAUUAACUGGGUUUUCUAGGUCCCAUGCAAGAGAUGGGAAUGAAAUUCAAAUAGCAUGGCACUAUUGAUUGUCGGCAAAACGUUGAGAUGCCUGGUUUUUAAAUUCUAGUAAAUCCAAAACUUGUCUGCAAUGCAUGAAACUUGGCAUGCUGUCAUGGAGUGGCAUUAACAUGCCGUGGUAAAAAAAUUGUGCCAUUUGGGGCUGGUUCGGGUCUAAGCUUCUCACAAACCAGAGCUUCUGACAACAAGCAUGAUGGUUUUGAUAGGGAACGUACCACCUUUGGGGACGGGGCGAUAUCCAUUGCCUCUUAUUGCUUUCAAAUUUUUUCUUGUGUCAAGAUAGAACAACAGGAGUGUUGUCUUUAAUCUUGGGAUUUUUCAGGGUUCAUUUGGCCUUUUUUAUACAUUAACUGGGUUUUCUAGGCAUUUUAUGUGCAUAAUUCAAAUUUGAACUACAAGCACAUGCUCCAAUGCACCAAAGUUGGUUGAAAAAUCACAUGUGUGUCCUUGGGUGAAUUUCUAGGUCCCAUGCAAGAGAUGGGAAUGAAAUUCAAACACCAGGGCACUGAUUGCCGGCAAAAUGUUGAGAUGCCUAGUUUUAAAAUUCUAGUAAAUUCAAAACUCGUCUGAAAUUCAUGAAACUUGGCACGCUAUCAUGGAGUGGCAUCAACAUGCCGUGGUAAAUUUUUUGUCCCAUUUGGGGCAGGUUCAGGUAUAAGCUUCUCACAAACCAGAGCUUCUCACAACAAGCAUGAUGGUUUCGAUAGGGAACGUCCCACCUUUGGGGACGAAAUGAUAUCCAUUGCCUCUUAUUGCUUUCAAAAAAUUUCUAGUGUCAACAUAGAACAACAGGAGUGUUGUGUUUAAUCUUGGAAUUUUUCGGGGUUUGUUUGGCCUUUUUUAUACAUUCACUGGGAUUUCUAGGUAUUUUAUGUGCAUAAUUCAAAUUUUAACUACAAGCGCAUGCUCCAGUGCACCAAAGUUGGUUGAAAAAUCACAUGUGUGUCCUUGGGUGAAUUUCUAAGUCCCACACAAGAGAUGGGAAUGAAAUUCAAACACCAGGGCACUGUUGAUUGCCGGUAAAACGUUGAGAUGCCUGGCUUUUAAAUUGUAGUAAAUCAAAAACUCGUAUGAAACUCAUGAAACUUGUCAUGCUAUCAUGGAGCGGCAUCAACAUGCCAUGUUAAAAAAUUUAUCCCAUUUGGGGCAGGUUCGGGUAUAUGCUUCUCACAAACCAGAGCUUCUCACAACAAGCAUGAUGGUUUCGUUAGGGAAUGUCCCACCUUUGGGGACGAAACUAUAUCCAUUGCCUCUUAUUUAUUUCAAAAAAAUUCUCGUGUCAACAUAGAACAAUGAUGUCUACUACACAACCUUCUUCUUGUAGACAUUGUUGGGCCUCCAAGAGCAGAGGUUUGUAGGAUAGUGGCAAAUUUCCCUCAAGUGGAUGACCUAAGGUUUAUCAAUUCAUGGAAGGCGUAGGAUGAAGAUGGUCUCUCUCAAAUAACGCUGCAACCAAAUAACAAAGAGUCUCUUGUGUCCCCAACACACCCAAUACAAUGGUAAAUUGUAUAGGUGCACUAGUUUGGCGAAGAGAUGGUGAUACAAGUGCAAUAUGGAUAGUAGAUAAUGGUUUUUGUAAUAUAAAACUAUAAAAAUAACAAGGUAACUAAUGAUAAAAGUGAGCACAAACGGUAUUGCAAUGCUAGGAAACAAGGCCUAGGGUUCAUACUUUCACUAGUGCAAGUUCUCUCAACAAUAAUAACAUAAUUGGAUCAUAUAACUAUCCCUCAACAUGCAACAAAGAGUCCCUCCAAAGUCACUAAUAGUGGAGAACAAACGAAGAGAUUAUGGUAGGGUACGAAACCACCUCAAAGUUAUCCUUUUUGAUCGAUCUAUUCAAGAGUCCGUAGUAAAAUAACACGAAGCUAUUCAUUCCAUUCAAUCUAUCCUAGAGUUCGUACUAGAAUAACACCUUAAGACACAAAUCAACCAAAACCCUAAUGUCACCUAGAUGCUCCAAUGUCACCUCAAGUAUCUGUGGGUAUGAUUAUACGAUAUGCAUCACACAAUCUCAGAUUCAUCUAUUCAACCAACACAAAGAACUUCAAAGAGUGCCCCAAAGUUUCUAUCGAAGAGUCAAGAUGAAAACGUGUGCCAACCCCUAUGCAUAACUUCAUGAGGUCAUGGAACUCGCAAGUUCAUCACCAAAACAUACAUCAAGUGGAUCAUGUGAUAUCCCAUUGUCACCACAGAUAAGCACAUGCAAGACAUACAUCAAGUGUUCUCAAAUCCUUAAAGACUCAAUCCAAUAAGAUAACAUCAAAGGGAAAACUCAAUCCAUUACAAGAGAGUAGAUGGGGAGAAACAUCAUAAGAUCUAACUAUAAUAGCAAAGCUCGCGAUACAUCAAGAUCGUACCACCUCAAUGAAGGAAAUAUGCCCUAGAGGCAAUAAUAAAGUUAUUAUAUAUUUCCUUAUAUCAUGAUAAAUGUUUAUUAUUCAUGCUAGAAUUGUAUUAACCGGAAACAUAAUACAUGUGUGAAUACAUAGACAAACAGAGUGUCACUAGUAUGCCUCUACUUGACUAGCUUGUUGAUUAAAGAUGGUUAUGUUUCCUAACCAUAGACAUGAGUUGUCAUUUGAUUAACGGGAUCACAUCAUUAGGAGAAUGAUGUGAUUGACUUGACCCAUUCCGUUAGCAUAACACUUGAUCGUUUAAUUUGUUGCUAUUGCUUUCUUCAUGACUUAUACAUGUUCCUAUGACUAUGAGAUUAUGCAACUCCCAUUUACUAGAGGAACACUUUGUGUGCCACCAAACGUCACAACGUAACUGGCUGAUUAUAAAUGUGCUCUACAGGUGUCUCCGAAGGUACUUGUUGGGUUGGCGUAUUUCGAGAUUAGGAUUUGUCACUUCGAUUGUCGGAGAGGUAUCUCUGGGCCCUCUCGGUAAUGCACAUCACCUAAAGCCUUGCAAGCAUUGCAACUAAUGAGUUAGUUGCGAGAUGAUGUAUUACGGAAUGAGUAAAGAGACUUGCCGGUAACAGGAUUGAACUAGGUAUUGAGAUACGGACGAUCGAAUCUCGAGCAAGUAACAUACAAAGGACAAAGGGAACAACGUAUGUUGUUAUGCGGUCUGACCGAUAAAGAUCUUCGUAGAAUAUGUGGGAGCCAAUAUGAGCAUCCAGGUUCCGCUAUUGGUUAUUGACCGGAGACGUGUCUCGGUCAUGUCUACAUUGCUCUCGAACCUGUAGGGUCCGCACGCUUAAGGUUUCGAUGACAGUUAUAUUAUGAGUUUAUAGGUUUUGAUGUACCGAAGUAGUUCGGAGUCCUGGAUCAGAUCGAGGACAUGACGAGGAGUCUCGAAAUGGUCGAGACGUAAAGAUCGAUAUAUUGCACGACUAUAUUCGGACAUCGGAAAGGUUCCGAGUGAUUCGGGUAUUUUUCGGAGUACCGGAGAGUUACGGGAAUACGUAUUGGGCCUUAUUGGGCCAUACGGGAAAGAAGGAAAAGGGCCUCAAGGGUGGCCGCAUCCCUCCCCUUGGUCUGGUCCGAAUUGGACUAGGGAACGGGGGCGCCCCUUCCUUCCUUCUCCUUUUCCCUUCCCUUUCCUUCCCUGCUACUCCUACUACUUGGAAGGGCUCCUAGUUUUACUAGGAAAGGACGAAUCCUACUCCCGGUGGGAGUAGGACUCCCCUAGGGUGCGCCAUAGAGAGGGCCGGCCCCUCCCCUCCUCCACUCCUUUAUAUACGUGGCCAGGGGGCACCCCAUAGACACACAAGUUGAUCUUCGUGAUCGUUCUCUUAGCCGUGUGCGGUGCCCCCCUCCACCAUAAUCCUCGAUAAUAUUGUAGCGGUGCUUGGGCGAAGCCCUGCGACGGUAGAACAUCAAGAUCGUCACCACGCCGUCGUGCUGACGGAACUCUUCCCCGACACUUUGCUGGAUCGGAGUCCGGGGAUCGUCAUCGAGCUGAACGUGUGCUAGAACUCGGAGGUGCCGUAGUUUCGGUGCUUGAUCGGUCGGGCCAUGAAGACGUAUGACUACAUCAACCGUGUUGUGCUAACGCUUCCGCUUCCGAUCUACGAGGGUACGUAGACAACACUCUCCCCUCUCGUUGCUAUGCAUCAUCAUGAUCUUGCGUGUGCAUAGGAAUUUUUUUGAAAUUACUACAUUACCUAACAGUGGCAUCCGAGCCUAGGUUUUAUGUGUUGAUGUUAUAUGCACGAGUAGAACACAAGUGAGUUGUGGGCGAUAUAAGUCAUACUUCUUACCAGCAUGUCACACUUUGGUUCGGCGGUAUUGUUGGAUGAAGCGGCCCGGACUGACAUUACGUGUACACUUAUGCGAAACUGGUUUUACCGCCGUGCUAUGCACACAGGUGACUAGCGGGUGUCAGUUUCUCCAACUUUAGUUGAACCGAGUGUGGCUAUGCCCGGUCCUUGAGAAGGUUAAAACAGCACCAACUUGACAAACUAUCGUUGUGGUUUUGAUGCGUAGGUAAGAACGGUUCUUGUUAAGCCCGUAGCAGCCACGUAAAACUUGCAACAACAAAGUAGAGGACGUCUAACUUGUUUUUGCAGGGCAUGUUGUGAUGUGAUAUGGUCAAGACGUGAUAAGAUAAAAGUUGUUGUAUAAGAUGAUCAUGUUUUGUUGAAGUUAUCGGCAACUGGUAGAAGCCUUAUGGUUGUCUCUUUAUUGCAUAAGAUGCAAGCGCCAAAUAAUUGCUUUACUUUAUCGCUAUGCGAUAGCAAUAGUUGCAAGAGCAAUAGUUGGCGAGACGACCAUGUCACGACACAUUGAUAUAGAUCAAGAUGAUGGAGAUCAUGGUGUCAUGCCGGUGACAAUGGAAAUCAUGACGAUGUUUUGGAGAUGGAGAUCAAAGGCACAAGAUGAUGAUGGCCAUAUCAUGUCACAUAUUUUGAUUGCAUGUGAUGUUUAUCUUUUAUGCAUCUUAUUUUGCUUAGUUCGACGGUAGCUUUAUAAGAUGAUCUCUCACUAAAUUUCAAGAUAAAACGUGUUCUCCCUGAGUAUGCACCGUUGCCAAAGUUCGUCGUGCCCAGACACCACGUGAUGAUCGGGUGUGAUAAGCUCUACGUCCAUCUACAACGGGUGCAAGCCAGUUUUGCACACGCAGAAUACUCAGGUUAAGAUGAGCCUAGCAUAUGCAGAUAUGGCCUCGGAACACCGAGACCGAAAGGUCGAGCGUGAAUCAUAUAGUAGAUAUGAUCAACCUAAUGAUGUUCACCAUUGAAAGCUACUCCAUUUCACGUGAUGAUCGGUUAUGGUUUAGUAGAUUUGGAUCACGUGAUCACUUAGAUGAUUAGAGGGAUGUCUAUCUAAGUGGGAGUUCUUAAGUAAUAUGAUUAAUUGAACUUUAAUUUAUCAUGAACUUAGUCUUGGUAGUAUUAGCAUAUCUAUGUUGUAGAUCAAUAGCUCGCGUUUAGCUCCCCUGUUUUAUUUUUGAUAUGUUCCUAGAGAAAACUAAGUUGAAAGAUGUUAGUAGCAAUGAUGCGGAUUGGAUCCGUGAUCUGAGGUUUAUCCUCAUUCCUGCACAGAAGAAUUAUGUCUUUGAUGCACCGCUAGGUGACAAACCUAUUGCAAGAGCAGAUGCAGAUGUUAUGAACAUUUGGCUAGCUCAAUAUGAUUACUACUUGAUAGUUUAGUGCACCAUGCUUAAACGGCUUAGAAUCGGGACUUCAAAGACGUUUUGAACGUCAUGGACCAUAUGAGAUGUCCCAAGAGUUGAAGUUAAUAUUUCAAGCAAAUACCUGAGUUGAGAGAUAUGAAGUCUCCAACAAGUUCUAUAGCUAAAAGAUGGAGGAGAAUAGCUCAAGCAGUGAGCAUGUGCUCAGAUUGUCUGGGUACUACAAUCGCUUGAAUCAAGUGGGAGUUAAUCUUCUAGAUAAAAUAGUGAUUGACAGAAUUCUCUAGUCACCAUCACCAAGUUAGUAGAACUUCGUGAUGAACUAUAAUUGCAAGGGAUAACGGAAAUGAUUCCAAGCUCUUCGUGAUGCUGAAAUCAACGAAGGUAGAAAUCAAGAAAAGCAUCAAGUGUUGAUGGUAAACAAAACCACUAGUUUCAAGUAAAGGGACAAAGGGAACAAAGGGGAACUUCAAGAAGAACAGCAAGCAAGUUGCUGCUCAAGUGAAAAACCCAAGUCUGGACCUAAGCCUGAAACUGAGUGCUUCUACUGCAAAGGGACUGGUCACUAGAAGCGGAACUACCCAAGUAAUUGGCGGAUAAGAAGGAUGGCAAAGUGAACAUAGGUAUAUUUGAUAUACAUGUUAUUGAUGUGUACUUUACUAGUGUUUAUAGCAACCCCUCAGUAUUUGAUACUAGUUCAGUUGCUAAGAGUGGUAACUCGAAAUGGGAGUUGCAGAAUGAACAAAGACUAGUUAAGGGUGAAGUGACGAUGUGUGUUGGAAGUGGUUCCAAGAUUGAUAUGAUCAUAAUCGCACACUCCCUAUACUUUCGGGAUUAGUGUUGAACCUAAAUAAGUGUUAUUUGGUAUUUGCAUUGAGCAUAAAUAUGAUUGGAUCAUGUUUAUUGCAAUACGGUUAUUCAUGUAAGUUAUAGAAUAAUUGUUGUUUUGUUUACAUGAAUAAAACCUUCUAUGGUCAUACACCCAAUGAAAAUGGUUUGUUGGAUCUCGAUUGUGGUGAUACACAUAUUCAUAAUAUUGAAGCCAAAAGAUGCAAAGUUAAUAAUGAUAGUGCAACUUAUUUGUGGCACUGCCAUUUAGGUCAUAUUGGUGUAAAGCGCAUGAAGAAAAUCCAUGCUGAUGGAUUUUUGGAAUCACUUGAUUAUGAAUCAGUUGAUGCUUGCGAACCAUGCCUCAUGGGCAAGAUGACUAAGACUCCGUUCUCCGGAACAAUGGAGCGAGCAACAGAUUUGUUGGAAAUCAUACAUACUGAUGUAUGUGGUCCGAUGAAUAUUGAGGCUCAUGGCAAGUAUCAUUAUUUUCUGAUCUUCACAGAUGAUUUGAGCAGAUAUGAGUAUAUCUACUUGAUGAAACACAAGUCUGAAAUAUUUGAAAAGUUCAAAGAAUUUCAGAGUGAAGUGGAGAAUCAUCGUAACAAAAAUAAAAGUUUCUACGAUAUGAUCGCAGAAGUAAAAUAUUUGAGUUACGAGUUUGGCCUUCAGUUAAAACAAUGUGAAAUAGUUUCACUACUCACGCCACCUGGAACACCACAAUGUAAUGGUGUGUCCGAACAUCAUAACCAUAAUUUAUUAGAUAUGGUGCGAUCUAUGAUGUCUCUUAUCGAUCUACCACUACCGUUUUGGGGUUAUGCAUUAGAGACAGCUGCAUUCACGUUAAAUAGGGCACCAUCUAAAUCCGUUGAGACGACACCGUAUGAACUAUGGUUUGGUAAGAAACCUAAGCUAUUGUUUCUUAAAGUUUGAGGUUGCAAUGCUUAUGUGAAAAAGUUUCAACCUGAUAAGCUCUAACCCAAAUCGGAGAAGUGCGUCUUCAUAGGAUACCCAAAAGAAAAUGUUGGGUACACCUUCUAUCACAGAUCCGAAGGCAAUAUAUUCGUUGCUUUGAAUGGAUCCUUUCUAGAAAAGGAGUUUCUCUCGAAAGAAGUGAGUGGGAGGAAAGUAGAACUUGAUGAGGUAAGUGUACCUGCUCCCUUAUUGGAAAGUAGUUCAUCACAGAAAUUUGUUCCUGUGACUACUACACCGAUUAGUGAGGAAGCUAAUGAUGAUGAUCAUGUAACUUCAGAUCAAGUUACUACCUAACCUCGUAGGUAAACCAGAGUGAGAUCCGCAGCAGAGUGGUAUGGUAAUCCUGUUCUGGAGAUCAUGUUACUUGACCAUGACGAGCCUACGAACUAUGAGGAAGCGAUGAUGAGCGCAGAUUCCACGAAAUGGCUUGAGGCCAUGAAAUCUCAGAUGAGAUCCAUGUAUGAGAACAAAGUAUGGACUUUGAUCGACUUGCCCAAUGAUCGGUGAGCCAUUGAUAUUAAAUGGAUCUUCAAGAGGAAGACGGACGCUGAUAGUAGUGUUACUAUCUACAAAGCUAGAAUUGUCGCAAAAAGGUUUUCGACAAGUUUAAGGUGUUGACUACGAUGAGAGUUUCUCACUCGUAUCUAUGCUUAAGUGUGUCCGAAUCAUGUUAGCAAUUGCCACAUUUUAUGAAAUCUGGCAAAUGGAUAAACAAAACUGCAUUCCUUAAUGGAUUUAUUAAAGAAGAGUUGUAUAUGAUGCAACCAGAAGGUUUUGUCAAUCCUAAAGGUACUAACAAAAUAUGCAAGCUCCAGCGAUCCAUCUAUGGACUGGUGCAAACAUCUCGGAGUUGGAAUAUACUCUUUGAUAAGUUGAUGAAGCAUAUAGUUUUAUACAUACUUGCGGUGAAGCCUGUAUUUACAAGAAAGUGAGUGGGAGCAUUACAGCAUUUCUGAUAAGUAUAUGUGAAAGACAUAUUGUUGAUCGGAGAUAAUGUAGAAUUAUUCUGCAAAGCAUAAAUGAAUAUUUGAAAGGAGUUUUUCAAAGAAAGACCUCGGUGAAGCUGCUUACAUAUUGAGCAUCAAGAUCUAUAGAGAUAGAUCAAGAUGCUUGAUAAGUUUUUUCAAUGAGUACAUACCUUGACAAGGUUUUGGAGUAGUUCAAAAUAGAACAGUCAAAGAAGAAGUUCUUGCCUGUGUUACAAGGUGUGAAGUUGAGUAAGACUCAAAACCCGACCACGGCAGAAGAUAGAGAGAGAAUGAAAGUCAUUCCCUAUGCCUCAACCAUUGGUUCUAUAAAGUAUGCCAUGCUGUGUACCAGACCUAUUGUAUACCCUGUCCUAAGUUUGGCAAAGGAGUACAAUAAUGAUCUAGGAGUAGAUCACUGGACAUUGGUCAAAAUUAUCCUUAGUGGAAUAAGGAUAUGUUUCUCGAUUAUGGAAGUGACAAAAGGUUCGUCAUAAAGGGUUACGUCGAUGCAAAUUUUGACACUGAUCCAGAUGACUCUAAAUCUCAAUCUGGAUACAUAUUGAAAGUGGGAGCAAUUAGCUAGAGCAGCUCUGUGCAGAGCAUUGUUGACAUAGAAAUUUGCAAAAUACUUAAGGAUCUGAAUGUGGCAGACCCGUUGACUAAAAUUCUCUCACAAGCAAAACAUGAUCACACCUCAGUACUCUUUGGGUGUUAAUCACAUAGCGAUGUGAACUAGAUUAUUGACUCUAGUAAACCCUUUGGGUGUUGGUCACAUGUCGAUGUGAACUAUGGGUGUUAAUCACAUGGUGAUGUAAACUUUUGAUGUUAAAUCACAUGUGGAUGUGAACUAGAUUAUUGACUCUAGUGCAAGUGGGAGACUGAAGGAAAUAUGCCCUAGAGGCAAUAAUAAAGUUAUUAUACAUUUCCUUAUAUCAUGAUAAAUGUUUAUUAUUCAUGCUAGAAUUGUAUUAACCGGAAACAUAAUACAUGUGUGAAUACAUAGACAAACAGAGUGUCAAUAGUAUGCCUCUACAUGACUAGCUCGUUGAUUAAAGAUGGUUAUGUUUCCUAACCAUAGACAUGAGUUGUCAUUUGAUUAACGGGAUCACAUCAUUAGGAGAAUGAUGUGAUUGACUUGACCCAUUCCGUUAGCAUAGCACUUGAUCGUUUAAUUUGUUGCUAUUGCUUUCUUGAUGACUUAUACAUGUUCCUAUGACUAUGAGAUUAUGCAACUCCCAUUUACCAGAGGAACACUUUGUGUGCCACCAAACGUCACAACGUAACUGGGUGAUUAUAAAGGUGCUCUACAGGUGUCUCCGAAGGUACUUGUUGGGUUGGCGUAUUUCGAGAUUAGGAUUUUUCACUCCGAUUGUCGAAGAGGUAUCUCUGGGCCCUCUCGGUAAUGCACAUCACCUAAAGCCUUGCAAGCAUUGCAACUAAUGAGUUAGUUGCGAGAUGAUGUAUUACGGAACGAGUAAAGAGACUUACUGGUAACGAGAUUGAAAUAGGUAUUGAGAUAGCGACGAUCAAAUCUCGGGCAAGUAACAUACCGAUGACAAAGGGAACAACGUAUGUUGUUAUGCGGUCUGACCGAUAAAGAUCUUCGUAGAAUAUGUGGGAGCCAAUAUGAGCAUCCAGGUUCUGCUAUUGGUUAUUGACCGGAGACGUGUCUCGAUCAUGUCUACAUUGUUCUCGAACCUGUAGGGUCCGCACGCUUAAGGUUUUGAUGACAGUUAUAUUAUGAGUUUUGAUGUACCUAAGGAGUUCGGAGUCCCGGAUGAGAUCGGGGACAUGACGAGGAUUCGCGAAAUGGUCGAGACGUAAAGAUCGAUAUAUUGGACGACUAUAUUCGGACAUCCGAAAGGUUCCGAGUGAUUUGGGUAUUUUUCGGAGUACCGGAGAGUUACGGGAAUACGUAUUGGGCCUUAUUGGGCCAUACGGGAAAGAAGGAAAUGGGCCUCAAGGGUGGCCGCACCCCUCCCCUUGGUCUGGUCCGAAUUGGACUACGGAAGGGGGCGCCCCCUUCCUUCCUUCUCCUUUUCCCUUCCCUUCCCUUCCCUCCUACUCCUACUACUUGGAAGGGCUCCUAGUUCUACUAGGAAAGGGGGAAUCCUACUCCCGGUGGGAGUAGGACUGCCCUAGGGCGCGCCAUAGAGAGGGUCGGCCCCUCCCCUCCUCCACUCCUUUAUAUACGUGUCCAGGGGCACCCCAUAGACACACAAGUUGAUCUUUGUGAUCGUUCGCUUAGCCGUGUGCGGUGCCCCCCUCCACCAUAAUCCUCGAUAAUAUUGUAGCGGUGCUUAGGCGAAGCCCUGCGAUGGUAAAACAUCAAGAUCGUCACCACGCCGUCGUGCUGACGGAACUCUUCCCUGACACUUUGCUAGAUCGGAGUCCGGGGAUCGUCAUCAAGUUGAACGUGUGCUAGAACUCGGAGGUGCCGUAGUUUCGGUGCUUGAUCGGUCGGGCCAUGAAGACGUACGACUACAUCAACCGUGUUGUGCUAACGCUUCCGCUUCCGGUCUACGAGGGUACGUAGAAAACACUCUCCCCUCUCGAUGAUAUGCAUCAUCAUGAUCUUGCGUGUGCGUAGGAAUAUUUUUGAAAUUACUACGUUACCUAACACUCAAGAACACGAGAGAGAGAGAGAGAUCAAACACAUAGCUACUGGUACAUACCCUCAGCCCCGAGGGUGAACUACACCCUCCUCGUCAUGGAGAGCGCCUGGAUGAUGAAGAUGGCCACCGGUGAGGGAUCCCCCUCCGGCAGGGUGCAGGAACGGGUCUAGAUUGGAUUUCGGUGGCUACAGAGGCUUGCGGCGGCGGAACUCCCGAUCUAUUUUGUUCCCCGAUGUUUUUAGGGUAUAUGGACAUAUAUAGGCGAAAGAAGUCGGUCAGGGGAGCCACGAGGGGCCCAUGAGGGUGGGGGCGCGCCCAGGGGGGUAGGGCACGCCUCCCUACCUUGUGGCUUCCUCGAAGCUUCCCUGACGUGUACUCAAAGUCUCCUGGAUGGCUUCCAUUCCAAAAAUAACUCUCCCGAAGGUUUCAUUCCGUUUGGAGUCCGUUUGAUAUUCCUUUUGUUCGAAACACUGAAAUAGGCAAGAAAACAACAAUAUGGGCUGGGCCUCCAGUUAAUAGGUUAGUCCCAAAAAUAAUAUAUAAGUGUUUAGUAAAGCCCAUAAACAUCGAAGACAGAUAAUAUAAUAGCAUGAAUACUUCAUAAAUUAUAGAUACGUUGGAGACGUAUCAAACAACAGGAGUGUUGUGUCAAUUUUUGGGAUUUUUCGAGGUUCGUUUGGACAUUUUUAUGAAUUAACUGAGUUUUAAUGCAUUUAUGUGCAUAAUUCAAAUUUGAACUACAUGCACAUGCUCCAGUGCAUAUAAAUUGGUUGAAAAAUCAAAUUUGUGUCCUUGGGUGCGUGCUUAGGUCCCAUGCAAGAAAUGGGAAUGAAUUUCAAACACCAGGGCACCGUUGAUUGCCGGCAAAACAUUGAGAUGCCUGGUUUUAAAUUCUAGUGAAUCCAAAACUUGUCUGAAAUUCAUGAAACUUGGCAUGCUAUCAUGGAAUGGCACCCGACAUGUUGUGGCAUUUUCCGUGUCCGGAAGGCACACUCGAAUAAUGACAGCCAACAAAGGCAUUUUGAAAAAAUAGCUGCCACUUUAAUAACCUUAUCAUACUCUUCUGUAGAAAAUCACUAAAAUUAUUAAUCAACAUUGCAUACUAAAUGCCUCCGCAUAUUUAAUAGUCCUAUCCUCAAGUAGAAUCAUUAAACAAGCAAACAUAUGCAAACAAUGCAAACAUAACAGCAAUCUACCUAAAGAGGACAAUCUAUGAAGAAUGCAGCAAGAUCCAUACUUCACUAGAUCAAAAAUUAUGAAAGAAAAUUCCCACUGUAGUAAAUUUAUCAAAGCUUAUUAUGCAAAAGGUUUCAACAUUUUAUCACAUUCUGACUUUUCUAGGAAAUUUUUGCAAGAGUGGUAAACUUUCUGUUUUCAACCAGCAGCAUGUAGACUUGUAAAAUAGGCAUAGUAAAGGCCAUCAAUGCCACUUCUAUUGAAAUAAAAGAUGAUUUUUUUUAUAAAUAACAGAAAGAAAAUCCUAGCAAAAUAAAUUGACGCUCCAAGCAAAACACAUAUCAUGUGGUGAAUAAAAAUAUAGCUCAAAUUAAAGUUACCGAUGAACGAAGACGAAAGAGGGGAUGCCUUCCGGGGCAUCCCCAAGCUUAGGCUCUUGGUUGUCCUUGAAUAUUACCUUGGGGUGCCUUGGGCAUCCCCAAGCUUAGGCUAUUGCCACUCCUUAUUCCAUAGUCCAUCGAAUCUUUACCCAAAACUUGAAAACUUCACAACACAAAACUUAACAGAAAACUCGUGGGCUCCGUUAGUAAAAGAAAACAAACCACCACUUCAAGGUACUGUAAUGAACUCAUUAUUUAUUUAUAUUUAUGUUAAACCUAAUGUAUUCCAACUUUUAUAUGGUUCAUAAACUCUAUUACUAGCCAUAGAUUCAUCAAAAUAAGCAAACAACACACGAAAAACAGAAUCUGUCAAAAACAGAACAGUCUUAGUAAUCUGUAGGUUUCGGAUACUUAUGGAACCCCAAAAAUUCUAGAAUAAAUUGCUGGACGUGAGGAAUUUAUCUAUUACUCACCUGAAAACUAAGUUAACUAAAUAGCGCUCUCCAUUGAAAAAUGGCAGCAAAUCUCGUGAGAGCUAAAGUUUCUGUUUUUUACAGCAGGAUCACAAAGACUUUCCCCAAGUCUUCCCAAAGGUUCUACUUGGCACAAACCCUAAUUAAAAGCAUAAAACCACAUCUAAACAGAGUCUAGAUGAAUUAUUCAUUACUAAACAGGAGCAAAAAGCAAAGAACAAAAAUAAAAUUGGGUUGCCUCCCCACAAGCGCUAUCGUUUAACGCCCCUAGCUAUGCAUGAUGAUUUCUAUGAUGCUCACAUAAAAGAUAAGAAUUGAAACAUAAAGAGAGCAUCAUGAAGAAUAUGAAUAGAACAUUUAAUUCUAAUACACUUCCUAUGCAUAGGGAUUUUCUGAGCAAACAAUUUAUCGGAACAAUAAUCAACUAGCAUAGGAAGGCAAAACAAGCAUAACUAACUUUAAGCACAUAGAGAGGAAACUUGAUAUUAUUGCAAUUCCUACAAGCAUAUGUUCCACCCUCAUAAUAAUUUUCAGUAGCAUCAUGAAUGAAUUCAAGAAUAUAACUAUCACAUAAAGCAUUCUUUUCAUUAUCUACAAGCAUAUAAAUUUUAUUACUCUCCACAUAAGCAAAAUUCUUCUCGUUCGGAAUAGUGGGAGUAUCAUAAGAAACUCGAAUACUAUAAAUUGUUUCCACAUUAAAGGAGUAAUGUUCAAGAAAGGGUAAUCAUAAUCAUGACAAGUUUUAUAAAUAUAAUCAGCACUACUUUUUAUAGCAUAAGUAUCAUCACAAUAAUCAUCAUAAGUAGCAACUUUGUUCUUAUCAUAAUCGAUUGAAACCUCUUACAAGAUAGUGGAAUCAUUACUAAAUAAAGCCAUGACCUCUCCAAAUCCACUUUCAUAAUUAUCACAAUAAGAUUCAACACCCUUCAAAAUAGUGGGAUCAUUACUUCCUGAAGUUGACACACUUCCAAACCCAUUUUCAUAAUAUAAUCAUCAUAAGUAGGGGCAUGCUAUCAUCAUAACAAAUUUGCAUAUCAAAACUUGGGAGGCUAAAAAUAUCAUCUUCAUUAAACAUAGAAUCCCCAAGCUUGGGACAAACAUUAAUUGCAGCAAAUAUAUUCUCAAACAUGUCAUUCUCAUCAAAAUAGCAUCCCCAAGCUUGGGCCUUUUCAUAUCAUAAGCAUAAUCACUCUCAUCAUUAAUAGAAUGUGUCGGUGUACUAGAGUAGGGGUACCCUAUUACCCCGGACUCGUCCAUGGGCAGUUGCAGCGCCCCGCGGCAAGGCUUGCCGGGUGACCGCCAGGACCCUCCGUGGUUCCCUUGAAGACCAUUCAAGAACAAAGUAUUCAAAUCAAGGCCCCGGCAAGAGGAGCUUGCCGGGAAGGCCAACCAAGGCCCCAGCAAGAGGAGCUUGCCGGGAAGAGACGAGACCCCGGCAAGAGGAGCUUGCCGGGAAGGCCAUUCAAGGCGUAUCGAGAAAACUUGCCGCGACGCGCCCCACGUCCCGGCAAGAACCGGCGAGCGACAAGCUUCCAGACGCGACAAGACGACGGCCGCGGCAAGGAGCUUGCCGCGGGAAACCCCCACUUCGUGCCCGCGCUCCAGCUCACCUGCUAACGUGUCGCUCUGGGACUCUCCCAGAGCGCACGUGGCGGGAGGCCGUGCAGCUAGGGGUACGUGGUGGCAAGCGGAGAUGAAGAGAAGCCCAUCGUGGCAAACGGUGGCACUCCUAACGGUCACCUUUUGCACUGUUUGGGAGACUCAGACAGGCAUUUAAUGCCCUUGUCCCCUGCCAUCAGAGUUAGGUAGGGUGCACUGUAUCCACAGUAGCGGUAGCUGCACCUACCCCAUCCCUUUCCAUUUUUACGCUUCUUGUCUACGUUGCCCCCUGUCGGUGACCCCUUGAGAGUAUAAAAGGAGGCCCAAGCGCAACGUAGAAGGGGUUCGGAAGUGGAGAGGUUAGGCCAGUUCGGCUCGUUCAACACCAGGAACACUCUCACGCUCAGUCUGGCAGCGUCCAUCGCUCCUAAGCAAGAAUCCAAUAUACACAAACAAGCAGCAGUAGGGUUUUACGCAUCCGUGCGGCCCGAAGCUGGGUAAAAUCGCCCGCGUGCACUGCCUCGAUCCGCUCUUUGUGCGUUCUCCGCCCCCCACCGAACCAAAAGGGGCCCUGUCCCCAUAGGUGUUGGCGGGAAUCAGCACCGCCCCUGACACCUCUGGCGCGCCAGGUAGGGGGCGUCGAGAUCGUGCAAACCCGAUCCGGCGUGCACGCAAGCUAAAUCUUCAUCGUCAUGGCUCCCAAGGAGCGGGCGAGCAAAAGAACGACGCCAGUGCGGCAACAGAAAAAGCUAAGUCAUGCAAAACUUUAGAUAUUUCCUUUUUAUAUCAGGUUAUCCACCUCGGAGAUCUUGUUCUUUGUACGAAAAACCUGUGCGCGGAGGAAUCAACUCGUAGCUAGUCGCGCCCUUACUUUGUUUCGAGUCUGCUCAACAACUUAAGUGAGCUGCUAGCGCCCUUACUUUGCUUCGAGUCCGCUCAGCAACUUAAGUGAGCUGCUAGCGCCCUUACUUUGUUUCGAGUCCGCUCAACAACUUAAGUGAGCUGCAACUAGUUGCGACAAGAUUACUUGUCGGUAGCGACCCCGCCAGCAGGCUGCUGAAGUUCCGCACUCGGCGCUUGCGGCAAGGGUUCCUGCACCGGCAAGUUUCCCUAGAAAGCAUAGGGUGGACGUACAAAGAGGGGUUGAACAGGAAGAUAGAAUGCGCUAUUUAUUUGAGAUUUCUGUAUAGACCUGUAUGCCGAGGAGCCUUCUCGGGGCUAGUUGCGCUCCAUGAUUGCCUCGAGUCCGCUCGGCAACUUGUGCGGUUGCGCUAGAACCAAGAAGGUAAACCUUUCCGGGAGGCGUUGUUCCCGAAUAGCCGCUAAGGGCCCGUUCCCUCAAGCGCUACUGGCUGGAUCGUACGCACCGGAAAGCAUUCCAGCAGGCAUAGGGAAUAUGCAGCAAAAGUCAAAAUUCGCAAGCAAGUUGAGUGCACUUCGGAUGCUAAUCACUUGCUAUGUUUGAACGCAGUUAUGGCCCGGGGGCUGGCAACGCCCUUAGGGCCAAUCUUUUCGGUGUCAAGAACAACGAAGUUCUUCGCCAUAAGCCUUUCCGGCAACGAUCUUGCCGGGAGCCGGUGUCAAGAACAAUGAAGUUCUUCGCCAAAAGCCUUCCUGGCAACCAGCUUGCCGGAAGCCGGCAUCGAGAACGUCAAAGUUCUCUGCUGAAGAUAAAAGCCUUCCUGGCAACCAGCUUGCCGGAAGCCGGCAUCGAGAACGUCAAAGUUCUCUGCUGAAGAUAAAAGCCUUCCUGGCAACCAGCUUGCCGGAAGCCGGCAUCGAGAACGUCAAAGUUCUCUGCCGAAGAUAAAAGCCUUCCUGGCAAUCAGCUUGCCGAAAGCCGGCAUCGAGAACGUCAAAGUUCUCUGCUGAAGAUAAAAGCCUUCCUUGCAAUCAGCUUGCCGGAAGCCGGCAUCGAGAACGCCAAAGUUCUCUGCUGAAGAUAAAAGCCUUCCUGGCAACCAGCUUGCCGGAAGCCGGCAUCGAGAACGACAAAGUUCUCUGCUGAAGAUAAAAGCCUUCCCGGCAAGCCAGUAUCGCUGGGGGCUGUGAGUGCCAAGAAUCAUCCACGGCAAACCAGAGUUGCCGAGGGCUGCACUAUCAGAUAAGUUUCUCAUCUCUCAUCAUGCAUCCUCUUAUGGACUGGGGAAUGCGAAACCACGUUUGUUCCUGGAAACUGCCGUGCUCCCUCGACUCUAGGCCCUGGGGCUCGUUCUCGGGGCCAAGUUUGGUCGUAGUCGCGGCAGCAAAGGGAUGAAACAAGGAGACCGCACCCACCUCAUUCCUGCCUCCGUUAAAAGCGUGAGAAAGGUUGAGCGACGUGGGAAGACAGCAGGGCCUGUUGCCGGGAGAUGAAAUGUCUGUCCGAGGGAUACCAAGGAUUUGCUCCUUGACGUGGGUUUAACUCGCGAGACAAAUAACCCGGCAAGCAUCCCCUUUUCAUUAAAAAACAUCCCACUCAGGUACAGUCCAUAGAGGGUGAAAAACAUGAAAGAGAGGAUUACAAGUUCUAGAUACAGCUAAGGCCCGAAGGCUUACAAAUUAAAAAGAUAAGAUGCCCGUGAUCCCUUUCCUGUCCCCCUUUUCAAGAGGCAGGUCAAGGAGGCGAAAAGGGCAAAAGGAGUGCCUAGGCGAGCUACCUCCAGUAAAUGCACCACGCCCUCACACCUACCUCCGUUUAAGGAGGAGGGCAUGAAUCGUCCCCAUCAUCGUGGCCUGACGCAUGCUCGGGGGGCUUAGCCCCACGCACGCAACCCACGAUCUCACCCACGACGCCGCGUUUGACGCGUGCCGUUCUGGGCGUGCGCGGUGGGAGCGGAGUUAGAUUCGGCGUGACCUACGCCGCGCAUGCCCGUGCACUAAUUUUGGGCCUGGCCCAACAGCGCUCGGCACCGUGUAUGGCCCAGGCCCGGGGGCUCCUGUCGGUGUACUAGAGUAGGGGUACCCUAUUACCCCGAACUCGUGCAUGGGCAGUUGCAACGCCCCACGGCAAGGCUUGCCGGGUGACCGCCAGGACCCUCCAUGGUUCCCUUGAAGACCAUUCAAGAACAAAGUAUUCAAAUCAAGGCCCCGGCAAGAGGAGCUUGCCGGGAAGGCCAACCAAGGCCCCGGCAAGAGGAGCUUGCCGGGAAGAGACGAGACCCCGGCAAGAGGAGCUUGCCGGGAAGGCCAUUCAAGGCGUAUCGAGAAAACUUGCCGCGACGCGCCCCGCGUCCCGGCAAGAACCAGCGAGCGACAAGCUUCCAGACGCGACAAGACGACGGCCGCGGCAAGGAGCUUGCCGCGGGAAACCCCCACUUCGCGCCCGCGCUCCAGCUCACCUGCUAACGUGUCGCUCUGGGACUCUCCCAGAGCGCACGUGGCGGGAGGCCGUGCAGCUAGGGGUACAUGGUGGCAAGCGCAGAUGAAGAGAAGCCCAUCGUGGCAAACGGUGGCACUCCUAACGGUCACCUUUUGCACUGUUUGGGAGACUCAGACAGGCAUUUAAUGCCCUUGUCCCCUGCCGUCAGAGUUAGGUAGGGCGCACUGUAUUCACAGUAGCGGUAGCUGCACCUACCCCAUCCUUUUCCAUUUUUACCCUUCUUGUCUAUGUUGCCCCCUGUCGGUGACCCCUUAAGAGUAUAAAAGGAGGCCCAAGCGCAACGUAGAAGGGGUUCGGAAGUUGAGAGGUUAGGCCAGUUCGGCUCGUUCAACACCAGGAACACUCUCACGCUCAGUCUGGCAGCGUCCAUCGCUCCUGAGCAAGAAUCCAAUAUACACAAACAAGCAGCAGUAGGGUUUUACGCAUCCGUGCGGCCCGAAGGUGGGUAAAAUCGCCCGCGUGCACUGCCUCGAUCCGCUCUUUGUGCGUUCUCCGCCCCCCACCGAACCGAAAGGGCCCCUGUCCCCUUAGGUGUUGGCGGGAAUCAGCACCGCCCCCGACAGAAUGGAUAGCACCAAUGGUAUAGCAAUUAUCAUCAUCACAAUGAGCAAUAGGAGAAACAUCAUUUGGGAGGGAUACCUUUCUACCUUUGCUUCUCCGUCUUUUCUUUUUCUUCUUCACAUCAUGUGUGGGUUUAAGCCUCUUUUUUGAGCUCCUUAUUAAUGAGAUUGGUUGAAUAGAAGGCUCCUCCUCAUUACCUGAUUCAUCAUAAGAAAUAAUAGGAGGAUAUUUGGAAGUAUCUUCCCUUUCGUUAGUAUUCUCUUCAUCUUCUAUUUGUUUUCUCGUAUUUAUGUAAUUGGCAAGAUAAGGAUUUUCAAUGCAAUUCACCGCACAAUACAUAAAAAUUUCUUCUAGAUCAAAAUCAAGAACCUUAUCCAGGACAAAUUCUAGAAGAUCCUUAGUUAUACAUUUCAUUUCUUCAUAACCCAAAAGCAAACUAAGUUCAUUAUGAUAUGCAAGGGAAAUCAAAUCAUCACAAUUCUUGGACACGAUUUGAUCACGAAACAAUUUGCAUUGGAGACUUAAAUGACCAUGUUCAUUGCAAAGUUCACAAGUACGGCUAAGAAAGAUUAAAUUUUCAACACAAACAUCUAGCCUUUCUUGCAACCACAUAGUUUCCUAAUACUUAUGCCUCUUGCAAAAUCUAUCUUCCCUAUUUGGUGUGUACUUGCAAACUCUAUGCACUCCAUGAAAAUUGACAUGCUUAUAAAAGACAUUUUCAUUAUGACUUGUGCAAUCAUCAUUAGUACUAUGGAUAUUCAAGGAGUUCAUACUAACAACAUGCAAUCAUGCUCAUCAUUAAAGAUUUGGUGCCAAACAUUUUAUAGACUUCUUCUUCUAGCACUUGAGCACAAUUUUCCUUUCCAUCAUUCUCACGAAAAAUAUUAAAAAGAUGAAGCGUAUGAGGCAAACUCAAUUCCAUUUUUUGUAAUUUUAUUUUCUAAACUAAACUAGUGAUAAAACAAGAAACUAAAAGAUUCGAUUGCAAGAUCUAAAGAUAUACCUUCAAGCACUCACCUCCCCAGCAACGGCGCCAGAAAAGAGCUUGAUCUCUACUACACAACCUUCUUCUUGUAGACGUUGUUGGGCCUCCAAGUGCAGAGGUUUGUAGGACAGUAGCAAAUUUCCCUCAAGUGGAUGACCUAAGGUUUAUCAAUCCGUGGGAGGCAUAGGAUAAAGAAGGUCUCUCUCAAACAACCCUGCAACCAAAUAACAAAGAGUCUCUUGUGUCCCCAACACACCCAAUACAAUGGUAAAUUGUAUAGGUGCACUAGUUCGGCGAAGAGAUGGUGAUACAAGUGCAAUAUGGAUAGUACAUAAUGGUUUUUGUAAUAUGAAAAUAUAAAAACAGCAAGGUAACUAAUGAUAAAAGUGAGCACAAACGGUAUUGCAAUGCUAGGAAACAAGGCCUAGGGUUCAUACUUUCACUAGUGCAAGUUCUCUCAACAAUAAUAACAUAAUUGGAUCAUAUAACUAUCCAUCAACAUGCAAGAAAGAGUCACUCCAAAGUCACUAAUAGCGGAGAACAAACGAAGAGAUUAUGGUAGGGUACAAAACCACCUCAAAGUUAUCCUUUCUGAUCGAUCUAUUCAAGAGUCCGUAGUAAAAUAACACGAAGCUAUUCUUUCCAUUCAAUUUGUCCUAGAGUCCGUACUAGAAUAACACCUUAAGACAAAAAUCAACCAAAACCCUAAUGUCACCUAGAUACUCCAAUGUCACCUCAAGUAUCCGUGGGUAUGAUUAUACAAUAUGCAUCACACAAUCUCAGAUUCAUCUAUUCAACCAACACAAAGAACUUCAAAGAGUGCCCCAAAGUUUCUACCGAAGAGUCAAGAUGAAAAUGUGUGAUAACCCCUAUGCAUAAGUUCACGAGGUCACGGAACUCGCAAGUUGAUCACCAAAACAUACAUCAAGUUGAUCACGUGAUAUCCCAUUGCCACGACAUAUAAGCACAUGCAAGACAUACAUCAAGUGUUCUCAAAUCCUUAAAGACUCACUCCGAUAAGAUAACUUCAAAGGGAAAACUCAAUCCAUUACAAGAGAGUAGAGGGGGAGAAACACCAUAAGAUGCAACUAUAAUAGCAAAGCUCGUGAUACAUCAAGAUCGUACCACCUCAAGAACACAGAGAGAGAGAGAGAGAGAGAGAUCAAACACAUAGCUACUGGUACAUACCCUCAUCCCCUCCCUCCUCGUCAUGGAGAGUGCCUGGAUAAUGAAUAUGGACACCAGUGAGGGAUCCCCCUCCGGCAAUGUGCAGGAAUGGGUCUAGAUUGGUUUUUGGUGGCUACAGAGGCUUGCGGCGGCGGAUCUCCUGAUCUAUUCUGUUCCUCGAUGUUUUUAGGGUAUAUGGACAUAUAUAGGUGAAAGAAGUCGGUCAGGUGAGCCACGAGGGGCCCACGAUGGUGGGAGCAUGCCCAGGGGGGUAGGGCGCGCCUCCCUACCUCGUGGCUUCCUCGAAGCUUCCCUUGGCGUCUACUCCAAGUCUCCUGGAGGGCUUCCGUUCCAAAAAUAACUCUCCCGAAGGUUUCAUUCCGUUUGGACUCCAUUUGAUAUUCCUUUUCUUCAAAACACUGAAAUAGGCAAGAAAACAACAAUUUGGGCUGGGCCUCCGGUUAAUAGGUUAGUCCCAAAAAUAAUAUAAAAGUCUUUAGUAACGCCCAUAAACAUCCAAAACAGAUAAUAUAAUAGCAUGAAUACUUCAUAAAUUAUAGAUGCAUUGGAGACGUAUCAAACAACAUGAGUGUUCUGUCAAUUUUUGGGAUUUUUUGGUGUUCGUUUGGACAUUUUUAUGCAUUAACUGAGUUUUCAAUGCAUUUAUGUGCAUAAGUCAAAUUUGAACUACAUGCACAUGCUCUAGUGCAUAUAAAUUGGUUGAGAAAUCAAAUAUGUGUCCUUGGGUGCGUGCUUAGGUCCCAUGCAAGAAAUGGGAAUGAAUUUCAAACACCAGAGCACCAUUGAUUGCUGACAAAACAUUGAGAUGCUUGGUUUUUAAAUUCUAGUAAAUCCAAAACUCGUCUGAAAUUCAUGAAACUUGGCAUGCUACCAUGGAAUGGCACCCGACAUGUUGUGGCAUUUUUCGUGUCCAUUUUGGGAGAAGGCGCUCUCGAAUAAUGACAGCCAACAAAGGCAUUUUGAAAAAAUAGCUGCAACUUUAAUAUCUCAAAUGUUUGUAUAAUUCAAACCGUAUGCGUUCUAUUAACCAUUCAUGUGAUGCCAUGUGUCUUGAUAUUAAUGGCCGUCGGAGGUGCCGUGCGGACAGCUGCUUGACCUUGACUGAACGGGAGGUGUGCGAGCGCAGUCCAGUGCGCAAGCUGGCCGAGAACUGUGCAAGCUGAACUCCUAUGCGUAGGCUCAUCGGGAAGCGUGCGAGCUGUACGCUGUGCAGGCUCACUGGGAAAGGGGGACCUUUGACUUCCAUGGCCACCCGCCUUCCUCUCCAUUAAUGGCGCUCGAGCCGCUGUUUAAUAUGGCUGGCCUUAUUGUUCACCUCCCAUUCCUGUCCCUCCUGUAGACCUCCACCAACGCCAUGGCGUAGAAUGAUCAUCUGUCACUAGUCUUCAAGUUUGGUGAAGUCGACUCCGAGCCGGAGGAGAUAGAAAAUAAGGAGGAAUGGGGCCUCAUGGACAUGGCCCGGAAUGAGCUGGCCACGGCGGUUGCUGCCCCCGCUCAUGUUCCAGCUCCGAUCCCCGUGCCCGUGCCAACGAUCAUCCCCGUAGCAUUGACGGGCUGGUCGCCGAGCACUAUCAUAGAGCUGGAAGCCGCGGGCAUCAACGAGGUCUCCGCAGAUCCGCUUGAGCUCGUGUACAUGCCAGUGCCCGUGCCCGUGUGCGCCCCUUCACCCACCGUGGCGCCGGCCCCUGUGCGUUUGGCUGCACACGCCGCGCCCAUGCCCCUGUCCGUGCAUGCCCUUCCACCCACCGCGGCUCCGGUCCCCGUGCAUUUGGCUGCACCCAUCGUGCCUGUGCGCGCGCCUCCCUCAGCGGCAUGGGACGCUGCCGUCGACCGCUACCUCUCAGCGGCACUAGUUGCCUUCCUCCCGCGCCCCGCCCGUCGAUCGCGCGAUGACAUGAUGUUUGAUUUACAAGUGAAGAACAUUUUGUGCUGCCUUGAAGACUUCAACAACGGCGUCCGGGAGGACGUCGACGACAACGACGGCGCAGCACGCUGCCUUCGCCACCGCCAAAAAUAGGUUUUUUGGGGUUUAAUAAUGUAUCUCGAAUUCUCGAUCAUAUGAAUAUAAAUUCACAGUGUGACUGAAUGAAAGAUAUGGUUUAAAUGAACUUGCAUUUUUCUCUCUUAAUGUACAGACUUUUUCUUUUGAAAAAAACGUCAAUGGUUUUUAAAUAUAAAACACUCAUCGCAAACGUUGUAGUUAGAACACCGUAUGCAAACUGACAGCUUCCCCAGGAAGCCAAGGGAAAAUGUGCCGAGCAGGAUUUCUGCAUCCCUUCAAUGUAAACGGUUGUUUUGCAUGACCGUGUGCAAGCACGUACAAACAAUUGGGUAAGAUUUGCAUAUAGGUGAUUUUGUGUAUGUUGCCAUUUGUCAAACUGGAAAGAUCGACAUUUGUUUAUCUAGUAACAUUGCCAUUUUUCAACAUUGUAACACUGCGAUUUGUCAAAAUAUGCAGCUACAAAUCACUAGCACUAUCUAACUUUUGCAACUAAAAUCACUAGCACUUUUCGUAUGGGCACCACUAGCAGAUGCAAAUGUACCAUUGAUUGCAUACAACAAGUCAUCAACCCACAAGGACAACGAGGAUAGACGUUGGAUUAUAGAUCAUUUCCAACAAAACAUUCUACUAAAGUUUUUCUCACACAUGAAAUAACAAAGCGAUGAAAUGAACUUCAGCUCAACCACUCGUCGGUGUUGGAAACACUUGCUUUGAACCAGAAGUGACUCUCUAGGAAGGGCCAGCUACUGUUAAUCUUGAGACCAACGCAUCAAUGAUCAUCGAGGCUGAAGCGGCCUAUGUCAGGACCCAUAUUGGGAUGGUAGGGAAGCAUAGAAAUGUCCGAGGUAUAGAUACAAUUGCUUCUCAUAAAUGGUAGUAACAUUGUGUCAAUAGCAGCUGGAUCGCCUUCCACCAUCAUUGGAUAAUUUUGUCCAAGGAAGAGCGAGUUCCCUCCAAGUCUUGGCGCUAGUACACUAGUAUCCAUCCUGAAUACCCUGCAAUGGAUGUUGGAAUAGGUUCGGAGAGUGCGACCAUGCGAGACAACACCUGCUUCCUUAGUAACAAUAGCAGUCCUGUAUAUAGACAAGAAGAGGAGAUCCAUCGGAAUAAGUUGCCAGGCGCCACUGAGUAUAUGGGUCCUGCUCGUCCUCAUCACUACAAAAAAAGACACAUCCGUGACAUUUUGGGCCGAACGAAUUUUUUUUCUGUAAUACAUAUGACACUUCUAUGACGAUAAUUUUGACAAAACCCGGUAUCAUCAUAGAUGUGGUGGGCUCCUACUUCUAUGAAAAAAAUCAUGACAGAAAAUGGGCUUUUCGUCCUGGGCGGGCCGGAGACACAGCUGCAUGACAUUCUUUGGGCCGUCCAUGAUGGAAAAAACCAUGGUAGAAGCGAGGGCGAGGAAAAUUUCGGGGAGUUCCCAUUAUGGUGGGAGGUCGGGGGCCGAGCGAUGCGCGUUUCUCUCGUACAUGUACGCGCGUGUGUGCGAGGCGUUGGCUCUAACUGAACCCGAGCGAGGCGUUGGGCUCUAACUGAACCCGAGCAAUUGCACUGCAGGCUACGCGUUACUGAACCCGAGCGAUCGAUCGAUGGCUGUUAACUCAACCCGAUCGAGCGAUUCCUUCGCUACUGCUGCUAAGUGAAGCCGAUCGAUGCUGCCUCUGGGAUGAACAGUGAGCGUUGCAGGGGGGAGGGGGUUGGAUGAACAAUGAGCGGUGGCAUUGUCUCUGGAUGAACAAGACCCCAUGGUGUGGAGGGCUGGAUGAACAGUAGACGGUGUAGGGGUGCUCGUGGAGGGGUGGUUGAACAGGACCCCGUGGUGUGGAGGGCUGGAUGAACAGUAGAGGGUGGAGGGGUGCCCGUGGAGGGGUGGUUGAAUAGUAGCCGGUUGAGUAGCGCGCGGUGGAGGCUGGAUGAACAGGAGCCCGUGGAGGCUGGAGGAGGUCGACGGUAGCCCGUGGAGGCUGGAGGAGGUCGACGGUGGAGCUGAACAAUAUCCCGUGGAGUCCCGUUUUGCGGUACGCCACACCCCUCCCGAUGAACAGGACCCCCGUUUCGACCGUAGGAGGUCCUUUUCGUCCAUUUUGCGGUACGCAGCACCCCUCCCGAUCAACAGGACCCCCGUUUUGAUCGUAGGAGGUCUAUUUCCUCCGUUUUGCGGUAUGCCACACCCCUCCCGAUCAACAGGACCCCCGUUUCGACCGUAGGAGGUCUAUUUCCUCCGUUCUCCGGUACGCCAGGCCUUGUUCCCAUCACAUGUUCCAUCCAAGCCCUCCCGAUGAACACGACCACGCAUUCCAUUCUGACCCAGCCGGUUGGCUCCCACCCGUUCCGUUGCCUCCCGAUAAACACGACGCAUUCUGUUGCCUCCCCAUGAACACGACGCAUUUCGUUGCCUCCCCAUGAACAUGAAGCAUUCCGUUGCCUCCCCAUGAACACGACGACGAUGAUAUUUCUCCAUUCCGACCCAGCCAUGUACAUGAGCCCUGGCCGUACGAAUGCGCGAGUAGGCGUUCGAGACCCCGCCCAUAUGUACACAUAUGUGGCCGUAUUUUCUUUCUUGCACCCUGGCCGAUGUACGGACGUGUACAUGCUACAUGCGCGCCUCUACUAUGACACGUGCGCGCCUCUACUGCGACCAGAAUGUACGUACACGUUCGCGACCAGAAUGACAAUGCUACGUACGCUUCAACCACGUGGGUCCCAACUGUCAGGCACUUCCUUGCGGGCGAAGAUGUAGCUGGUGGGUCCCAGCAGUCAGGGGGGCGAAUCGUUUUGUUUUUUUUGCCCGGACGCACUUCCUUGCGUGCGAAGGUGUAGCUGGUGGGUCCUAGCAGUCAGGGGGGAAACAUUUUUUCGUGAAAUACGGUGGCCCGUCCGGUGGGUCCCCGCUAUCAGGUGGAGGAAUAAUUAUUUUGCACGUAAUAAGGAGGCACUUACUUGCUGCAGGCAUGGACCCAGCUGUCAGCCUCUCCACGUAUAGUCCACGUCCGAUGGAAGUCGUUCCUUGACCACGUUGACCACGCCGCGCCGAGAGUACCAGGGCGGUGGAUGACGAUGAGACCUAGGAAGGGGACGACGCAGAGCCGAGGAAGACGCGACAGUGGAUGCCCACGCGUAGAGGAGUACGAGGGUUCACUGGUUUGCUGCGGUGUGAGGCUGCCGUCGCCGCAUAAUAAUAGGGGGUGUGUGUGAGUAGAGGGAUGGCCUGGCCAGCGGUGGGAGUAGUAGGGGGCGGUGAGGCCUCCGUCGCAUCGCAGCCGACCACGGGAGGCAGGAGCACGAGGCACGACCGGCGCUGGUUUGGGCGGCUAGAGUAAGAAGACCAGAGGUUGAAGAAGCACUACGGCCGUUGGAUGGACAGCGUACGGUCACUGGAGCUAGGAUCGUGCAUAUUGACUAAGUUGACAAAGCCCUCCGUCCCCGUCAACUUAGUAGGACCACAAGUCAGCCUGCCACUAUAGUGGGUCCCAGCUAGCAGGGGGAGUAUUCAUUUUUUUGUGCGUAAUAAGGAGGCACUUCCUUGCGUGCGAAGAUAUAGCUGGUGGGUCUGAGCUGUCAGCGGCAUUAACGUUUUUUCGUGAAAUACAGAGGCCCUUUCGGUGGGUCCCUGAUGUCAGGUGGAGGAAUCAUUAUUUUGCGUGUAAUAAGGAGGCAUUUCCUUGCGUGCGGUUGUGGACCCAGUUGUCGGCCUCUCCACAUACAGUCCACUUCAGAUGCAUGUCGGUCGUUGACCACGUUGACUAGGCCGCGCCGAGAGCACCAAGGCGGUGGACGGCGGCGAGGCCUAGGAAGGGAACGACACGGAGGUAGCGAAGACUCGGCAGUUGUUUCCCACGCGGAGGGGAGUACGACUGUACGAGGGUUUACUGGUUCGUCUGCCGUCGCUGGAGAAUAACAACAGGUUUGGGUGAGUAGAGGGAUGGCUAGGCCAGCGAUGGUAGUACGGUGGGGCGGUGAGGCAUGCACGUCAGUAGAGCCGGCCGCGGGGAGGAGGGAGCAGGCAGUCCCGCCGGCGCUUGUUUGAGCGGCUGGAGCAGGAAGAGAAGAGAUUAAAGAAGCACGACGGUCGUUGGAUGGACAUCGUAUGGUCAAUGGAGCUAGAAUUGUUCAUAUUGACUAAGUUGACAAAGCCCUCCGUCCCCGUCAACUUAGUAGACCCACAAGUCAGCCGCCCACCAUGGUGGGGCCCAGCUAGCAGGGGGAGUAUUCAUUUUUCUGUGCGUAAUAAGGAGGCACUUCCGGUGGGUCCGAGCUGACAGCGGGGGGAACAUUGUUUUCGCGAAAUACGAUGGUCGGUCCGGUGGGUCCCAACAGUCAGGGGCAAAUGUUUUUUUCACGAAAUACGGUGGCCCGUCCGGUGAGUCCCAGCAGUCAGGGGGGAAAUGUUUUUCCGUGAAAUACUGGUGGCCCGUCCGGUGGGUCCCUCCUGUCAGGUGGAGGAAUAAUUAUUUUGCGCGUAAUAAGGAGGCACUUCCUUGGGGCUGCCUGGACCCAGCUGUCAGCCUCUCCACGUACAGUACUCUUCCGAUGGAAGUCGGUCAUUGACCACAUUGACCACGCCGCGCCGAGAGCACCAUGGCGGUGGACGACGGUGAGGCCUAGGAAUGGGACGACGCGGAGCCGGGGAAGACGCGGCAGUGGAUGCCCACGGGAAGAGGAGUACGAGGGUUCACUGGUUCGACUGCGGUGUGAGGUUGCCGUCGCCGCAGAAUAAUAGGGGGAGUGGGUGAGUGGAGGGAUGGCCUGGCCAGCGGUGGGAGUAGUAUGGGGACGGUGAAGCCUCCGCGGCAGCACAGCCGGCCACGGGAGGCAGGAGCAUGCGGCACGACCAGCGCUGCUUUGGGUGGCUGGGGCAAGAAGACCAGAGGUUGAAGAAGCACUACGGCCGUUGGAUGGACAUCGUUGACCACGCCGCGCUGAGAGCGGCAGGGAAGGUCGACGACGGCAAGGCCUGCGAAGGGAAUGACACGGAGCCAGGGAAGAUACGGCAGUGGCUGCCCACUUGGUGGAGAGUACGAGGGUUGACUGGUUCGGCUGCCGUUGCCGGAAAAUAACAAGAGGUGUGGGUGAGUAGAGGGAUAGACAGGCCAGGGAUGCGAGUAUGAUGGGGCCAUGAGGCCUGCCCGGCAGCACUGCCGGCCAUGGGAGGUGGGAGUAGGCGGUUCCGACGGCGCUGGUUUGGGUGGCUGGGGGCAGGAAGAUCAGAGACUGAAGAAGCAUGAUUGCCAUUGGAUUGAAAUCUAAUGGUCUGACGCUGGUAGAGUCGAUUGUUGACUAAGUUUCUUUUUUGAGAAACCUUGUGUACGCAUGAACUUAGUAAGCCCACAAGUCAGCCUCCAAAUCUGUGGCAGACAACAUAAAGCCCAUUUGCUAUUUUUUAUAAUUUGUAGCCCAUUUGCUAAUUCUUAAGUAAUUUAUUACAGCCCAUUUUCUGCCCAGGACCACGGUCAAAAAGUUCAACCUUAUUUUGCAUAUUUCGGUGGAGUCCGAACUAUUGUAAUCCUGAAAUGAUAAACAUUUUUUAAGAACUUAUUAUUUGCCAAAAAAAUCAUUUUGUUUUUGUAAGCAAAUAAGAUGUGGGAAAUUGAGUUGGUUUGAGGGAAAACCAGUGGUAAAAAAAUCAGUGCUGGGUGGGAAUAAACAAAAAAAAAGGAUGUAAAUAUGAAAAGGGAAUUUUAUGUGUUUUCAAUAUAAUGAUACGUGUAUAUGAACUAGUAAAACUAUAGGUAGAGAUUAGAAAACGGAUGUAGGACAUGCCUUUCAAGAGGAAAAUAGAACUGGGCUGUGUGUUUGAUUCAGUAAAAAACUGCAUGCGGAUGUUGUAAGACAAAAUAUAACUAAUGCUGGCGGGCCAGAGGCUAGUAGAUACCUGCUGGAUCUUUGUGCCCCGUUGUCGUCAUGGGCUGGGCCUGUUAAAAACAAAACCAACCCUGGGUAGUCUACAGCCCAGUUGAAACUUGCUCGACCUGAAAAAACAAUAUACGUGCUCAAUAAACGAGAGAAUUCUGCAAGUACAGACUGAUAACUGGGAUGCAACAUGGAUAUUGUUUUUUAUCGUGAUAAUAAGUGCAUCCACUUGUUUCGAAAGAAUUGGAGAACUGGGAAUUCGAACGGCGGGUGGUUAUGCUGCCUGAGGGAGUCCUGGAUUAGGGGGUCUCCGGACAGCCGGACUAUAUCCUUUGGCCGGACUGUUGGACUAUGAAGAUACGAGAUUAAAGACUUCGUCCCGUGUCCGGAUGGGACUCUCCAUGGCGUGUAAGGCAAGCUAGGCAAUACGGAUAUGUAUAUCUCCUCCUUUGUAACCGACCUUGUGUAACCCUAUCCCCCUCCGGUGUCUAUAUAAACCAGAGGGUUUUAGUCCGUAGGACAACAUACAAUCAUACCAUAGGCUAGCUUCUAGGGUUUAGCCUCUCUGAUCUCGUGGUAGAUCAACUCUUGUACUACUCAUAUUAUCAAGAAUAAAUCAAGCAGGACGUAGGGUUUUACCUACAUCAAGAGGGACCAAACCUGGGUAAAACAUCGUGUCCCCUGCCUCCUAUUACCAUCCGCCUCAGACGCACAGUUCGGGACCCCCUACCCGAGAUCCUCCGGUUUUGACAUCGACAUUGGUGCUUUCAUUGAGAGUUCCUCUUUGUCGUCAUCAUUAGGCUUGAUGGCUCCUUCGAUCAUCGAUAGCGAUGCAGUCCAGGGUGAGACUUUUCUCCCCGGAUAGAUCUUUGUAUUCGACGGCUUCGCACUGCCGGCCAACUCGCUUGGCCAUCUGGAGUAGAUCGAGAGUUAUGCCCCUUGCCACCAGGUCAGGUUUGCAACCUUAAACUACACGGCCGACAUCCACGGAGACUUGAUCUUCGACGGAUUCAAGCCCCUGCCGAGUGCGCCGCACGGUCACCAUGAGCAUGAUUUAGCUCUACCAUCAGACAGUGUUCAUGAGAUCACACCGGCAACCGCUCCAACCCUCAGUUUGGAGUCAAUUGCGCCAUCCAUGGACGGGUGGAUAGACCCCACCACGGAGGUCGUAUUCUCAGUGGCGAUCGAGCCGAAUAUCGACCUUACCCUUCAUGGGAGCCGUGACGCUAAACUACAGGAUUCUUCCCCGGCCAGGGACUCCGAACCGCCUGCGCCCGUGCCUACCGAAUCCGACUGGGCGCCGAUCAUGGAGUUCACCUCCACGGAUAUCUUUCAGCACUCGCCCUUCGGCGACAUACUGAAAUCAUUAAGGUCUCUCUCCCUGUCAGGAGAGUCCGAGCCGAACUAUGUUCGGCAGGAUUGGGAUGCGGAUGACGAAGAAAUUCGCUGGCCACCCACCACCCACUUAGUAGCCACUGUCGAUGAUUUGACCGACAUGCUCGACUUCGACUCCGAAGACAUCGACGGUAUGGACGAUGAUGUAGGAGACAAACAGGAACCACUGCCCACAGGGCACUGGACACCCAGUUCAUCAUAUGAUGUAUACAUGGUGGACACACCCAUAGAAAACGACGACGAGGAAUGGAAGGACGCAGCAAAGGGUUGUUCCCUCGAGAAGCAGUCAAAGCGGCAGCGUAAGCACCGCUCCAAAUCUCGCAUCGGCAGAAACAGCGAUCAUAUAGACCCAGCGAUAGAGCAGGGUGAACCAUCGCCCGACCAGGGCAACACGGAGAAUCAAACCGAACAACACGACCCCGUCGAAGAUAACAGUCCGGACGACAUCACACCGGAUAGGCACCCGGAGCAAUAGAAUGCCCAUCAAAGGCUGGUUGCCCCUGCGAGGGGUCUGAAAAGGUAGAAGCAAAGGCUCAGGGCUGCACAAGACACACUCAAAAUCAGAUGGAGUGAAGUACUCAACACUGCAGCGAAGUACGACAGUAAUCGCCACACCAAGAGCUACUCGAAGCGAAAGUUGCUACCUGAAUUCGAUGAGGAGGCCUUAGAUCCCCCACAACCAGAAAUUAAAAUGGACAUCCGGUCGGAUAGACGACCUCGUGGCCAACAUAGAGCGGCAAACGACGCCGCACAUAAGCCAGUACGCGAUCCACGCGAGGGCUCGCAUCAAAAGGACGGCGCAACCAGAUCCAUAUACGGGAUAAGCAAGCGCGCUCCAGCAUGCAAUGCAACACAAAAAACAUCCGAACACCACGGUACACCCAAAUAUAGGGGUGCCACACACCCCCUAUGUUUCACCGAUGAGGUGCUGGACCAUGAAUUUGCAGAGGGAUUCAAACCCGUAAACAUAGAGGCGUACGACGGAGCAACUGACCCUGGGGUCUGGAUUGAGGACUACAUCCUCCAUAUCCAUAUGGCUCGGGGAGACGAUCUCCACGCCAUCAAGUACUUACCCCUCAAGCUCAAAGGGCCAGCUCGGCACUGGCUUAAAAGCCUCCCCGAAAACUCCAUUGGAAGCUGGGAAGAGCUCGAAGAUGCCUUUCGGGAAAAUUUUGAAGGGACCUAUGUCCAACCAUCGGAUGCAGACAAUUUAAGUCAUAUAACUCAACAGCCCGGAGAGUCAGCCCGAAAGCAUUGGAACAAGUUCCUCACUAAAAAGAACCAAAUAGUCGACUGUCCGGACGCCGAAGCCUUAGCAGCUUUCAAGCACAGUGUUCGAGACGAAUGGCUUGCAAGACACCUCGUCCAAGAAAAGCCGAGAACAAUGGCACCAUUAACAAGCCUCAUGACCCGCUUUUGCGAGGGUGAGGAUAGCUGGUUAGCCCGAUGCAGCACCAGCGACCCAAGUACAUCCGAAGUCAGGGACGGAAACAGGAAAUCACGACGCAGCAAAAACAAGCGCCGGAAUAAAGAAGACAGCCCGAAGAGCACGGCGGUAAACGCUGGAUUCAGAAGCUCUCGGCCAGGUCAGCAAAAGCUGCCCUCUAAAGGCAACAGAGACGAACUAUCCAUCCUAAACAAGAUUCUGGACCAAAUAUGUCAGAUCCAUAGCACCCCCGAUAAACCUGCAAAUCAUACCCAUAGAGAAUGUUGGGUCUUCAAGUAGUCCGGAAAGCUCAAUGAUGAACACAAGGGGCAGGAUACACCAAGCGAGGACGAGGACGAGCCUCGCAAGCAAAGCACUGCGGAACAGAAGAAAUUCCCAGCAGAAGUCAAAACAGUCAACGUGUUACAUGUGAUAAAAGGGAGAAACAAAGCGGCACCCCUAGAGAAACAUGCCCCAGGGCCUAUCACCGCAGAGUUCUGCCACUGGUCGUCCCAACCGAUCACAUUCGACCACCGGGAUUACUCGGCAAGUAUCCGGCGUGUAGGAUGGGCUGCCUUGUUAUUAGAUCCAAUAAUUGACGGAUACCACUUCACAUGAGUCAUGAUGGACGGCGGCAGCAGUUUAAACCUGAUAUAUCAGGACACAGUCAGCAAAAUGGGGAUAGACCCAACAAAAAUUAGCCACAGCAAUACUACCUUUAAAGGAGUAACGCCAGGCCCAGAGGCCCAUUGCACGGGCUCCCUGCUACUAGAGGUUAUAUUCGGCUUCCCCGAUCACUUCCGCAACGAAAAUUUAACCUUCCCCAUCGUUCCGUUCCAAAGUGGCUAUCAAGUACUACUCGGACGCGAAGCUUUCGCUCGCUUUAACGCAAUACCGCAUUACGCUUACCUCAUGCUUAAGAUGCCUGGUCCACGUGGCAUCAUUACAGUAAAUGGAAAUAUUGAGCGCUCCUUGCACGCGGAAGACCGUGCGGCUGCCUUGGCAGCCGCACACUAAACGGCCUCACCAACAAAGCAUCUGACAGGUUGUUAAGACCACGGACACGGUUGGACGAGUCCGGUACAGCUAUAUGUAAUUGAUACAGGUUUGAUGGCUAUACCCCUAUUACAGUACAAGGGGCUCAACGCGCGCACACAAGUGGCAAUCAGGCUCAACUUUACUCAUUUUGAACUAUAUAUUGUUUAUUUAGUAUAACUUACCUUUUGCACGUCAACUUUUCAAUUAAGUUUCUCUCUUUUUCACAUGACCUUCGUGCUACACCCGUCCAGAAUAUGGCACAACGGAGACACGGGCGCAGACGUGCAGCAGGGAUCCAUUCCAAGGAUUCUUUUUAGAUUAAGACCCUGCGGAAACCUUUUUUACUGUCUCUUGUUGAUACACAUCCCUCGGAUUCCCAGUACAAUUGAGAAGGAUGCUGACAUAUUGGCAUGUGGCCACAUCAGAAUAUUGCACGUACCUGGACACCAGGGGCUUAUUACAAAGGGCACUUUUUAGGCCCGGUUUACAACAUGAAGACCGAAUACCUUAGGGAGUGUUCGGCGUCGCGAGUUUGGCCUUAUAUGCAUCAGCUCCGAAUCAAGACUUUGGUCAAAUGUUGGGUUUGCCCGGCUCCUGUGUUUUGCUACCUUACGUUCCGCUCUAUCGGCUAAGGCGGCACCAGGAGAACUACUGCGAUUGUGCCCUGGUUCAUCCGGACGAGCACCUCAGUAGAGAAAGCCGACAACUGACUGCCAUGAUAUAGGGUGAGACUGGUGAACCACUCGAUGACCUAGCAGAAUCUUCGGGAUUCCUCCGCUUUAACGAAGGGCCGUUUCCCGGCCCUUCGUGUACGCACCCCGAAUUCAGAUGAGUGAGGAGCCACCAGGGGCUAUAUAGUAGCCCCACUGUCAAACUCCUCUAGCUAAGUAAAAGUGUCAAAGCAUUAUAGUCCGGUUGCCUAGUUCGCUGCGCUAUCACCUCCUUAAUGGACCAAGACGUUGGAUCAAGUGUGAACAUGCAUCUUCUGCGAACACCCCCGCAUUAUAUGCGUGGGGGCUGAAGCCGACGACUGCAAUCUUUCAGGUUAUAUACAUAUAUACAUAAACGGCCGCACAGGAGGCAUCAUAGCACUUUUGGGCAAAAGUAUAAAUGUGUGGUACUUUCAAAAAUGUACAUCAUUUCACAUACCUCAAAACCCGUCAGUAGACUCAUAAAGGCUUCAUGUAGCCCGCUUUCGGCGGACGAAAUCCUUUCAAUCGCCGUACCCAUCAAUGUGCGGUGCUCUUCUGAGAUAUCAGCUUUCUCCAGCAGAUCCCUCCGUACAUCCGAUCGCACACCAGACAGUGCCGGAAUCUUUUGAUUGCUCUCUUCGAGAGACGGAUAAUGAGGACUUCGGGUGGCCAUAGGAUUACCUUCUGGCCUUGCCGGAUCAGGAGAAGCCCUCCGCGACGACACCUCAGGGUCGCCCACUUCAUAAGGCGGUGUGGCAGGGGAAGGCAUUUCGCUCUCCAUCAUCUCCUGAAGAAGAUCCCCCAAAGAUGAGCUCAGCUGAGAAGGGCUAAGAUCCAAACUGCAAGAUGAAUGCUUCGAUUAUUUUCCUCAGAAAUAGAGCAAGAUAUUUUCAUUAUUGAAUAACCUUUUACUUAUAGCUCGGUAGAGGGUUGACCCCCACAUGGACAUUGUGCGGCAAGAGUACCCUCCGAGGCAGGUCCCUCUGGCAGAGAUUUCUUCUCCCAUUUGGAAACCUUAGUUUCCAGAUCUUCAAAGGUAGACCUCUUCCUUCCCCGGGGAGAGAGAAUGCCAGAUUCUUCCCCUUGGUUAUCCUCCCUCGCGGAGGCGCUCAUUCCCUCGGUUGGAAUAGGUAGCGAUGGAGGCCCGCUUUCGCCCUCUUUAUUCCCCCUUCAUCUUCCUUUGAGGGCACCAGGCAAGGUGCUGGCUCGAGCAUCUUUUCCAGCACCGGAUUGUCCAAGACUUCAGGAAGGGGGCCCAAACACCGGAUCAUCUUCGCCUUUGUUAUCCAGUCCUAGUCAAAGAGCGAUUCUUCAGAAUGAUGUCAUGAUAAAUAAAAGGGCAGUCUGUUCGGCCAUGGGAUUACUUACUUGGGCAGCGGUGCGGUUGCUGCUCAGGCCCACAUCCUCGGUAGUGUCCGGACACUCUAUUUGGGGUCCGAAGAACGAUUUGUACAUCUCCUUGUGCGUCAUGCCGAGGAAAUUCUGAAUAGUGCGCGGUCCUUCCGGGUUGAAUUCUCACAUGCGGAGGGGCCGGCGUUUGCAAGGCUGGACUCGACGGACCAGCAUAACUUGCAUUACCAUAACCAGACUGAAAUCUCCCUCAAAGAGAUCUCGGAUACGGCUCUGCAAUAUUGGCACGUCCUUGGCUGGACCCCAGCUCAGCCCCCUGCUGAUCCAUGACAUCAGUUGUGGUGGAGGGCCCGAGCAAAAGGUGGGGGUAGCUACCCACUUGGCACUUCGGGGAGCUAUGACAUAAAACCACUCCCAUUGCCACAAUCUGGACACCUCUAGAAAGGAACCCUUUGGCCAUGGAGCGUCAGCAAUUUUGCUUAUUAGAGCACCUUCGCACGCUGCGUACUGCCCCUCGACCAUCUUUGUCUUCACAUCAAGGUCUUGAGCCACAGGCCGAAGUGAGGGGUAAUGCGGAGGAAGGCCUCACACACGACAACAAAUGACGAGAUGUGAAGAAGGGAAUCCGAGGCCAGAUCGUGAAAAUCCAGCCCGUAAUAGAACAUAAGACCCCUCACAAAGGGAUCCAGAGCGAGGCCUAGUCCUCGAAGGAAGUGGGAGACGAACACAACGCUCUUGUUGGGUUCGGGAGUAGGGACGACCUGCCCUCGGAUAUUUGGCCUCCCUCAACUUCUUGAUAUCCACCUCCGUGACGGGGGAAGGCAUCCACCGACCUUGAAGGCUGGAUCCGGACAUGAUUGAAGGUCCGAAGCACCUGACCUGGGCUUUGGGUGUUAAAACUCAAGGCGGGGGAAGGAUUCGAUUAAGCACGGGAGGGAAAAAAGUAAAAGCCUUGUCCCUUUAUAAAGAGGGUGAAUAUCAAGCAUCCUCCUCGUGGACGUUUGGGACUUGCCUAAGAUCUAGGAGUCCUAGGCACAGUUGGGUUACCCACGUCCGUAUUAAUGAGAAUCCCGUAAUAAAGGGAACAUGAUCUCUGCUUUGACAAGACGUGUCAAGAAACCGCCUCGCGUUAUGUGCGGGGCUGGUUAAAGAAAAAUGGUUCGAAUAAUUACCAGGCUAUGGCGUGAUGUCAUGCUGCCAAAACAUGUCAGUAGAGUAGAUUUGUGGAAAUAUUAUUCUCUCUACGGUGGUAUGUGGAACUUAUUUUGCAGGGUUGGACACUAUCCUUGUAUUCGAACUCUUCCGUGGCGUAUUCGGAUGAGGAACCCGCCUUGCAAUGCCGAAGACAACACUGCGCGCCGGACUCAUCGUCAUUGAAGCCUCAUUCAGGGGCUACUGAGGGAGUCAUAGAUUAGGGGGUCUCCGGACAGCCGGACUAUAUCCUUUGGGCGGACUGUUGGACUAUGAAGAUACGAGAUUGAAGACUUUGUCCCAUGUCAAGAUGGGACUCUCCUUGGCGUGGAAGGCAAGCUAGGAAAUACAGAUAUGUAUAUCUCCUCCUUUGUAACCGACCUUGUGUAACCCUAGCCCCCUCCGGUGUCUAUACAAACUGGAGGGUUUUACUCCGUAGGACAACAUACAAUCAUACAAUAGGCUAGCUUCUAGGGUUUAGCCUCUCCAAUCUCGUGGUAGAUCAACUCUUGUACUACUCAUAUUAUCAAGAAUAAAUCAAGCAGGACGUAGGGUUUUACCUCCAUCAAGAGGGCCCGAACCUGGGUAAAACAUCAUGUCCCCUGCCUCCUGUUACCAUUCUCCUCAGACGCAUAGUUCGGGACCCCCUACCCGAGAUCCACCGGUUUUGACACAGACACUGCCCAUCAAAUAAAAAUCAGGUGCCUGAAAUUCGUUUCGAAACAAAUGAUUCAGCUUUAUAUCCACAUCGACCCUCCGCAUGAUGGUUGGAAGCAAAUGCAAGUUCAUACCAAAAGAUCGUUAAGAACAAUACCAACUUGCGGACGACAAGGUAGUACAACUACCAAUACCAAACCAACUUAUAAUCUAUUUACUCCUGGCCCUAGUGUUUAUCUGGUAGAAAAUCUUGCAGAGGACCAGCUCCUGCUCCUUCUCUUGCUCCAGGUCCCCGAGGUGGUACUGGUGCAUCACCCAGUUGGUCCUCUGCUGGUCGAAGUUCUUGUUGGUCUGCAGCGCCAUAACCUUUUUUGCUGCCCGUCUGCCGGUCGUUGACCAUCACCGACAAGGUAUUGCCUGUCUUGUGCCACAUCGCAUGCAUGCCGCACUCCGAUUGUAUCUUGCGACACGUGCCCCUUUUGAACGCCCUGGAAUUGCGCUGGAAUAAAUGCUUCCUUAGGUCACUCAGUGUGAUACCUUCAGUAUUGUGGAAUACAGGUUUUAGUGCACCUAGUUGGCAUUUUCAUAACAUCUUUGGCAUGUUGCAGUCACUUGUUUCACUUUUUAUUAACUGUCAAAUUGUAAUUGCUUCACCGGGUCUGCGUCUAAAAAUAAAAAUAGAGCUAUAAACAAAGGAAUAUGUUUGUGCAAGUAGACGGCCGAUCGUGUCUUACCUGGAAGUUUCUCAGGUUGGGUGUAGCAUAUGUCGAGCUCGCUCUGUCAGCACUCACUUUGGCCUCCGGGUGCUCGAUCAGCUCCUGAUCCGUGGGAUCGAACUUGAUGCCAGCCGGCAGCACCGACCAAUCCUUCUUCGACUUGCAUCGGUAAUUCCAGUUAUAUGGUACUCAAUGUAUGCUCAAUCGACUGUUUUAAGUGAAUGAUGAAAGAUUUCGAUAGAUAAGUGGUACUCCAAAUCUGAAGUCCAGAAUACCCGAACACGCCACUGGGAUUCUUGUGUCACCUCACGAACAGCAUGUUGUCACGUCAAUUAAAUGUGUGGACACGAUGAAUAAUUUGACCGACAUAUACUAGUACUGCUACUGUACUAAUUACUAGUCGUAUUUAGUGUCACAAUUUAUACAUAGGUUUAACUAACAAGUACGCACUUGAAGCCUAACUGAUAUAUAUAUAUAUAUAGGGUGGGCCUAUUCUAAUAACACCUCUUAAGACCUUAUUCUAAUAACACUUCCUCUUAUUCUGAUAACCCCUCUCUCCGCACCGCCCCGCGAACCGAACCACCACACUACCACUAACCAAACCGCGACAAAGCCCACCCCCAGCUCCUGCACGACACCCACCUCCCUCUUCCCCCGAUCAAAACCCCCACCUCCCUCCACCUUCUACCGGCGCCGCCGCCGCCAGAGCACAACCUCACCUUCUUCCACAUUUCCCUUGCCUCACCCCCACCUUCCUCCACCGCGCCCACCCCGGCGAGCCCCACCGCGCCACGGCUCCACCACCCCCAAUCUUCUACCCCUUCCAACCCCGCGCCGCCGGAUCCCCGUCCCACCGUGCCUCGCGCCUCCCCGACUGCCGCCUCACCGCCCCGACCCGCCGCUGGAUCGGGCUCGCACCGCCCCGCCGCCUCCCUCCUCCUGGUUCCCCUCGUCGGCGCGCAACGGUGGUCGCCGGAUCUAGGAACCUCCAUCUUCCACAGUGCUGCCCCGCAUCACCAACCCCCAAGUUGUCCGGCGCUAGAUCGGUGUUCGCAGCAUUCCAUCAUCCACCGUCGGCGCCGCCCCCCUGCAGCCUUCUCCCAUGGCGCCCACCCUCCCGACCGGCCAGUGCUAUGUUGGAUGGCCGGUGACACCCUCCCUUCCCUCCUGACCGGCCGGCGCUGCACUGGAUUGAUGGAUCCCGCGUUCCUAUGGCCGACGGCGCCCUCCCUUCCCUCCCUCCCCUUGUCUCCCCUACCCAGCGACAAGCUUGAUGGCGGCCUCCCCAACUACCUCGUCACCGGCCAAGGCUCCCUCACUAGAUCCGGUGAGCCCGCCAUGGCCCUCUCCUCCCCAGCUCAUGUGCCGACGGUGACAUCCAGCGGGUCAGGGUCGACCUCAUCCUUCUGGUCCGUCCCCGGUGACCAUAACUAUACAGUCUACAAAAACUGCGGCAGUGCAGUUGACCUCAGCGCCCGAUGCAGCUCAUCAGUGGUGCAUGUGUAGUUUGUCAUCCCCCUUGAUGCAUGUUAUUUUUCAGUUUUUUAUGUGAUGUUGGUCCCCAAGUCUGUAGUGCAGUAUGGCUUGCAUGUAGUACAUAACACCUCUCCUCCUGGCUACAUCUACCUCGGUUUGGAGAUGCCUCACCUGGCGCCUCCACCUAGUGUUUGUUGAGUUUUGUUUCCACCUGAUGGCCACAAGUGCAGGUUCUCUCAGUUGCAGCUCAGUUGGGUCGUCGAUGAAGUAUGGAGGCACAUGAGAGGGCGACGGGUAAAAAAAUGAGAAGUUUAGAACCAUUAGCAACCAUAGAAAUCUUCAGUUUUGCAGUGAAGUGUGUAUUGUACAGUAUAAAAAAUGGGUGUAUUGUUUUGGUGCAAUUCAUUUUGAUUUACAUUUUGGAAAAAUGGAUAUACAUUAUGUGGUACAGUUAACUAGUGGGGUACUCAAGUUUCAUUUUUCUAGUUGAUGAGUGCAUUAUGCAGUGCAGUUAACAUCUCAAAAGAAGCUCACUUUGUUCUCUCUCAAAGUUUGCCAUAAAACUCCUUUGUG